GUUGCAGCGGUGGUGGAGGCGGAGGUUGUUGCCAGGAAGCCUGAGGUUGACUCGCCGAAGCAACAGAAACUGCAGGGUGAUUGCCUACAUACUCUGGGAUGUAAGGCGAAUGAUACGAAGCAGUGUGCAUGACCUGCUUCGGCUGAGCCUGUUGUGCUGCCGCUUCGGCUAUUUCUUUUUGCUUCUGGAUGGUAACAUGGCACAUCCUGGUGGUAUGACCUUUGUUCUCACCACAGAAUAAGAAAAAGAUUCUUCUCGGUUGAUCGCCAAAUCUUCCUCCGAAGCCCCUGGCGCCUCUGCCUCUUGGAGCUGGUGGUCGGAAGGAGCCUUGCUGUUGCCCCGAAGUCUGUGAGGAACAUUGUGGCCUUUGUUGUUGGCUCCCUCUAUCAUCAUUUUGUGUAGAGUUAUGAAUUGAUCUAACAUGCCUCGGGUAGAACCUCCCUCCGAAGCCCCUGGUCAUUUCAGAAAACCUGAAAGCCUCCUCCCUUCUUUGGCGAAAAUCAUUAUCGGCCCGAAUGUACUCGUCCAUCUUCUGGAGCAGCUUCUCCAAAGUUUGAGGAGGCUUCCUAGCGAAGUACUGAGCUGACGGUCCUGGCCGAAGCCCCUUGAUCAUGGCCUCAAUGACAAUUUCAUUGGGCACCGUUGGUGCCUGUGCCCUCAAACGCAAGAACCUUCGGACAUACGCCUGAAGGUAUUCUUCGUGAUCCUGGGUGCACUGGAACAGAGCUUGAGCAGUAACCGGCUUCGUCUGAAACCCUUGGAAGCUAGUUAACAACAGGUCCUUCAGCUUCUGCCAUGAAGUGAUCGUUCCUGGUCGAAGGGAGGAAUACCAAGUUUGAGCGAUACUCCUGACAGCCAUAACAAAAGAUUUGGCCAUGACUGCAGCAUUGCCACCAUACGAAGAUAAUGUUGCUUCGUAGCUCAUCAAAAACUGCUUCGGGUCUGAGUGGCCAUCGAAUACGGGAAGCUGAGGCGGCUUGUAGGACGGAGGCCAAGGUGUAGCCUGCAUCUCAGCGGACAGAGGAGAAGCAUCGUCAAAAACAAAAUUCCCAUGAUGGAAAUUGUCAUACCAGUCAUCUUCGUUGGGAAAACCCUCCUGAUGAAGGUCUUGGUGCUGAGGCCUUCGGUGUUGCUCAUCCUGGGCAAGGUGACGAACUUCUUCAGAGGCUUCGUCUAUCUGCCUCUGCAGUUCAGCUAGCCUGGCCAUAUUUUCUUUUUUCCUCUGCACUUGUUGAUGAAGCAUCUCCAUAUCUCUGAUUUCUUGAUCUAUCUCGUCCUCUGGUGGUGUCGGGCUAACAGCCUUCCUUUUCUGGCUUCGGGCCUCCCGAAGGGAGACUGUCUCCUGAUUGUGGUCCAGCGGUUGCAGAGCUACAGCCCCAGUUGCUGAAGCUUUCUUCGGCGCCAUAACGAAGGUUUAUGAUCGCCGAAGGUGUUCAAAAAACUCAAAGAGUGGAAGUGAGUUCACCGGAGGUGGGCGCCAAUGUUGGGGACUUGUUCUCAAAUGCUAUGAGUCAAGAACAAGGCAACAUAGAAAAUGUUAAUCGGUAAAGUCCUUCGUCCUUCAAAGCAUUAUUCCUCUUAGGAUAUAAUGGUUUUCGGACGAAGGUUAUGAAUGGCAUACCUUCUUAAAUACAUUAUAUAAUGACGAAGGAUGAAUUAUAAGGAAUAUAACGAACAACAUAAACAAUUAUGUUUUAUUAUCACGUAUAAAUAGAAAUAAUCAUUGGAUUACAAAAUGUACCUUUAACUUGAAGGAGAUGAAAGUACAAGCGUGACGCAAAAGUGAAUGCCAAAUCAGCGUGAACAGUACGGGGGGUACUGUUCACCUAUUUAUAGGCACAGGACACAGCCUAUGCAAAAUUACAUUCAUGCCCUUUACAUUUGAUAAUAAUUCUAUUGUAAUCUAUCGAGGUCUGAAUAGCCUUUUCAUCUUUAAGUCGGUUUCAUUUUGUUGAUAUCAUGCCGAAGCUUUCCUGCUCACACCUUCGGCGCUGUAUCAACCUUCGUAUUAUUCUGGUCUGCUGUGAUACCGACUUGAGUCCGAAGAUACCUGUUCACACAUUAAACUCCAGAAAUACUGUUAAAUCCUGUUUUUGAGGACCUUCGUAAGCCGAAGGCCCCCAACACUUAGAAGGAUCAAACCUAGCUAAUUUAAUUAUGCUAGAACGGGAAAAGUCAAAAUCUUAUAUUAGACUCAUCUAGUGCUUUUGGCAAACCAAACCCCUAAGCCAAACAGCUGCAUGGUCUAGAGGUAAAGGAGUAGACUCCUCACACCGGGUAAGUCGAGCUGAGUAUUAGUAUACUCAGCCUUGCUUGUGGCACAAUUUUUGCAGGUAUGUUGCAGGACAUGGUUGAUAGUGUGAUUUGGCCUUCCACCCUGCCACCGGAAUGGACGGUCGAGUGGGAUGCUGCUCCAGCAGGAGAGGAGCAGGAGUAGUGGGCUAGGCCUUGCCCUAUUCCUCAGCAUUUGAACGUUAUCGACUAUCCGCUGCAUUUAAACUUAUGAACUUUUUUCUGUUUACUUAAAAACUCCAAUUUAUGUAAUAACUCCAGUACUUUAAUUUGUGGUUUCCUGCUUUAUUGUAUUCACUCUGUGACUCACCUUCGAGUGAGCUAGUGGUAUUUGAUCCCGGGGAAGUGGCUUUAUUAGAUUAGAUCUCAGGGACUGAUGGGUUAUUUCGAUUUAAGUGUGUUGCUGCCUCUAAGGCGUGACUUGGGCACUUAAGCUGUAAUAAUUCGGGCGGUUCCGCCAUAGCAACUACCGUGGGUGGUUUUGCACAAGCUCGGUGCAGCCCCCCAACCAACUCGUUCCGCUCAGCUCACAAUCUCGGUGUAGACCCACUCUCCCUCUCUCACGACAGUAAUGGCGACGCUACUGUUGCUAUGCGGCAAAGGGAAAGGGGAGAUAAUGGAGGAGUCGAGCCCCCGGUGCCUAGCUAUAUGAUUCCAAUGAGUUCGGUUGAGAGGUCCACACUACUCGCGCGGAGACCGGCGCUGAAUUCGGACCCUCGCUGCGCCCAUGAACUCCACAUCUCGCACGGACGGCGGGCGGCGUUGAACAGUUCUACUGACGUGCGGGCCCCAGUGGCAAGGCGUGGAGGGGUGUUUAGGUGGAGGAUCUGCGGCUAACGAGUGGACCCGGUUCACCAAUGUCCCCAAGUUCGUGCACGCGGUGACUAACAAGCUAGCCCCAGUGCUCAACGCCAGAAGAGAUCUCAUCCAGGCGCGCGGGUCGUGGGUCUGGUGCACGGGACCCAUGGAGCAGUGGAUGGCGUGCGGGGUGUGCUGGCGUGAUUGACUAGUGGGGUCCGGUUGUCAGCGUCAUUUCCUAAACUUGGGCCGCACGAUUGUAGAGGGUAAAUGGGCCGCGCAGGUGAAUCCGGCCCAGGUGAGUAUGGCAGCUUACCUUUUUCCUGUUAUUUAUUUGUUUUAGUUUUCCUUCUUUCUUUACUUCCAUUUCAAAUUUAAAUUUCAAGUUUGAAUUCCUACCUGUUGUGAGAUUCAAACUUAGGUCAAAUGCCUAAAUUCAAAUACCAACAUGAACCAAAUUUAAUUAAUAUCUCUCCUACUCUAUAUGUUGUUACUGUAGGCGUGCACACCCGCUCUGUUCUGCCUGCCGCGCGCAAUCCGCCGCCUGCCGUUCUGUUCUCCACGCGCAAUCCGCCAGCGCGCAGACCUUUCCAUCCGCACCCGCGCUAAAUCCGCCGCACCUGCGCCAAAUCCGCCGCCACGCCCCUACUCGCCGAUGGAAGGUCCGUCGCCUGCCGCUCUGUUCUCCACGCGCAAUCCGCCAGCGCACAGACCUUUCCAUCUGCAGCGGCCUCUCCCGCAAACCCCGCGCGCGUCGCCUCCACCGCAAUCAGCUGCUUUCCUCUUCACGCCAGAAGUCCCUAUCCCCUCCGAUGGCGCGAGGUCGCGAACAGGAAUAGCCUUGGUCUCUCCUCCAAUGGGGCAACGACUCACCGGCUGCCUCGCUUUAGAGCCCGAGAUCUAUCCAACCCACGAACGGGAUCCUGAUGCCCAUGGCGGCCUCGGUUCUUCUUGCCGCACCGGCUACCUCGCCCCCGCUGACGUGGCAGAGAUGGGCUCCUCUUCUUGCCCCGUCCAAGAAGCCCACCGCCAUUGCCGUCCCUAGGCACGCUGCGGCGCCGCGCAAGUCUGACGGUGGCGGCAAGAAGCAGCUCAACCUGUUCCAGCGCGCGCCGGCGGCCGCGCUUGACGCGUUCGAGGAGGGGUUCGUGGCCAACGUCCUCGAGCGGGCCCACGGGCAACCCAGCACAGCCAACCCGGCUGUGCAGAUCGCCGGCAACGUCGUGCCCAUCGGGGAGAGGCUGCCCGUGCGCAGGCUCCCCGUCUCCGGCCGCAUCCCGCCCUUCAUCAGCGGCAUCUACGCGCGCAACGACGUGAACCCCUGCUUCGACCCCGUCGCCGGGCACCACCUCUUCGACGGCUCUGCCUCAAAGUUGCAGCCUGCUACACUGGAGCUCUGUUCGGUCGCACCCCUCGGGCCCCAACCACGGCAGCAAAACCAUCCUCACCGGUCCCCUCCUCCUUCCCCUCCCGCAGUCCAGCAAGCAGCAGCAUGACCCUCUCCCCCGCGUCUCCAACUACCUUGGGCACCGCCAUCGCCCUCAACGGUGAACCCGCCCAACCAGGCAUGGCCGCCGGAUCAGGUGCGACCCGACCACCGGCUAAUCAGCUGCCCUUCCAAAUCUUUAUCUGAAUUCCUGUGUUCAUAUGUUGUAUGUUCUUGGGUGGAAUGAUAACCAUUUACUAAAGUAACAUUGUCGAGCUUAAGCUCCACAAUUUCAUCUGUACCAGUGGAAUGAUAUGCAUGGUCAUCCUUGCUGCUGGGACCAGAAAGGAAGGAUGCCAGCCCAUCACCAUCAUGUUCACUUGAGUAUAAAUGUUUUUGAGUUCUGCUAGAACCUAGCCUAAGACUCUCCAAACUUUCUUCCACCUGAGAAAUCUGGUCUGCAAUUGCUCUAAUGAAUUGCCUGAAUUUUAAGAUUGCAUUUUCUCUUGACUUUGACUUGUCAGAGAAUGCAGCAGCAUUCACCUCCCUCUCAAAUUGCUCCAGCUGCAAGUUAGAAGAAUAAAUGCCUUAGAAAAAAACGAAUGCAAAUGUUAGUCUCUAAAAUAUUGAUAAAUCAUACAAGGCUCGGAGUAGUUGGAGGCUUUAUAUGGAAAACUUGACUGUUUGAACCUGCCAUUUGGUAGUUCCAAGAGCAGUAAACACAUCUCUCUCAUAUUGUAUUGGAGCAUGAAACUUUGCAUCAGAAGUAACAUCCUGCAUAAGUUUCCUUUCAUGCAAAAGUAAGCGGUAGACACCCUCCAUUCUGUACACCAACCCAAAAAGAGAAAAUAUCAAUACAGCAAGCAAACUGGCCAUUAUUUAUUCUUUGUUGAUGUGUUUUACACUCCAUUGUAGAAAGGGAGGGGAGAGAUCGGACUGGUGUGUGUACUGUGCUCUCUGUGUUUUUUGUUCUGUUUUCUGUAUGGGAUCUUUACCCUAUAAAAAAGCUACAUGGUAGUCCUGCGUGCUCAAGAAAAAAAACUUUGCCGAAUGUAAGAAAGAUCUUAAUAGUACAGUUAUACACUUGGACUACUUAGGGCCAAAUUAAGGUUGUAGUGCUGCUACGCUGCGUAUCUAGCUUUUGCGGAAACCUUUACAAAUCCCAGUAAAGGGUUGUUCAUUUUCAUCUUAAUCCAUGUGGAUUGGCAGGAUUAGGUGAGUUUGAAUCCAUAGCAAGUGAAAAUAUAUACUAUUUUUUCCAAUCUCAUCCAAUCCAUGUGACAUAGAAAUAACUGAACAAGGCCUAACAGUUUGUAGUGAUAGGUCCUAAAAAGAUGCUUUUAACAAACCACACCUCCAAAUCUAGCAAAAAAAUGCUUUUGAAAUGCCACCGCAAUGCAAAGUACCAUGCAAGAUUAAACACAUACUUGAUGGUGACAUUCGAUGAACUGUACCUCACCAAUAUAAAAACAGUUAAAUUGCACAUUCGGGUUUUUCUGCCCAGCCCUAACCCAGAGGAACUCGCACUGUGUUUCGAACCCCUCGCGUCGCGUGAUGCCAGGGCACAGAAGAGUUAGAUUGCACAUUUCGGGUUCAGGCUUCGGGUUUUUCUGUACAAUUGAAGACUCCGAUGAUUGUGUAGUGUGGACUGUGCCGCUGUGGAGUGUGCACUGGUGUGAGCUGAGCUGUGAAUAUGUGAUUUGUGAACAUUGUGUGAUUCUAUGAUUCUGUGAUGUGAUCUUGAGAGCAUACAGUGCUGACUGCUGACUGCAGCAGUGCUGCAGUUCUCUGGCACAUUCCUCAUGGGGACCCAUGUCACCAGCACCAAUGCACCAUGCAGAAAAAAAUUCUGGUUGCGUCUGUGUUCCAAGGGAAGGACUCUCUGCCCUUUGCUAGACUGAUAUCCUCCCUUGCUGCUGCCGGAACUUGGCUGCAGAGUGCAGCCUGCAGGUAUGUGCUCCGUCGCCCUUUUGAGUUCUGCAGUUCUGCUGCACCAUGCCAAUCAGAUCGGAAUCGCUGAGAUUUAACAUAGUUUCUUGAGAAUUAGGAUGUGCUAUCAGUGACAUGAUCAUAGAACCAUCUCUAUCAGUUGCGCUACGCACAAAAGAGGACCUUGAUCAACGGUGAUGUGCCUUCCAAAACUAAUUUUGGAGGCCUUCAUAUGCUUUCUAUGAUUUGAUCUAAGGCUGUAAAAUACUUGGACCCGAUAUUUUGGGUACUCGAAAUUUCUGGUCGAGUUCAGGUUCAACUCUUGGAUACCCGAAACAUUUAAAACUCGAAAAACUCGACCUGAAAUUUCAGGUAUAUCCGAACGCCUUCCAACACUUCACAAUAUGUUUUUUGCACCUUGCAGACCUCCGAGCCGCCAGACGCCCACACCUUUCUGCAGCACGACGCCACUUCAUCAUCGCGUUCUUGCGGAGAGGGAGGACAGGCUCGUUGAAGUAGGUGUUUGUGCGUCAAGUGUUUAAUUCAUAUGGUUGAUUUGGGGAUAGCUAUGUAUGCAAUGGGUGCAAAUUGGUCUAGAUCUAGCAUUGAAUUGUCAUUAGGAAUUUAGGAUUAACUGUAGCUACCCAAGAGUAUUGAUGAGUGAAGGACAGAGCUAGGGACACAAUAUAGAGGCACGCUGAUCCUGGAUACUGUCAAAUAACUAGCAUACGAGAGAUUUAUAGAUGUAUUUCACUCAUCAAUACUCUUGGGUUGUGCAUGAGUAUUUCCGUUGCAAGGUUUUGAGCGUGUGGUAGAAUCAUGUGAGAAGUGGUGAUAUUGAAAAUUUUAAAAAGUUGUGUGAUGAGAAGGGGAAAUGAUGACAGGACUGCAUCCUUCUUAACAGAAGAUAUGCAUGGGGCUGGAGAGGCACAAGUGAAAGACUGAUAAGUUUUCUUUCUUGUCGGCUUCUAAUCCACGCAUUAUUCCAUGUUUCUCUGGUAUACUUGAAUGAGUUUACUUGCAUGAAUUCUCUAUGAAUCCCUUAAGUUCCUGAAUACUUCUUUAUUGUAGCCUAUUUGUGCAGUCUUUAAACUCAUAGAAAAAUAUUAGUGGCCAGUAACAUUAGUAACAGAACAUAUUUUGGUUAUGUACUUUUUAUUCUUUGGUUCAACUAUGUGCAGGACCAACUUCUUUGCAACUCUUAUUUAUGCAGCAAUUUUUGUUGUUCAAAAUAGUAAUUGCCAUUACCAUGUCCUCAUGAUCGUAGCUGGUGGACAUGUAACACAUGUUUGGGAAUUAGGGGAUUUCAUCACCUCGUCGGAGGUGAGCUAGAUGUUUGGAGAGGUAAAACUGGUGCUUACCAAUCAAUUAUUGUCACCACUAUUGUGAAUAACAUUGCACUGAGCUUUAAUCACGAUUUAGUAAUGAAGUCUAUGUUUCAAGUAUAGAGUUGCAAUCAUAUGAUGUGCUCUCUUUUUUCCAAACCAACAAGACAUUAAUGAGAUUCAUGAACUGAUUGUGUUGCUAUCGUAUUCCUUUGGCACAGAUGAUUGGUGUAUGGGCAAUGUGUCUCUAGGAGCAAAUGGGAAAUGCAACAAAGAUGAUUUAUAAAUAUGUACAAGGCUGAGUUAUUUAUUUUUUCCUUGCAUUGCUGUUAUUUUCCAUUUCCCACACCUGGGGUUCUCAUGUUACCUCCAAUUAUAGCAAAAGUUUGCUAAGAUGGGUGAAGUGCUUCUUGCAGGCACAUCCUGGAGGUUUUCUUUUCACGAAGUUUGCCAGUAGUAACCAGACUCUUUUUGACCUUUUCCCGGUAAAAGUCCUUAUCUUACUCUUUAUUCUUGGUUUUUUUGUAUGUACAUGUUUAAAAUUUUGGUAAUCUGAUGAACCAUGAUAUUGACUUUAUUUCCUUGAUUUGCACUGUUUUAAUUUAAUAUGAUUUUUGAAAAUGCAGGAUAGCUUUGGUAGCAGGUUACAUGAAAGAAGCAAAGAAAGUCCGAAAACAAUGAAACAUCUAAAUAAACUUUUCCCAAACAAAAUUUUGAUCUAGCUUCCACAGGUGAUUAUAUCUAUUGUCACACUCAUUUGGUUGUUAUUAAUCAUAUUUUCUGACCUAAAGAAUUAAAUUUACAGGAUGAAGCCCUACUUACAGAUUGGAAGCAGCAGUUGGAUUCCUGGCACAACCUCGCUUCGCCAGCCAAGUAUUGCAAUAUUUACUUAUGUGUUUUAGAUUCACCUAUUUUACUGCUUUAUUAUGUCUGACUGUAUCCUAGAACGCAAGAGAUUUCAUCGCUGACUGAUCCUGCCAAGGUGGCAAUAAAUAAGAAAAUAAGAGGAACUGAUUGUUGUGUCUUUAAAUUCUUUAGCCGGUAGUGUAAUGGGAUAAAAGAAGAGUGGAAGCCAGAAAUCCUUGGCUGCAAGAGGCAUAUCAGCCCUGGUCCUGUACUUCGUCCACACUUAACUCCCUAUGAGAGCUGUCUCUGCAUCAUCGAUUGGUUUAGGUACGCAGAAUCCUCUUUUUUUUAUUUCUGAUCCUUUGGCUAUUUUCUUUGCUUGGAAGUUCUACCGAUCUGGAUUAUUUCACAUGACAUCGUCGUUGAUUCAGCUCACGUGAGUGCUGAGAAUGGAGUAGGUUUAGUAAAACUGAUGGAUCAUUGUAGCACUUAGUAUUCUAACAGAUUGCAUAGAGAUGCCUACACAGUUCAUACUUAUAAUCACUUGCAUUCAAUCCACAUGAACACACAUAUUCUUUGCUUUACUACAGGUCUACCAAUCAGAACUUUUAAUACAAAUAAUCAUUUAUGCCUGUUGUGUUCUUAUGUCACUAACUUGUCCAAUGAAAAAGAGUCAGGUAAUAACCAUUGUCAUUUUUCUUGUAGGUAUUUGACUUAUUUGAUACAAAACACAAUGGAAUUCUUAGAUUUGAAGACUUUGCUCAGGUGUUGUCAUCAUAGCACAAGGAUAAAUUUACUCGCUGAGUCUGUUUUAAUUUUUUGCUGAAUCAUGUUUUGUUCCUCACUGUUCUUAAAUAUGAAUGCUGGUCCUUUGUUCCUCACUGUUCUUAAUUAUGGUUGCUGCUCCUUUGAAGUUCAUGCGUGAGACUUGAUGCUCCGAAGGCCCUUACCUCCUUGUGCACACAAGGUCUGAGAUGAUGGAAAAGUGAAAUGAAAUUGUGUUUGAGAUCUUAGAAAAGGUUAGUUGGUAGAUAUUUUGCAAAUAUUUAGGAGAAAAGGUGUCGUCAUAUUUGUUUCUCCUUUUCCGAUCUUUAAAAAUAAUUUGUGUGAUAUUGAUAAUGUUUACCAUACGGAUUUUGUAUAUCAUAGUGAUGUUUAUCGUUCCGUUUCUAUGUUUCAUACAAACUUUUUUACUCCCGUCGCAACGCACGGGCACUCACCUAGUAUAUAUAUAUAUAUAUAUAUUACCUUAUUUGUAAACAUUUUCUUCUCUUUUCCUUUAGAACGUAAAUUCUAAUUUGGGUGUCCACAUAUUUCUUUUUUACGUUAUUUUCAUAUUGUCACAAAAUGCACACACAAUAAAAUCUCAGCAUGAUGUAUAAUUUAGUGGUAUGUCUUUUAUUAAGAAUUUGUUUUUAAAUGUGGUGUUCGCAUGUGAUGGUGAAUAAAAAUGGCACACAUAUAUAAAGGAAAUAGUUUCUCCUUUUAUGUUUUCUUACAAAUUGGGUAUUACAGAGGGGCUGAUUGACUCGGCAGAAGGAAUAGUUAUCAAUGACCCUUAGACAAGUAGUCAAGGUUUUGCUUCGGAGCCUCGAGCCAAUUGUUCUCAGAAUUGAUGUGAGUCUCAAGAGCUUGUGGGGGAUAGACAUCCCUCGGGUCUUCAUAACCUAGAUCGGGUCCAUGGGUCGUUAAAGGGACUGAGUGAGCCAGGAAGAUGUUUUUUGGGCUACCCGACAAACUCAGACCUAGAGACAAUGCAAGCGAGCCAGGAACUCUGUCUUGUGGGCUCACCAGUGGACUCAAACAUAAAGACAGUACCACACUUGGACUUCAAGGCACCGACAUUUGUUGUGAUUUUUCUCCGAGAUAGCCGGCACGGAGCCACGUGUCCCAAGAUAGUCGAAGCAGUUGCACAGAUAUGCAGAAAGGGCGUUAGUGGGUGGUCCUAAUCUCGUUUCUACGAUACAGCGAGUGGAGGACCCCUAUAGAGGCAUCAAGUAGACGGUAGUCGAGGCAUUCAUUGUUCAAUUCCUCAUACACUAUGUAACCCAUAUCAAGAGAAAAAUCAUCCAUAUAGGAUACAUGAUGUAUGGUGUUAUGCCUCCCAACAGUCCAAACCUGUCUAAAUCCUUGUGUUCCAUCGUGUUGAUCAUGAACCAUUGGCUAUGGUCAAUCUCGCCACCACCAAAAGUGCAUGAUACACCCCAUACUGCAUUCAUGGAGCAAAAAUAAAAUAUCACUCAUGUGUUGUAUAGUUUUGUGGCAGUGGUUCAGUCGAUGAUCAAGGUUCGAGCUCGUUGUCCGGUUGUGGCUCUGAUAUUUCCCCUUUUAUUAUCUUCUGAGUUUAUUAUUGUAUAUAUCGUUUUGCUAUUGGUAAAGAUCUAUAGCCGGAAGAAGUGGGAAACCUUAGUAGGUCCAAUUGUUGCUGAGGAAUUGAAAGGUAGUGUCAUCUACUGGAAAUGGAAGAUUUGUUUGGCCACAUUUUAUGCACCCUUGUUGAUGUGUUCUACCUCACUAAUGUUAGUCUCUCUCAGCUUGGAGAACCAAGGUGAUGAGAAGGCAGUCUACCUUUGUUUUUCACCAUGCUUCUCAUAAUCUCAUCCCAUGGAGCUAAAAUAAAAUACUUAUUUGGAUGGUAGGAAUCCUUUUCUCUUCCUUAAUCUUUCUGUAGAACAAAUUCUAAUUGUAUCGUUCUUUAUUACAUGGUUAGCGUAUCACAGUGUAAGGACAUAAAAAGGAGAAGAAUGUGAGAGUCCUGCCUCCAUCAUAUUGUUUAUGUUUGUCUAUCUGCUUAUUUUCUACUGAACUCGAGUCAAUAGAAACUCUAUCCAUGACUCUGUUUUGUGAUUUUUAGCUACCAUUAGUCAUUGGGUGUGCAAAUAUUAAUAUGUCUGUGUUGGUCACUUGCUCUCGAAUGUUGUGGAUCAAGAACAAGGCAACAUAGUUGUUAAGAAUUAAAGACCUUCAUCCUCCGAAACAUUAUCUCCUCCCGAGCAUAAUGAUCUUCAGACGAAGGUUAUGGAGGACAUGCCCUCCUCAUUUAAUACGAGAAUGAGAAUACAUAAAGAUAAUGAAUGUAAUUCCUUGAUUCAUUCAAAUUUGUAUUUCAUAAUGUACACAUGAAUAUUAACUGAAUUUAUAUUACAAUGAUACCUUUGGCUUGUUCGAAGGUGCUGAUGCGAGAGUGAUUACAAUCCAGCGUGAACAGUAUGGUGCUACUGUUCAUCUAUUUAUAGGCACGGGACGCAGCCCGGGUAAAAGUACAUUUGUGUCCCUGACAUUUACUUAUGACCACAACAUAAAUCAUUAAGGACUAGCUACUAUUUUUCCCUUGCGGUCAGCGUCAUGUUUGGUCUUCAUCAUCAUUUUAAGCCGAAGCUAUUACCCUUCGGCUAUAGCUACGAUGUUCAUUCUUAUCAUCUUCGAAUUAUAUCUUCACCUCGUAUGCCUUUGUCAUGGGAGAAAACUUCCAUCCUGAAGCCGAAGCUCCCUAUAAUAAUCCAUAUCAUGCUAAAAACGUACGGUUAGUCAUGUUUUUGAGAGCCUUCAGAAGAGGAAGGCCCUCAACAGUAGCCCCUCGCAGUAUUAAUUUGUUUCUUUGUAACAAAUUUAAGUUGUGAUAUGAACGAAGGCCUUUAGCUGAAGGUCCAAAAAAACACCGUCCCUUCGCUAGUAUAUAUAAAGAAGGAUUUGUCGUGAAUAUUUUUCGUGCCAUCUAGUUGUUUGUGCUGUGAUUGCCAUCUUAGCCUUCUUUUAUUUUGUGAGCUCGAUUGACUUUUGAUCUACGACAUUUGCUGCAACCAUCAUCUGAAUGGCUGAGGACAAGAAGAUUACAGAACCCUCAAUGUCUGGGUUUUACGAAGUUAUGGAGAAGACUAGCACAGAAAAGAUCACCAAUGUGAUGUUGGCUGGGUUGUGUGAGGAUUGAAGAUGUCUAAGAUCGGCCAUGGAGGCCGAGCCAUGUUGUUUUUGGGAAGUCAACUGUCAAACAAGGGCAAAUUGAAGAGAUGAACGACAAAUAUUUUCAUGAUGUUUCUGUAUUGAGGGUCGGGGGGAAGCACCAUUCCCCUUCCCAGAGCUAAUGAGGUGGUGGUCUUUAAGAGCUUCAUGAAAGCUGGGCUUCGCUUUCCACUCCACAAGAUGUUGGUUGUGGUUCUAAAGACAUUCGAAAUAUGACAAAGGACCAGCUUGUGGACAACCUUGCUUACAAUAGCUUGAAGGUUUGCACAUUUUUUGUCUUUACCAUCAGGGUCAUCGCGGAUGAAUUUUUUCUCAGAAGAAUAGGCUCCUACCUUUGUAAAACUGUUCUUCAGAGUUUUGGCACAUUUCAAGGAUAUCUCGUAGCAUCUUUCUUUGGAGUCAUGGAGCUCUUCGACAUUCUUUUGCACCAUUAAUCUUGCAAUUUCGCUUAUUUCGUGCUUCGCAUUUGCAACUUCAAAUUUUUCAUUCAUUUCCGCAAGCUUUUUCUUCAAAUCUUCAACUUCGGCCUUGUGAGCUUCGGCUUGUGCACUAAGUUUGGCUUCGCUAGUUUUCAGCAUAUCCACUAAGGAAAACAAUAUCUUAUCCUUCUCGAGAGCUUCAUUCCUUAGUGAAAUGACCUCUGACCGAAGAUUCCCAAGAGCUAUCUAGACAGAGAUAUCUUUAUUGUCUGGUAGGGAAUAGAGAAAAUCAUCCUCGUCAUUGCCGCUAUACACCAAAGAUCCUUGCAGAUACUUCAAAUCCUUGGCGUAUUGCCUUGUUUCGGCAAUCUGCUCCUCCAAUAAUUGUUUACCCGAAGCAUGUCGAACAAUAAACUCCAACUCUUCGGUAGGUGCUUCGGGAGCAGGAGACUUGGACUUCUCAGGGACACCUUCUUUUUCCAAGAUUAGUGGUUGUAACGCCCUGAAUUUGGGGGUAGAGUUUUUUCUUCUUUUCUCUCACCAAAUUCAGGCGUUACCCCUUUCUUUUUUCUCGUUCCCUCGCUAAACCUUGAUCUGUUCCAAAGUUAUAGCGGGUUUUGGCUUUAGACCCCGUGUAAAGCAAAACCUUAAAAUACUUUAUUUUGGAUGGUGCACCAUGCCGAACCAAGCAUACUUUCGAUUGUUUAAAAAUGUAAAAGCAUUCAUCCAAAGAAAAUUAGAUUUUAGAAAAAGAAAACCCUUUUCUUUUUCUCUCCCUCCCUCCCUUUCCCAUUUCGGCCCAGCUGCCCCCCCCCCCCCUUGGCGCGCCGGCCAAGCUGGCGGCCCGGCCGCGCCUCCCCCCUCCCCUCCCGCGUGGGCCUCCUGGCCGGCCUAGCCGCGCGCUCCCCCAUCCCCCCCUUUCGGCCCAUGGCCGGCCUAGCCGCCCCCCUCCCUUUUCUUUUUCCAAAAAUCCCUCCCGCGGGCCCCGCCCGUCAUUCUCUCACCCUCUCUCUCUUCCCCCAAACCCUAACCGCGUCGCCCCUUGCCCUGCACGCCGCCGCCGCCCCUGCGCGCCACCCCGCGCCGCCCCCCCCCCGGUGAGGCUUCCCCCCUCUCCUCCCUCCCUCUCCUCCCUCCGGCGCCCUCCCCUCACCCUCGCCGCCCGGCUCGGCCCCGGCCCGGCCGCCCGUGCCCCCGCGCCGCCCGGCUCGGCCACCCCGCCCGCGUUCGGCCGCCCCCGCGCCGCCCGCCCGGCCGACCCCGCCCGGCCGCGCCCCGCCCUCCCCCGCGCCCACGCCCCGAGCUCGGCCGCCUCGGCCCCGCUCCGGCGAGCCCGCCCCGGCUUGGCCGCGCCCCUCGGCCCCGCCUCCGGUGACCAGCCCGCCCCCGCGCCCGGCCGCCCCUCCGGCGAGCCGCCCCUCCCCCUCCCGUGUCCGGCUUGGCCCCGCCCCCGGCGAGCCCGGCCGCGCCCGCUCGGCCCCGCCCGCCCGGUUCCCCGGCGAGCCGCUCGGCCCCUGCGCCCGCCCCGCCCCCGGCUCGGCCGCCCGCCUCCCAGCGAGCUCGGCCGCCCCUGGCCGGUUCAACCGCCCCGGCCCGGUCGCCCCGCCGUGCCUUGAUCGCGUCGUGUCGGCCCCUACGUGGUCUCGAGCUUGGCCCAGAGUGCCUAUGGCGCGCGGCUUUGAGCUCGGCUAGCGCUCGGCCCCGACGUGCACACGGCUAGUCCGUGGUGUGUGCGUGCGGCCUCGCGCGCGUGCCCGCGUAGUGCGCGUGCCUUGGCACGACCCGUCGUGCCUCGUCUACCCCCUAACCCCCCGUCUACCCCCCCCCCCCCCCCGUAUCCUAUAUGCGCUAAUCACGUCGUUUAUAUUAAUAAGAUAGGAGUCUCAAUUUGGAAAUUGGUUACGUUAGUUAAUUUGUAUAGCCAAUCGUCUAUCUUAUUCAAUGUUAAUCUACUAAAAGUGAUCGCGUUUACAUUAGUGCAUGUAGCUAAUUCUUUUGUUAGAACUAAUUGGAACUAGAACACGUGACGUCUAGUCAUUCGUUUACCCGUAGUGCCCCUCGAGCAUAAGCCUUAACCCCUGCGAGACCUUCCCUCGUUUCUUUCUAACCAAGGUAAAUCCAUUAUCGUAUGUGGUAUUCUAUGCAUAUUUGCUUUACUUGUUCUCUUGUAUGGUGUACUGUUGGUUUCCUAAUUUCAAUGAAUGGAUGUAUGUAUGUUUGCACCCGCUUAGAGAACGAUCCGGUUGAAGAGCCCGAGGAACUCGCAGGAGAAGCCCCUGAGCAGCAGUCGGUUGGUGGAGGCAAGUGUCCUUUGACCUAUCUCUGUCCUAUUCAUUAUUUAAUUCACCUCCCGCUUUACACAUUUAUGCCUAAGGAUUGACUAGCCUUUGGUUAUCCAUGUCCUUGUUUACCUAUCUGGGUUGGAUUAUUAUUGUUUAGCUUUAUGCUAUUGCUCAAACUCUAAUCAAUGAACAUGAUGAGAUUAUCUAUGAUACGCUGUUUUCCCUUCUCUUAUUAUGAUGUUGUACUUGUGGUCAUCAAGGGGGCUCGAGCGGUUUCUCGAGUGCCUCUCCGUAAGGACCUGUUCUUUGGAUGACCGCCCGGGAAAACAGUGCAACCAUGAGGGUGGAAUGGGAUGCCCUUAGCUGAAUAAUUAGAGGAUCCGGGGUGUAGUUCACUUAGCCGUCGUGCCGUCAAUGGGGCUCGGUGUAUGCGGCUCGCUCUGCCAAGUUUGGGUUCGCCCCUUGGGGAGGAGUGCAGUGCAUUUAGGAAACCUAACGGGUGGCUACAGCCCCGGGGAAUCUUUGUAAAGGCUACGUAGUGAUGCCCUGCUGGGUCACCUUGGUAGUGAUCAAUGGAGAGUCAUGAUCUCCGGGCAGAAUGGGAAUCACGGCUUGUGGGUAAAGUGCACAACCUCUGCAGAGUGUUUGAAAACUGAUAUAUCAGCCGUGCUCGCGGUUAUGAGCGGCCAAGGGAGCUCCAGUGAUUAGUGGUACUUGAUCAGAGAUACUUUGGUUUACAGGUGGCAAUGAGACUGAUGGUUUUGGUUAUGAAUAUGUUGCUGGUAAGUGGUAUUCUUUCCGUUUGGAAAGGGUACAUCGGGCUAAUAACUUGGGUUAAAGCUAAAACCUUGCUUUCUAUUAGUAAAUAAUAAUCUGACCAACUAAAAGCAACUGCUUGACUUAUCCCCACAUAAAGCUAGUCCACUACAGCCAAACAGGAUACUUGCUGAGUAUGUUGAUGUGUACUCACCCUUGCUCUACACACCAAACCCCCCCAUCCCCAGGUUGUCAGCAUUGCAACCACUGCUCAGGCGAAGAUGAAGCUGUGGAAGGAGACUUCUAGGAGUUCCAAGACUAUGACGAGUUCUAGGCGUGGGUUAGCGGCAACCCCCCAGUCGGCUGCCUGUGAAGGCCGCGGUUAUCUACGUUUCUUUUCCGCACUUUGAUUUAUUGUAAGGACUAUAUGGACGUCUCAGACGUAUGAUGUAAUCGACUAUUUCCCUUUUAAUACUCUUUUGAGCACUGUGUGAUGAUGUCCAUGUUAUGUAACUGCUGUGUACGUGAAUAACUGAUCCUGGCACGUACAUGGUUCGCAUUCGGUUUGCCUUCUAAAACCGGGUGUGACAUAAGUGGUAUCAAAGCCGUGCUGACUGUAGGACCGCUAACCUAGAAUAGAAUGGUCGUUGUAAGGACUAUAAACCUCUGUCCCUGCCUUGACUUUGAUAUCCCUUCAAAAGUUGGUCAUACCGACCAAACCUAUGUUCUACUAUAUAAUAUACCUUGCUGAAAAUGGUGUUUUAUUCUAAUCCUUCAUUUACUUAUGAUUCAUUAUUUGCUGGUCAUAUUAAUUCUGUUCUCACCCUUUUGCUUGCGAUGUCUUUUGUAGAUGGCUCGACUUAGACACACUGCACGAAAGUCUAUCAUCCCCUUCUUACCCUCCCGCCUUGCUGAGCGUCCGCUUCGCCGUCCCGUGGCCGGACAGUCCAGCCACUUGGAGAGAUUGCACCACCGCCUGCAUGAGGAGCAGGAACGUCGACGACAGGAGCAGCAUGGCUCUUCUUUCUCGCUCCAACAGGAGAUAGAGUCUGUGAGGAGCUGCUCCCCUGUGCUUCCCUUGGAGGUGCCCCCUGCACCACCACUGGGCGCCCCAGCUUCUGGAGUAGCUGCUGGAGGAGACCCAGACGACGGAGGUGGCGACGACAGCUCGAGCCACGACAUCGACCUUUCUGCUAACCAUGAGCCGGAAGGAUGGGUUGCUCGACACAUCACUCGCGACGCUGCUCGCGGGUGUCACUUCCAUGAUGCGCUCGACACCCUGCUACAUCGGGCACUUAACCGGCAUACUUGAUCCAUCGAGUAUCGUUGUGUGGUCUACCAGCACAGUCGCGGGGUCUACCCGGACCGCUGGGAGGCAACCUGCUUGGUGCGCCGCCCGGAGAACAGUCUCCAGGGUGCGGAGGCCUGCUUAGAGCACUAUUCUAUCUCUGAGCGGGACUCAGCUGAGGCAGCCAUGCAAGAUGCUGCACGGCGUGCGCUUUCGCACUACUGCUCGGUUUUCGGUGGGGUAGCUGACGGUCUUGACCUGAAGUAUUACCCCCGCCGUCCAUCUGGCAGCACAGGAGGCGUGAUUGUCUCACCUGUCGGUGAGGGCAAUCCUAGGUUGAGCAGCACAGUCAACCUAGCCGUCGUGCUAAACACGGAGCUGGACCAUGCAUUAGACGAGCUGAGUAGGGCUCGUGCUGAGAUCGCCCUGCUGCGGGCUGAGCGCACGGAACGUCGUCACCUGGAUGGUGGUUCCCCCGCUCACGUUGGGACUCAGCACCCGUACCGCUCACCUCGGCGUGGACACCAGUCUUAUGGCAAUCCCGACUGUAAGACCAAGAUAACUCUAGAACCAUAGCUCGUUAGAGUUGGAUCUUGUAAUUAAUACGAAAUAUAUACAUAGAAGCUACAGUCUUAGCGUUAGUCUCGCUUUAGUUAGUCUUAGUUAGACAGGGUAGUUUGUUAUAUCCUAUGCAUUUAUGGUUGUCAUGAUGAACUAUGUUUGGUUUGGAUCUUUGUAAUGACUGUCACCAGAGUGUGGGUAUCCCCUGCAUUUUGGUUUACCUAUUAUGUUAAUGGAGUUAGUUAUAUAGUUGGGAAACCUUUUAUUCCACUUUCCUCUUUAUCUGAGAAGUUGUGUGGUCUGUGUUGGAGAUCAGUGAAGAUGCUCGUCUGUUCAGUGCUGUUGAAGAAUUCUAUACUCUUUUCUUAUGCUGCAAGAUUUGCCAGAUCAGUUCUGAUGUGUGGUUGCAUUCUGCAGAUGUCAGAGAACAGGCGCAGAGGAGGUAGGCGUGCUCAGCAGGAGCGAGCCGCUCAACAGGAUGAGGUGCCCCAGCAGCAGCACCUGCCGCCCCCGCCCCCGAUGUCGAUCGAGCAGAUGUUUCUGAUGCAGACUCAGGCAGUUCAAGCCAUCGGUCAGACUUUGGCCGCCAUUCAGCAGCAGCAGCAACAACAGCAGCAGGCCCCACCUCAACCUCAGAUGCCUCAGAUGCCCAGAGACAAGCAUGCUGAAUUCAUGAGAGGUCAUCCACCAACGUUCGCUCAUUCUUCUGACCCCAUGGAUGCUGAAGAUUGGCUGUGCACUGUGGAGCGGGAGUUGCAUACCGCUCAGUGCGAUGACAGGGAGAAAGUCCUGUAUGGUCCCCGUCUGUUGAGAGGAGCAGCCCAGUCAUGGUGGGAGUCUUACCUCGCCACCCAUGCCCACCUUGACGCCAUCACCUGGGAAGAGUUCAGAGGAAGCUUUCGUCAGUACCAUGUUCCUGCAGGUCUGAUGACAGUGAAGAAGGAGGAGUUCCUGGCCCUUAAGCAAGGGCCAUCGUCUGUCAGUGAGUACCGGGACAGGUUUCUGCAAUUGUCUCGCUAUGCUCCUGAAGAUGUCAACACCGACGCCAAGCGACAGUACCGUUUCCUGAGAGGCUUGGUUGACCCUCUGCAGUACCAACUGAUGAAUCACACCUUCCCGACAUUCCAGCACCUGAUUGACAGAGCAAUCAUGACAGAGAGAAAGCGUAAGGAGAUGGAGGAUCGUAAGCGCAAGAUCAGUGGACCCUAGCCUGGAAGCAGCAAUCGUCCUCGUUUCUCAGGCAAUCAACCCCAGCAGUUCAGGCAGAACCAGCGUCCACCUCAGCAGCAUCAGCAGUUUCAAAGGCAGUAUCCUCAGCAUCAGUACCAGAACCGUCAGAGCAAUCAGUCAGGAGGUCAGUUUCAGAGGCAGAAUCAUCAAGCACCUCGCCUUCCUGCCCCAGCAAACCAGCAGAACAAUCAGGCAGCACCAGCUCAGGUUGGAAACAGGGCAUGUUUCCACUAUGGAGAGCAAGGCCACUGGGUGAUGCAAUGUCCGAAGAAGGCAGCCCAGCAGCAGUCAGGCCCCAGCGCCCCAGCAAAGCAGAACGUGCCUCAGCCUGGAUCAAGCAACCGCUCUCAACCGCGCUAUAAUCAUGGAAGGCUGAACCACUUGGAGGCUGAAGCAGUUCAGGAGACCCCCGGCAUGAUAGUAGGUAUGUUCCCAGUCGACUCCCAUAUUGCAGAAGUGUUAUUUUAUACUGGAGCAACACAUUCUUUCAUUACUGCAUCAUGGGUAGAAGCACAUAAUCUUCCAAUUACUACCAUGUCAACCCCCAUUCAAAUUGACUCAGUCGGUGGUAGAAUUCGAGCCGAUAGCAUUUGUUUGAAUAUAAGUGUGGAAAUAAGGGGGAUAGCAUUUCCCGCCAACCUUAUAGUAAUGGGUACUCAGGGAAUAGAUGUCAUCCUAGGGAUGAAUUGGCUAGAUAAGUAUCAGGCAGUUAUCAGUUGUGAUAAAAGGACCAUCAAGUUGGUGUCCCCACUAGGAGAGGAAGUGGUGACCGAGUUAGUCCCGCCUGAGCCAAAGAAAAGGAGUUGUUAUCAGCUAGCUGUUGAUAGCAGUGAAGCAGACCCGAUCGAGAGUAUCAAGGUUGUGUCCGAGUUCCCAGAGGUGUUUCCAAAGGACUUACCGGGUAUGCCACCAGAGCGGAAAGUUGAGUUUGCCAUAGAGCUUCUUCCUGGAACCGCCCCUAUCUUUAAGAGAGCUUACAGAAUAUCUGGACCAGAGUUGGUGGAGCUUAAGGAGCAGAUUGAUGAGUUGUCAGAGAAAGGUUACAUUCGGCCAAGCACCUCGCCUUGGGCCGCCCCUGUCCUAUUUGUGGAGAAGUGGCCUAUCAGCUCAGUUUGCCCGAGAAUUUGUCUGUUGUGCAUGAUGUCUUUCAUGUGUCUCAGUUGAAGAAGUGCUUGCGUGUGCCAGAAGAGCAGUUGCCAGUGGAAGGUCUUGAAGUCCAGGAGGACUUGACCUACAUUGAGAAGCCAGUGCAGAUCCUUGAGGUUGCAGACAGAGUCACCCGAAGGAAGACCAUCAGGAUGUGCAAAGUCAAAUGGAAUCAUCACUCUGAGGAAGAAGCAACCUGGGAGCGUGAAGAUGAUCUGAUGGCUAAAUACCCUGAGCUCUUUGCUAGCCAACCCUGAAUCUCGAGGGCGAGAUUCUUUUAAGGGGGAUAGGUUUGUAACGCCCUGAAUUUGGGGGUAGAAUUUUUUCUUCUUUUCUCUCACCAAAUUCAGGCGUUACCCCUUUCUUUUUUCUCGUUCCCUCGCUAAACCUUGAUCUGUUCCAAAGUUAUAGCGGGUUUUGGCUUUAGACCCCGUUUAAAGCAAAACCUUAAAAUACUUUAUUUUGGAUGGUGCACCAUGCCGAACCAAGCAUACUUUUGAUUGUUUAAAAAUGUAAAAGCAUUCAUCCAAAGAAAAUUAGAUUUUAGAAAAAGAAAACCCUUUUCUUUUUCUCUCCCUCCCUCCCUUUCCCAUUUCGGCCCAGCCCCCCCCCCCUUGGCGCGCCGGCCCAGCUAGCGGCCUGGCCGCGCCUCCCCCUCCCCUCCCGCAUGGGCCUCCCGGCCGGCCCAGCCGCACGCCCCCUUCCCCCCCUUUCGGCCCAUGGCCGGCCCAGCCGCCCCCCCCCCUUUUCUUUUUCCAAAAAUCCCUCCCGCGGGCCCCGCCCGUCAUUCUCUCACCCUCUCUCUCUCAUGCCCCAAACCCUAAUCGCGCCGCCCCUUGCCCUGCGCGCCGCCGCCGCCCCUGCGCGCCGCCCCGCGCCGCCCCCCCCGGUGAGGCUUCCCCCUCUCCUCCCUCCCUCUCCUCCCUCCGGCGCCCUCCCCUCACCCGCGCCGGCCGGCUUGGCCCUGGCCCGGCCGCCCGCGCCCCCGCGCCGCCCGGCUCGGCCACCCCGCCCGCCCGGCCAACCCCGCCCGGCCCGGCCACCCCGCGCCGCCCGCCCGGCCAUGCCCCGCCCUCCCCCGCGCCCGCGCCCCGAGCUCGGCCGCCUCGCCCCCGCUCCGGCGAGCCCGCCCCGGCUUGGCCGCGCCCCUCGGCCCCGCCUCUGGUGACCAGCCCGCCCCCGCGCCCGGCCGCCCCUCCGGCGAGCCGCCCCUCCCCCUCCCGUGUUCGGCUCGGCCCCGCCCGCCCGGUUCCCCGGCGAGCCGCUCGGCCCCUGCGCCCCGCCCUGCCCCUGGCCGGUUCAACCGCCCCGGCCCCAGCUCGGCUGCUCCCGCCCCGCCCCGCCCCGGUCGCCCCGUCGUGCCUUGCUCGCGUCGUGUCGGCCCCUGCGUGGUCUCGAGCUUGGCCCAGCGUGCCUAUGGCGCGCGGCUUUGAGCUCGGCUAGCGCUCGGCCCCGACGUGCACACGGCUAGUCCGUGGUGUGUGCGUGCAGCCUCGCGCGCGUGCCCGCGUAGUGCGCGUGCCUUGGCACGACCCGUCGUGCCUCGUCUACCCCCUAACCCCCCCCCCUGUAUCCUAUAUGCGCUAAUCACGUCGUUUAUAUUAAUAAGAUAGGAGUCUCAAUUUGGAAAUUGGUUACGUUAGUUAAUUUGUAUAGCCAAUCGUCUAUCUUAUUCAAUGUUAAUCUACUAAAAGUGAUCGCGUUUACAUUAGUGCAUGUAGCUAAUUCUUUUGUUAGAACCAAUUGGAACUAGAACACGUGACGUCUAGUCAUUCGUUUACCCAUAGUGCCCCUCGAGCAUAAGCCUUAACCCCUGCGAGACCUUCCCUCGUUUCUUUCUAACCAAGGUAAAUCCAUUAUCGUAUGUGGUAUUCUAUGCAUAUUUGCUUUACUUGUUCUCUUGUAUGGUGUAUUGUUGGUUUCCUAAUUUCAAUGAAUGGAUGUAUGUAUGUUUGCACCCGCUUAGAGAACGAUCCGGUUGAAGAGCCCGAGGAACUCGCAGGAGAAGCCCCUGAGCAGCAGUCGGUUGGUGGAGGCAAGUGUCCUUUGACCUAUCUCUGUCCUAUUCAUUAUUUAAUUCACUUCCCGCUUUACACAUUUAUGCCUAAGGAUUGACUAGCCUUUGGUUAUCCAUGUCCUUGUUUACCUAUCUGGGUUGGAUUAUUAUUGUUUAGCUUUAUGCUAUUGCUCAAACUCUAAUCAAUGAACAUGAUGAGAUUAUCUAUGAUACGCUGUUUUCCCUUCUCUUAUUAUGAUGUUGUACUUGUGGUCAUCAAGGGGGCUCGAGCGGUUUCUCGAGUGCCUCUCUGUAAGGACCUGUUCUUUGGAUGACCGCCCGGGAAAACAGUGCAACCAUGAGGGUGGAAUGGGAUGCCCUUAGCUGAAUAAUUAGAGGAUCCGGGGUGUAGUUCACUGAGCCGUCGUGCCGUCAAUGGGGCUCGGUGUAUGCGGCUCGCUCUGCCAAGUUUGGGUUCGCCCCUUGGGGAGGAGUGCGGUGCAUUUAGGAAACCUAACGGGUGGCUACGGCCCCGGGGAAUCUUUGUAAAGGCUACGUAGUGAUGCCCUGCUGGGUCACCUUGGUAGUGAUCAAUGGAGAGUCAUGAUCUCCGGGCAGAAUGGGAAUCACGGCUUGUGGGUAAAGUGCACAACCUCUGCAGAGUGUUUGAAAACUGAUAUAUCAGCCGUGCUCGCGGUUAUGAGCGGCCAAGGGAGCUCCAGUGAUUAGUGGUACUUGAUCAGAGAUACUUUGGUUUACAGGUGGCAAUGAGACUGAUGGUUUUGGUUAUGAAUAUGUUGCUGGUAAGUGGUAUUCUUUCUGUUUGGAAAGGGUACAUCAGGCUAAUAACUUGGGUUAAAGCUAAAACCUGGCUUUCUAUUAGUAAAUAAUAAUCUGACCAACUAAAAGCAACUGCUUGACUUAUCCCCACAUAAAGCUAGUCCACUACAGCCAAACAGGAUACUUGCUGAGUAUGUUGAUGUGUACUCACCCUUGCUCUACACACCAAACCCCCCCCCCCAUCCCCAGGUUGUCAGCAUUGCAACCACUGCUCAGGCGAAGAUGAAGCUGUGGAAGGAGACUUCCAGGAGUUCCAAGACUAUGACGAGUUCUAGGCGUGGGUUAGCGGCAACCCCCCAGUCGGCUGCCUGUGAAGGCCGCGGUUAUCUACGUUUCUUUUCCGCACUUUGAUUUAUUGUAAGGACUAUAUGGACGUCUCAGACGUAUGAUGUAAUCGACUAUUUCCCUUUUAAUACUAUUUUGAGCACUAUGUGAUGAUGUCCAUGUUAUGUAACUGUUGUGUACGUGAAUAACUGAUCCUGGCACGUACAUGGUUCGCAUUUGGUUUGCCUUCUAAAACCGGGUGUGACAGUGGUGUAGUCUCCGAAGGUAUUGCUUCGGCAAAAUCUGAGGAUCCAGCCUUCGAAACAUCUUGCUCAGUGCCAGUUUCGUCAAAUUUCUUUAAAAUUUUGCCUUCUGAACUAGGCACUUCAACAGAAGCAGGAGUUGAUGCCUUCACAGAUUCCAUGACAGCGUCUAGCACGCUGGCCAUUCUCCUCUUCCUCGGAGUUGUUGCAGGGAUCCUUGACGCCUUCGGCAAUUCCGUAUCGCAUGGUGGACUCAAGGUCUUCAGCUGCUCUGCCGCCUUCUUCAGUUUUGGCUCUUCAGUCGGUCCUGUCUUAGCUUCGACAAGCAUAGAGCGACUUGGCUUAGAUAUAGAAGCAGACCCUUCAAUUAGCUUCGGCACUUCGUCCGUUUCAAUGCGCUUGGGUCGGUGCGUCAAAACUUUAACCUUCUUUGACCUCGGCGCACUAGAAGUCACCGAAGUAGUAGUCUUUCUUUUCUUUCCUUGCUUUCAUGAAGGAUAACAGUAAUUUGGAUAUACAAAUCCAAUGACAUCAAACACCAUGUUCAACCUCUUUUUGCCUCGAGCCCCAAAGGCCGUUGUCAUGGCAUCAUCUUGAGCCUUCGAGUAGGCUCCAAGCAAUUCAUCAUUGGUUGCUUCUAUGGCAUCUAGCCAGUCAUCAUUUGGCUCAUCAAACUGACUUCUGUAUUUGAAGGUUUACUUCAGGUAGAUUAAACCACCUUGGCUAGAGCCAGCAGCAGCCUCCUUCGGCAUCUCCCACCCAUUUGCAUGUGGCCAUACUCUAUAAGCAAUGUGCUCCUGGACAAUGUCCAUUGUGCCUAUGUAAGUGCAUACUGUAUUGAAAGCCAUCUGGCAUGCUUGUAUAUCAUUCCCAAGGGUAUUGGAUGGUCUCCUAAUGCCAAAGCGAGACCAUAUAGGACGUUGAAUAAUCCCCUUGAUAUCCUCCAUUUCACUCAGGUCAUUCUUCACGUAGAACCAUUUCUGCUUCCAGGCCCCCGGCCAUCUCUUCUGAAAUGUGGGAACUGGGUAGCUCGCCUCAGAGCGAGGCACGAAGCUAUAACAACCGAAGUUGUUGUGAUAUUGCUCUUUUCAUGUACCCUUCUGUUGGUCACUUGUUCUCAAAUGCUAUAAAUCAAGAACAAGGCAACACAUGUAGAUGGUUAAAGACCUUAGUCCUUCGAAACAUUAUCUCCCUUAGGAUAUAAUGAGCUUCGGACAAAGGUCAUGAAGGACGUACCUUCUUCAUUUCAAUAAGCAAGGAUGUAAACUAAGACAUAUGAAAUGAAAAGGAAAUAUGAAUAACCAUUUCAUAUCAUUAGACGAUUCAUAUUUUUAUUAUAUAAACAAACAUCAAUGAUAUUCGAAUUAUAUUUGUACCUUCGGCUUGACAGAAGGUGAAAAAGAAAGAGUGAUGCGCGAGAGGUUACAAACUAGUGUGAACAGUACGGUGUUACUGUUCAUCUAUUCAUAGGCAUAGGACAUAGCCUAGGAAAAAUUACAUUCAUGUCCCUGACAUUUAGUGUUACCCGAAAGGUAACCUGUCGAGGACUAAGCAGUCUUUUCACCUUUAGGUCGGUUUCAUUCUCCACCAUCGUCCUUGUGCUAAGCCGAAGCUUCUCCAUCCACAGCUUCGGAGCUGGUUCAUCCUUCUUCCAGAUCGCGCUUUUCAUACCAUGCACACCUUUAUCUCAAAGCCGAAGCUUCCUGUGACAGUAUAUUAUACUGAAAAACAUGUUAGUUGUGUUUUUUAGGACCUUCAGAAGAAGAAGGCCCCCAACACCUUCGUCUCGUAAGACAACUCAUGGAUGUUGCAGAAACAUUUUGCAUUUGGCUCCAGUCCCUGGCUCCUCAUGGCCCAUAUAAAGAUCCCCACCUUGAUGAAAGCUUCGUGAGUAAGUUGAUGAAGGUAAAUUUCAAAGGUUCUCAGGACUUCGACCGGCAAUUUAUCUAGAGGGAACCGAAGCCCUGCCUUCAUGAAGCUUCUAUAAACUACCACUUCGUCAGCUUCGGGCAGAGGGACAUUAUUCUCCCCUCCAGCUCUCACAAUUGAGAUAUCACAAAAGUACCUCCCCCUCAUCGCAUCAAUCUGCCCUUGCCUAAUAGUUGAUUUCCUGAAGACAACAUGGCUUGGUUUCCAUGGCCGAUCUUUGGCAUCUUCAUUCCCACUUUCUACAUUGAAACUUUCACUAUCGCUGGAGUUCUCAGAUAUCCCAGCCAGCAUCUCGUUCGCAAUCUUCUCUACAUUAGUUUUUUCCAUGGCUUCAUAGAACCCAGACAGCGCCGAAUCAACAAUCUUCUUCUCAUCAGCCAUUAAGUCGAUGGUUGUUGAAAUGCCGAAGCUUGAAAUCCAAUUAAACUCGACAAAGCAAGAAACUUUAAAAAGACGAGCGCAAUGCAAGCAACUGAAAUGGCACAAGAAACGCUUACAAUGAAAGCUCCUGUUUAUAUGUCCAGAGCCCCACAGUUUGGUGGGUCCCGCAAGUCAGUGUCAUUCGCUAUUCUAGCGAAGGGAAGGUGUUUUUCGGACCUUCGGCUAAAGGCCUUCGUUCACGUCACAGUCUAAAUUUGUUACAAAGAAACAAAUCAAUACUGUGAGGGGCUACUGUUGGGGGACUUCCUCCUCCGAAGGUCCUCAAAAACAUAACUAACCAUAUGUCUUCAGCAUGACAUAGAUUAUUGUAGGAGGCUUCAACUUCGGAAUAGAGAUCUUCUGUAACAAGAGUACAGGUGUAACCCGAAGGUAUCAAAAAUGGGCGACAAAGCUAUAGUCAAGGGACUUCGGCUCAUGUUGAUGACGAAGACCAAAUACAACAGUGACCAAAAAUGGAUUGUGGUGGAACCGCCCGAAUUAUUCCAGCUUAAGUGCCCAAGUCACGCCUUAGAGGCAGCAACACACUUAAAUCGGAAUAACCCGUCAGUGCCGUAGAUCUAGUCUGAUAAAGCCACUUCCCCGGGAUCGAAUACCACUAGUUCACUCGAAGGUGAGUCACAAAGAGAAUACAAUAAAGCAUGAAACCACAAAUUGAAUUACUAGGGUUAUUACAUAAAUCAGAGUUUUAAAUAAAAGGGAACAAGUUCAAAAAUAAAGUGCAGCGGAUAAACGAUAACGUCGAAUGCUGAGGAAUAGGGCAAGGCCUAGCCUACUACUCCUCCUGCUCCUCUCCUGCCGGAGCAACAUCCCACUCGACCGUCCAGCCCGGUGGAAGGCCAAGUCACACUAUCAACCAUGUCCUGUAGUGUACCUACAAAAAUUAUGCCACAAGCAAGGCUGAGUAUACUAAUACUCAGCUAGACUUACCCGGUGUGAUGAGUCUACUCCUCUACCUCUAGACCAUGCAGCUGUUUGGCUGAGGGGUUUGUUUUGCCAAAAGCACUAGAUGAGUCUAAAAACAGUUUUAGCUUUUCCAGUUCUAGCAUAAUUAAUUUAGCUAGGUUUGCUCCUUUCCAAGCAUACAUGGUAAUAAUCAUUUAGUACAAUCAACAUGUUAUCUCAAGUAAAAUCGCAUUCCACUUUUUACUCACACUACACCAAAAUCAUACACUUCCCACGGUUUUUUAACUUCAUAUAGCUUUUAUAACAAACCAUAGGAAAUAAAUAACUUCCGAGAGGCAACUGGUAGCUUUAGGAAAUAAACAUAACUUCCUACGGUAUUUUAUAAAAGCUCUAGGAAAUUAGCUUUCACAUGCUGACCCCGUGUGUUCGGUCAAGCGAGCCGCUAACUUCCUACGGCCUCCACUAGGAAGUUAGCUUUUAGUUGCUAAUCCGCGGUUGUGGUCAAAUGAAAAGCUAACUUCCUACGGCCGGCUCUAGGAAGUUAUCAUGGGCAGCUAACUUCCUACGGCCUCCUCUAGGAAGUUAGAUUUCAGCUUUUGACCAGUCAAACGAAAAGCUAACUUUCUACGGCCGGCUCUAGGAAGUUAGUUGCCCAGCUAACAUCCUACGGCCUCCUCUAGGAAGUUAGAUUUCAGCUUUUGACUAGUCAAACAAAAAGCUAACUUCAUACGGCUGGCUCUAGGAAGCUAACUUCAUACGGCUUUACUCUAGGAAGUUAUAUUUUUAUCUUAAACCUCUACUCAAUCUUAUCUCUUCUCUCACAUUUCUCACUCUCGUCUCACUCUCGCGUCUCUCUCUCCCUCAGUUUCUUCUUCCUCGGUCCUACCUGCCGCGGCCGCCCCUGCCCCCAGCCGCCUCCUGUAACACCCCAGUAAUUCCCAGAGUUCUUCUCAGUGCUAACUAAAGAACCAUUAUUUCAUGUGAAUCAAAUUGAGCAAAAGACACCAAAAACUUGAGAGAAAAAAUUCAACUAAUUCUUUUGUCCUAAGACUCAUUCCUAAAUCAUAUCAUGCAUUGAAAAUGGGAAAAUGUUUAAACCCUAAGACAACCCUAAUUAGGCCAUUUAAGUAGAAAGGAAGAAAUUGGUAAAAAGACCAUGAAAAACAUGGAAUCAUGGCUUAGGACAAUUAUACAAAGUUGAAAUACACUAAUUAUGCUACAAUAAAUGUUAUAAAAGUUUGGCCAAAAUAAUUGAUUAAAAUCCCCAAAAAGGUCAUCCAAGUAUAAGCUCUCUAGGGAAAAUCUGAAAUUCAGAUUUCUGAAUUUCAGCCUUCACCUACAACUUGAGCACGUUCACCUUGAUCCCUAGCUCAAAUCCUUAAGUCCCCAUUGACAAAAUUGUUCUAAACUAACCCCUCUGCAACGUGUGUGAAGAUGGCAUCGAGAUUCGUGCCCUAGACACGUCAAAUCUGGGAUUUCCUCUCGGAGUUCAGCAAUGAGACAAACCAAACUUCAUCACUCCAUAUCUUUGGCUCCAGUCAGCAAAACCCAUAAGCCUCCACACACAAAUGACAAAGGAAUGUCAGGGGAAGAGAUCUCUCAAUGGGAUCAUGGCCAUAAUCGCAAAGAUUUGGAGCCAAUCCACGCUUGAACUUGACCUCUCUCUGCGUUGCCUCGUGCUCGACGUCGUGCCCACGCGCCAGAGCGCGCACUGGCGCUCACCCACGCACACCCUAAAUGCGUGUCAGAGCCACCCUUCGGCCGUGCUCGCCCGUGCCUUUAAGACCACCCCCAGACGUGCCUCACCUCACUCUGCACUCACCUUCGCUGACCAGACACUAUCCUUAGCUCCGGCGAGCUCUGCGCCACCCGCCCGAGCCACCCGAGCGCCGGCCACUGUGGCCAGCCAUUUCCAGAGACCCUCAGCCUCAACUAAGCCCUUGGACAGCUUUCUCGAGGAGCCGUGAAGCUUCUCCAAGCAAGGAUCGAAGCCCUGCCUCACCGGAACAGCAAGAUCACCGUCGCCGGACUACGGUCGCCCGCCACCGCGCGUAGGCCGAGCUAUCCGGUGAGCCAUUCUCCAAUUCCUCGCGCCUAUGCCUUCCCUAGCACCUAGUGAAGCUCACUGACCGGUUUAAUUGAACUCUACCGCCUGGAUAAGCCGGAACCCUCAUCGCCGACGAGCUCCCCCGCCUGAGCACGUGGACCGGCCUACUCCGACUAUCCCCGGAGACGAUCCGCACAUCGGAGUGACCGUCACGACCUCCCCUACACCCUCGGCCACCUCACCGGAGCAAUCUCGCCACCGGUAAGCCCCUCCGCCCUUUCCUCUGCCGCGGGUACUAUUUAAUUGGGAGAAGGACCUCGGGUUAGGUUUUGCAAAACCCCAGGGGGUUUUCUGAACUGUCAGUGGCACAUUUGAAUAGUGACCCGAGGACUAGUCUGUGAGGGAAUUUGAAAAUAAUCGCUAGGGACCCCGAUGCAAAGUUAGUUUCCAUUUAACCAUUUCUGAUUAUUUUUUUAAUGAACACAAAACUUAGGAAAUUCAUAACUUCAAGAAUAUUUAUCCAAAAUUAGUCAAACCAAUUUUGUUGGUUUCAAAAUAAUAUGAACCAUCAAACAAAAAUACUAAACCCCAUGUUUUGUGUAUUAAUUUUUAGAGUUUUGAAUUAAAUAGGGAAACUUCCCAAACCUUAUUAAUAUAAAGAAAAAUAGAAAUGCUUCUGUGCUAGGCUUAAGAAAAUUUGUAGAGAUACAUACCCAACUUAGGCACUGUUCAAAAAUACUGAGCACCCUACUAUACAAGAUUAACUCAUGUUUUGCUAUUAAAAACUAUAUCUAUCCAAAACUUAGAAAAUUAAGAAAGGUAGUGGAAAAUAAUAAACAGAGAAGGAGCAUAUUUUUCCUAGUAUACUUAAGUGAUGAGGAAUCUAGGAAAAAUACAGAGAACCCUAGUCCAAAGCUAAUCCAGGGUUAAAUAUUUAUUAGGCACUAAGAAACCAAGAAAAACCAUGAUUAAAAAUGCAAGGACCACUAUAAAAAGGGUAGAGAAAAUUCAGUAGACUCCUAACUACUAGAACACCACUACAAAAAUAAUAAACACCCCAACCCCUCAAAAUAAGUGAGCUAAACAAUUCAAAUAUGGUUUUGGCCCAUGUUCUAAUUAAAUCAUAAGAAAGUAUAAAAUUGUGCAAUAGUAGGCAAAUGAAUUUUUACCCAACUAUUGAUGAAGUAGACCACCAGAGAAAAAUACAAAACCUAUUCAAAAAUAUAAGAUAACAUCCAUUACCCCCUACCCCAUGAAAAAGGCCAUAUAAUCCAAGAAUUUCUACCCCCUCUUCCCUUAAGCAAAAAGUUUCCAAAUUCUAGAAUGAUUGCUCUUGCACAAAGAAGAAGAUAGGAAAAAUUAGAAUUCUGUUGGACAUUUUUUCAAAUAUAGUGGUAGUAGAAAGCACCCCUUUGGCCACAAACUUUAGGAAAUCACAGUAAAAUAACCAAUAAGUAUUAGUGGCUAAAAUUUGGUACAAAGUCAUGUUAUUACACCUAAAUGCCAGCAAAAAUAAGCCUUAGAGAAUAAUCCACUGUUAGAGAUGAGUUAUAGUUCAAAGCACCCCCAUCUGCCCUAUGAUUUGAUAAUUUUGUACAGAGAGAACCCUUAACUUUUUAAGCCCCAAUUUUUGAGACAGAGAGUUAUACACAUGUAAGAAGCUAUUGUAAUUUUUACAGAGUUUUUGGAAAUUUAUAAAACUAGAUUGUAGUUCAAACACACCUUAAAACAUAAGAGGAAAGGGAAAGAAGAGAGAAAUUGGGAAGAAUAAUGAAUCUCACCCCAAUAAAUUCAGCUAGGAAUUAUAAUAAACUUUCACUAAAACAUAAAAAGGAAAUCAGUGGAACACUAAAAUAAUCUGACUAUUUAACCUAACCAAACUUGACCUAAAUGGCUAAGUGUACCAUGAAAAUUUCCAGUAGUAAGGUUAAACUUUACCAUAUUAAUUUAAUCAUUCACCAUCCAAUUAUAAUUGCUAAAUUGCAUAUCAUGCCAUACAUAUAUCUUACUCAUUGCAUUCAUUAGAUUGCAACCUCGUUGAUGGAGAGUACGUGCUCAUUCCCGAGCAAGGAGCUGUCCACGAGGAAGAUCAGGAGCCAGCUCCUGAGCCUGCCAUAGAAGAUUUCCCCUCAGCCCCAGCAUUUGAAGGCAAGCCCCGGUUUUAUGCAUAACCAGUUUAUAUAUGCUACUUUACUACACUUAAUGUUUGUAGGCUUGUAAUGUGCACUUAAGUGUAGGAGUUUCUUGAAACCCUUAGUUGCAUAAACUCAUGAUUCCUUUUUGAGAUGGAUACUAGUAUGCUAGGUCGAGUAGCUGCUUUGCUAAUUAGGAUCUCAGUAGAAGUCGAGUGAUUUUUCUAACACUCACGCGAGGUCAGGAAUUGAUUGUAUUCAUCUUGAUAACGGGAUCUAUGAUGAACUAUGGACUUAGAUCCAGGGUGGAUGCCUUGUCCAUGAGACGGGAAAAAGGAACUAAGGAUUAAUGUGUGGAUACCUGAGUCAAGUGUUUGAACGUACUAAUCACAUGUCGGGAAAUAUGGUAACCGGUAAACCUAGUACCUGAGUAAAGCCGGGCGUGGACUUUCCCCCUCACUUGUCUUGAGACUGGGUCUCACAUGCUAGCUAUGGUGGGUACAAGUGCGGUCAAUGCACGACGGCAGCCGUGGUCAUUGGAGCAUUGUAUGCCAAGGCGGUGAGCCCUGGCCGCUGUUGGGGGCCUUCAUCUUCCGAAGGUCCUCAAAAACAUGAUUUAACAAUGUUUCCCAAGUGUAAUAUAUGUACAGGUACCUUCGGACUCGGAAUGAAAAUGUACACAAUAUGAAAAGCAUGGUCAAGACGAAGGAUGAUGCAGCUCCGAAGCUACGCGUGGAAAAACUUCGGCUUAGUGGUGGAAAAUGAAACCGACUUAAAUAGGAAAAGGCUAUCUAGUCCUCGAUAGAUUGCCCUUAAGACAAUAGUAAAUAUCAAGGGCAUGGAUGUAAUUUUACACAGGCUGCAUCCUCUACCUAUAAAUAGAUGAAUAGUAGCACCGUACUUUUCACGGUGACUUGUAUUUAUUCGUGCCUCACGCUUGGACUAUUGCCUUCUGUCAAGCCAAACGUACAAAUGUAAUUCAAUAUUGUUCAUAUUCAUUUAUGAUGAUUUAAUAAAGAUAUAUUAAAGAUGUUGUAUAAUUAUUCAUGUUGUCUUUCAUGUUUCAUAUGCUUCUUCUUUCAUUAAUAUAUAUUGUGAUGACGAAGGUACGUCCUUCAUGACCUUCAUCUGAAGAUCAUUAUAUCCUAAGGGAGAUAAUGCUUCGGAGGACAAAGUGCUUUAAUCAUUAACAUUUUGUGUUGCCUUGUUCUUAACUCAUAGAAUUUGAGAACAAGUCCCAACAUUGGCGCCCACCUCCGGUGUACUCACUUCCACAAUCUUCGGCAAAGCAUCAACCUUCGUCAUGCCACCGAAGAAGAUAACAGCGCCAGGGGCUGCACUACAACCACUAGACACAAACCAGGAGACUCUCUCUAUCCGAGAGGCCAGAAGCCAAAAGAGAAAGGCCACCAGUCCAGCACUUCAGGAGGAGGAGUUGGACCAAGAGAUCAUGGACCUAGAAAUCAUUCACCAGCAGGUGCAAAGGAAAAAAGAGAAGAUGGCUCGGCUGGCCGACCUUCAAAAGAAGAUCGAUGAAGCUACCGAGGAAGUGUGUCAUCUUACUCAAGAUGAUCAAGACCGAAGGCCCCAACACAGGGAGCUUCGUCAAGAGGGCUCAUUCAACAAAGUUGAAUGGUACGAUGAUUUUAAUCAUGGUACCUUUACUUUUGAUGAUGCUUCUCCCCUGGCAGCAGAAUUGCAGGCUAUCCCAUGGCCACAAUCCUACAAGCCACCUCAGCUACCCAUGUACGAUGGUCACUCAGACCCAAAGCAAUUCUUGAUGAGCUAUGAGGCAACAAUAUCCUCAUAUGGAGGCAACAUAGCUAUCAUGGCAAAGUCCUUCGUCAUGGCAGUCCGAAACAUGGCCCAGACAUGGUACUCUUCUCUCCGGCCAGGGACAAUCACGUCAUGGCAGAAGCUCAAGGACAUGUUGGUUACCAGUUUUCAAGGUUUUCAGACGAAGCCAGUCAAAGCUUAGGCCUUGUUCUAGUGCACACAAGACCAUGAGGAAUACCUUCAAGCGUAUGUCCGAAGGUUCUUGCCACUAAGAGCACGAGCGCCCACAGUGCCUAAUGAAAUCGUCAUUGAGGCCAUGAUCAAGGGUCUUCGGCCAGGACCUACGGCCCAAUACUUCACCAGGAAACCCCCCUAGACUUUGGAGAAGCUGCUUCAGAAAAUGGAUGAGUACAUCCGGGCUGAUAAUGACUUUCGACAGAGAAGGGAGGAAGUUUACAGAUUUUCUGAGAUGACUAGGGGCUUCGGAGGGAGAAUCCACCCUAGGCAUGUCAGAUCAAUACACAGCUCUAGUCAGAAUGAAGAAAAAGGAAGCCAGCUUCAGAGGCCACAGCACACCUCACAGUCUUCGGGACAGUAGCAAAGCUCCUUCAGGCCACCAGCUCUAAGGGGUAGAAGCGGCAGGGGCUUCGGAGGAAGAUAUGGGGAUCAACCCAGGAAAAUCUAUUGCUUAUUCUGUGGUGAGGACAAGGGCCACACUACAAGAACGUGACAAAUCAAUAUUCUGAAACAAAAGGAGAUUGCCGAAGCAGAAGCUCGGCAGAAUCAGCCGAAGCAGGUUUUACACACUGCUUCGUGCCACUCUCCUUACAUACCAGAAUAUGUGGGAAACCAACCUGCAGCUUCUGUUGCUUCGGCAAGCCAUUCACAAGCCUCUUGGCCUCAGCUCCCACCGCCACCACCACUACAACCUACUUAUUCCUGAAGCCAACAGCCAGAAGGGCGCCAUCACUCCCAGCAACAACAUGACUUCAGGGAGGAGUCCGAAGCUCGUACAGUCAAUAGUACUAUACCAGAAUCAAAGCACAUAUACUGAGCAAUAUCUUGCUUCUUAAAUACUUUUAUAUUCUAGGCUAUUUUGUUUUUUGAAUAAGGAACAAACAAUGAAGACUUAGUUUUAAUUUCUUGUAAUGAUUUUGCUUCAAUCAGAAUGAAAUAUAUCUUCUUCACAGAUUUACGAAGUUCAAAAGUCGUUCCUAAGGGAAUGCAGAGCCAACAUAAACGAAGCUACAAAAGUCGUUUCUAAAGGAGCGCAGCAUAAGUUUUGUGCUCAAAAGUCGUUCCUAAGGGAAUGCAGAGCUAAAAUUCCGAAGCUACAAAAAGUCGUUCCUAAGGGAGCGCAGCGUAAGUUUUCUGCUCAAAAGUCGUUCCAAAGGGAAUGCAGAUCCAAAAACCACCAAAAUAUAAGGGGAAGAAGUUCAAAAGUCGUUCCUAAGGGGAUGCAGAACUUAUACCGCCGAAAUAGAAGGCAAAGAAGUUCAAAAAACGUUCCUAAGGGGAUGCAGAACAUAUAUCACCGAAAUAGAAGGUGAAGAAGCUCAAAAGUCGUUCCUAAGGGGAUGCAGAGCUUGUGUGUUCCAUUGUGGGCGUGUGAGUGUGUGGCUUCGACAUUCUCAUCAUUUUGCAUCAUAUCAUCACAUCAUUUCGCAUAACAUUACAUUAUACAUCAUAUUGCAUCAAUGGCACAAGAAUCGAAUAUGAAGCCAAUCUUCGGCAAAUGCUUUGUCAAAAUGAAAAUGUUCUAAGGCACAAACUAAGCUUCGGGAAAUACAGAUUUAUCAGCCUUGUCACAAGAAGGGAUCUCUUUCUUUACGAAGCAUGAAAAGAAGGGAAGGUGUUUUUUCGCCGAAGGCUCAAAAACGGUAUGUGUGUAAGUUUCAUGCAUCGCAAAGAAAUAAAUUACAAUAAUUUACAUAUUUAAUUCAAAGUUACAUACAUCAAAUAUUACAUAGUAUUGUUACAAUAGAAUCUUAAUGUUCAUUCCAUUACAUCGAGCAUUUCGAAAUAUUAUUACAAUGAAGUCUACUCUUCUCUGAGAACUUUUUCUGCAACUUCGUUUAGAAGUUUAUUAACAACUUCGUCAAUAAUGGAGUCCACCAUGUUUAUAAUGUCUAGCGCUUCCUUCAUUUCUGGAUCAGCUAGGGGAUCGUACGGUUCCAGCGGUGGAGAUAGUUCAGCUGAAGUAGGUAAAAUUGAUUAGUUCGAAGCCGCAAAACAAGUAACGAAGCUAAAUAACCAAAAAAUAAUACAUAUACGCCUUUCGCGUUCAGCAGCUUCUUCAGCUUGUCUUGCUUCUGCGCGGGCGUCAUGGGUGUCUUUUUCACUCUUUUUUUAUAAUUUCAUGGGCCAUCUCUCGGCCACCAUUCACCCAGACAUCAUUGUAAAAUUUCCCGCCCAUCAAGGUUGCUUCAGCUGAAGGAUCCUUCGUAUCAUCCACGGAGAAGGCAAUUUCAGCUUGGGCUAUGGCUUAAAUGUGAUCGCACCCGGCCUUCUCCAAGAUGGCUGAAAUUCCCCACGCACCGGAAAACGCGCAAACAUCCCCGCGAUCACUCAAAAUUUCUUUGAAGGCUUCGGCUACUGCAUUUAUCCAUUCAACGAUGCCUUCGGGGUCGUCUCGUACGAAGUUUUCUUCAGCAGAGUAGGCACCCACUUGGGCGAAGCUAGAUUUUAAUUUUCUCACGCAAUCCAAGGAUUUCUCGAAGCACCUUUCCUUGGAUUCGCAAUGUUCUUUAACAUUUUUCUCUAGAUAAUUUUUCCAAUAUUCGCUGAUUUCUUGAUUAGCCUGUGCAAUUGCGCAGUUUUCUUUAGCUUCGGCCAGUUGUCUCUGAAGGUCUUCAAUUUGAGUUUUCUGGGCUUCAGCCUGAGCUUUGAAAUUAGCUUCGUCUUCCUUUACUUUGUUCACCAAUGAAAUUAAGAUUUUGUCUUUUUCCAAACCUUCGUUUCUCAAUUCAAUCACCUCUAAACAAAGGUUAUCAAGAGCCAUUGUAUAGCCUUCGUCUUCAAUAUUCUUCUACGCCCUAAGGGCAUUACUAAGAAUUAAGCCCUGCAAAGAAGAAAGAAUUGAGUAUGGCAAUGAAAUACUUUAUUUCCAACUUAAAAGUCAACUUUUAUACCUUUAUACUGUUGUAUGCUAGGCUAUCAGCAAGAUCAUCCUUCGAUAAAAUCGAAAGGCCAUCUUCCAGCUUCAGGAAUCCUAUGCUCUUACCUAUCUCCUGGCAAAUGGAUAUUUCUUUGUUGUCCGGGAGACAAUGUAAGAAGUCGUCAUCGUUAGUGCCGUUAAACACUAAAGCUCCCUUCGGAUAUUUCAAUUUUCGCGCAUAGUGUCUGGUUUCCAGAAUUUCUUCUUCGGAUAAUUUCUUCCCCGAAGCGUGUCGAAUGAUGUAGUCAAUAUUUUCGAUCAGAGCUUCGGGAGCCGGAGUCUCGAUCAUUUCAGGUGCAAUCUGCCCUGCCAUUUUUUCCUCAGGCGCGGCAGGCUUCAUCACGACGAGAGCUGAAGGACCAGCUUCGGCUUCAGCCUGAGCUUUCGUAGCUUCGGUUUCUGCUUGCCCAGUUUCGGCUUCGGUUUGCGCUUUGACAGCUUCAGCAAUUUUCUUUGUAGGAGCACGGCUCAAGGCCUUUGUAGUCUCCAGCACAGCAUCCAGCAAGUUGGCCAUCCUCAACCUCUUGGGAGUCGCGGCAGAAGCCUUUUGCACCUUCGGCAUUUCUGACAUUUUCAUUAUUUCUUCAACCUUUGGCUCUUCAGCCUUAUCAACCUUAGCUUCGACUGGCUUGACUGUAGGCGUCUAUGGCAUUACAGUUGGUUUUUCAACGCUCUGUGCAAUUGAAGCAGCUUGUCUUGCUUCAGCAGUUGAAGAGGCUCCUUCGACAAAUUUAGGCACCACGGCCGGUUCAAUGAAAUGCGGCCGAGGGGUCAGAACCUUCAUCUUUUUGCCCUUCGGCUCAGCUACAGCGGCCGAAUCAGCAGUCUUCCUCUUUUUUCCUUGCCCUCGCAGCGGGAAGCGAUAAUUGGGGUAUAUGAAGCCAAUCGCAUCAAAGACCCUGUUCAGUCUUUUCUUCCCCCAGCCUCCAAAGGCUGCAGACAAAGCAAUUAUCUUCGGCCUUGGAGUGAGCUCCAAGUAGCUCCUCACUGGUAGCUUCAAUAGACUUUAGCCAGUCGUCGUUUGGCUCAUCAAACUCCUCCCUAAAUCUGAAGGUAUACUUCAGUCGGACUAGACCACCACCACUAGAGUCGGUGGUGGUCUCCUUCGGCAUUUCCCAGCUUUCCACAAGUGGCCAUACCCUGAAGGAUAUAUGCUCUUGAAUCAAAUCCCUUGUGCCAAUGAAGGAACAAACAGUGCUAAAAGCCCUCUGACAUGCUUCAACAGCGUCAUCAAUUUCCACCUUCGGCCUUCGGAGGCCGAAGCGAGACCAGAUGGGGCGCUAGAUGAUUUCUUUGAUGUCUUCCCUUGCCUUUAAAUCAUUCUUAACAUAAAACCACUCCUCCAUCCAAGCUCCGGGCCAUCUCUUCCGGAAUGUUGGCACCAGGUGGCUUGUGUUGGGGCGAGCAAAAAAUCCAUAACAACCGAAGUUGUUGUGGUACUGUUCUUUGCCAGUAGCCUUCGUCUCAUAUAAAAGUUUGUGCAUACUACAGAAGCACUUCGCGCUUGGCUCUAGCCCCUGACUCCUUACAGUCCAGACAAAAAUCCCCAUCCUCAAUAUAGCUUCGGGGGUGAUUUGAUAAAGGAAGAUCUGGUAUAUCUUUAGCACUUCAACCACAAACUUGCUCAAAGGAAACCGAAGACCAGCCUUAAAAAGCUUCGGUAUAUAACAACUUCAUUUUCCUCAGGGGCAGGGACGAUGUUGUCUCCACCAGCUCUCACGAUAGACAGGUCACGAAAGUACCUUCCUCUCAUGUUGUCAAGAUGACUCUGUUUAAUAAUCGAUUUUCCGAAGACAGCAUGGCUUGGUCGCCAGGGCCGAUCUUCAGAAUCUUCAUCCCCACUUUCCACAUCAUAACUAUCACUGUCAUCAGUAUCUUCAGACAAACCUUCCAGUAUCUCUUUAGUAAUCUUCUCCAUGUUUGUUUUUGACAUAGACUCAAUAAACCCGGCGAUAAAACGAUCAGCAGCUUUCUUUUCUUCAAACAACUUCGUCUCCUCAGUUAGCUUCGUAUCUGCAGUCAUCUUCUUUUCCUCAGUCAUCUUUUCCCAGACAUGGUGAAAACACGUCUUUAAACUGAAGCUCGAAAAGCUUGAAAAAACAGGCGAGAGCUAGUGAACAAGAGCUAAAAGUUUGAAGAAAUAGCACAAAUGGCAGAAAUAGCAUAUCAAAUGUCGCCGCUAUGGCUCAUAUUUAUACGCCCAGUGCUUUGCAACUUGGUGGACCCCGUUUGUCAUUGACUGUUGCUAUUCUAGCAAAGGGAAGGUGUUUUUUCGGACCUUCGGCUUAAGGCCUUCGUUCACGACGCAGUUUGAAUUCGUUGUUAUAACAAAUUAAUACUGCGAGGGGCUACUGUUGGGGGCCUUCGUCUUCCGAUGGUCCUCAAAAACAUAAUUUAACAAUGUUUCCCAAGUGUAAUAUAUGUACAGGUACCUUCGGACUCGGAAUGAAACUGUACACAAUAUGAAAAGCAUGGUCGAGACGAAGGAUGAUGCAGCUCCGAAGCUACGCGUGGAGAAGCUUCGGCUUAGUGGUGGAAAAUGAAACCGACUUAAAUAGGAAAAGGCUAUCUAGUCCUCAAUAGAUUGCCCUUAAGUCAAUAGUAAAAAUCAAGGACAUGGAUGUAAUUUUACACAGGCUGCGUCCUGUGCCUAUAAAUAGAUGAACAGUAGCACCGUACUGUUCACGCUGACUUGUAUUUAUUCGUGCGUCACGCUUGGACUUUUGCCUUCUGUCAAGCUGAAGGUACAAAUGUAAUUUAAUAUUGUUCACAUUCAUUUAUGAUGAUUUAAUAAAGAUAUAUUAAAGAUGUUGUAUAAUUAUUCAUGUUGUCUCUCAUGUUUCAUAUGCUUCUUCUUUCAUUAAUAUAUAUUGUGAUGACGAAGGUACGUCCUUCAUGACCUUCGUCUAAAGAUCAUUAUAUCCUAAGGGAGCCAAUGCUUCAGAGGACGAAGGGCUUUAAUCAUUAACAUUUUGUGUUGCCUUAUUCUUAACUCAUAGCAUUUGAGAACAAGUCCCCAACAGCCGCGAACGGGGAAUCGAUGGAGACGGUUGAUAUGUGUGGGGACGGAGUGCCCCUACAUGUCGUGUGUUUAGGUUUACCUUGCAUGGUUUAAAAACUCGAUUCGAAUCGUCUUCUUCUCGCAGCUAAUGAGACUACUUGACCCCUUGUACUGCAUUGAGUAAAAAGUGAAAUAAGGUUGAUUUGAGAUAACAUGUUGAUUGUACUAAAUGAUUGUUACCAUGUAUGCUUUAGCAGGAGCAAACUUAGCUAAAAUUAAUGAUACUAGAAUUGGAAAAGCUAAAAUUGAUUUUAGGCUCAGCUAGUGCUUUUGGCAAACCAAACCCCUCAGCCAAACAACUGCAUGGUCUAGAGUUAGAGGAGUAGAAUACUCACACCGGGUAAGUCUAGCUGAGUAUUAGUAUACUCAGCCUUGCUUGUGGUAUAAUUUUUGCAGGUAUAUUUCAGGAUAUGGUUGAUGGUGUGACUUGGCCUACCACCCUACGACCGGGUUGGACGAUCGAGUGGGAUGCUGCUCCAGCAGGAGAGGAGAAGGAGGAGUAGUGGGCUAGGUCGUGCCCUAUUCCUCAUCAUUCGACGUUAUCGACUAUCCGCUGCAAUUUUAAUUAUGAACUUGUUUCAGUUUACUUGGAAAACUCCGAUUCAUGUAAUAACCCCAGUACUUUAAUUUGAGGUUUGCUGCUUUAUUGUAUUUUCCCUGUGACUCACCAUCGAGUGAGUUAGUGGUAUUUGAUCUCGGGAGUGGCUUUAUCAGACUAGAUCUGAGGGAGUGACGGGUUAUUCCAAUUUAAGUGUGUUGCGGCCUCUAAGGCGUGCCUUGGGCACUUAAGUUGGAAUAAUUCGGGCGGUUCUGCCACAGCUCUGGCCCCGCCCGCCGGCCCCGGCCCUGCCCUCGCCCCCGUCCGCCGCGGCUGCCCCGGUGCAUUGCACGGCUCUAAGUCCCUGACGACCUCGUUCCCCUCCGUUGUCUCGCCUCUCUCUUGGUUCCUCGCGACGACGACUGGGCGAGCGCCUCCUCCCCUGCCCCUCUCCGGGCCUUCCCUUCCCGGUGCGCGGAAUCGAACACCCCAAACCCUAAUGCAUUAUCUAUAGUCGGAUCUGGCCCAGUUGCGAGUGCACGCAUGGUGUCUGCUAACUUCCAGUUUUCGCAAAGUUAUCUGGUAUAUACAUGUCCUAUGCUAGUUCCGCCAUUUCGGACAGCAUGAUUAUGUCUGUGUUGGUCACUUGCUCUCGAAUGUUGUGGAUUAAGAACAAGGCAACACAUUUGUUAAGAAUUAGAUACAUUGGUCCUCCGAAACAUUAUCUCCUCUCGAGUAUAAUGAUCUUCAGACGAAGGUUAUGAAGAACAUGCCCUCCUCGUUUAAUACGAGAAUGAGAAUACAUAAAGAUAAUGAAUGUAAUUCAGUGAUUCAUUCAAAUUUGUAUUUCAUAAUGUACACAUAAAUAUUAAUUGAAUUUAUAUUAUAUUGAUACCUUCGGCUUGUUCGAAUGUGCUGAUGCGAGAGUGAUUACAAUCCAGCGUGAACAGUAUAGUGCUACUGUUCAUUUAUUUAUAGACAUGGGACGCAGCCCGAGUAAAAGUACAUUUGUGUCCCUGACAUAUACUUAUGACCAUAAUAUAAAUCAUUAAGGACUAGCUAUUCUUUUUCCCUUCUGGUCAACAUGAUGUUUGGUCUUCAUCACCAUUUUAAGCCGAAGCUAUUACACUUCGGCUAUAGCUUCGCCGUUUAUUCUUAUCAUCUUCGAAUUAUAUCUUCACCUCGUAUGCAUUUGCCAUGGGAGAAAACUUCCAUCCCGAAGCCAAAGUUCCUUGUAAUAAUGUAUAUCAUGCUGAAAACAUACGGUUAGUCAUGUUUUUUAGUACUUUCGAAGGAAUAAGGCCCCAACAAUCUGUUAUGCAAUACUUCGGGACUCGGAAGAGCUAAGUAGUAUCUGUCUCAUUUUUUAGAUGUCUAUUUCGGUUCUAAAUGAGAAGUUUGUUGAAGCGACUAGGGGUUCCAUUAGCAGCUCAACUGUGGAACCUGCCGAUGAUCCAGAUUUUACCAUCGAGAUCAACAUUUAGAUUCUGGAUUCACAAGUCCACAAACUUCGCGUAAAGAAGAAUGUAAGAGUUCUAUCGGGUCUGACACACUCAUUUCUGCUGGGAGUUAAUCGAUUAAGGGGAAACAUAAAUAUCUUUUCUGCUAAGAGCUAACAAAUUAAGGAGAGUUUUUUUAAUUCCUUGGUCCUUAAUUUUUUUCUUACAAGUUCUUCGUCUAAACAAAUUGACAGACACUCGUCAGAUAUUAUUGUACGCUGUUAUAACCAACGGUAGUACGUAGACUAUCUAGUAACAUAAAACUCUGUUUAAUACUGUUUAAAGAGUGAAGUUUUAAUUAGAGAAUCAGAGAUGUGCUGCCGAUAGCCUAAUCAUCUUGCUCACGGAUAUCCUACGUUGGCUUUUUGAUUUGUGUUUGGACUUUGAUACAUAUACUCGUAGCAAUCAGCAGCUCGCGCCUCCACGUCCGGCUCACGUAGACGCACUACCGCAAACGAUGGCCAACGCGGGGCUGCGUGCAUACCGCGAGGUGCUGCGCCUGGUGCGGCGGCUGCCGGCGGAGACGCAGCCCUACUACGCCAAGUACGCCCGCCAGAACUUCGUCAACUAUCGCGACCUCGCCGCCGACGACGAUCUCGGCGCCCUCCUCCGCCGCGCCUACACCCACUCCACAUGGGUCCUCUCCAAGGUAUCUCCUACUAUUAUGGCCGCCGCCGCUCCAUUCUCAACCUUCUUGCCUCCAGGGCCACCUCCACCGAGUUAGACGUCUAAGCAUGCAAGGCUGGCUUUGCACUUGCAGUACUCGAUCGACGCGGGGAAAGUGGCGGUGCGGCUCAAGGACUUGACAGACGGCCACGCUGUGAUGUGACGCACGCAAGGUGUUCGAUCAUAUGCCGCUCUUGGCUUGAGGAUUGAGCUCAGCUUCGAUUUGUGUUUGUUUUGGCACUUGCAUCACUCUGGUUACUUGGACGCUGUAUGGAACGAUGCAAGUUAACAACUCAUGCUCAUUUGUCAUCUCCCUUUUGUCAUGCCUGUGUAUGCCAGCCCUUUUCAAUUCAAAUCAACUUUGUGGGAGCUUCGAAUUACCUGCUCUUUUCAAUUCAAAUCAACUUUGCGGGAGCUCCGAAUUAGUACUGCUUGCUACUCGGCGUCACCGUUCGGUGUGGCCGUCGCUAAGAUCCUUGAGCAAGCCAUCGUACCACGAGCAAGCCACCAAUACCAUAAAGCUCACAACUAGAAAGAAGUUGUUUCAAGGCCACGACGAUGACUGAAAAAAAUAUAACGGCCGCAACUAGAAAAAAUAUAACGGCUGCAACUAGAGUGCAGCUGUGUAAGGCCCAAAAUAUGUAUAUAAUAUAUAUAUAUAUAUAUAUAUAUAUAUAAUAUAUAUAUAUAUAUAUAUAUAUAUAUAUAUAUAUAUAUAUAUAUAUAUAUAUAUAUAUAUAUAUAUAUAUAUAUAUAUAUAUAUAUAUAUAUAUGAAGAAAAUAAAAUAGUAAAUUCAGAAAUCUCAAAUUAUACUUGAGUUUUAAAAAUUGAGGACUGAAUUUUGAAACCAAGAAUUAUUUUAGAAAAGAAGUUAUAGAAAGGUUUUCUAAAUGAUUAUUCAUUUCAUUAAAUGAUGCAAUAUAAGCAUUUAUUUACAUGAAUAUUAAAUUUAGGUUACUUAAGUCGGGACUAGGUUUUUCUUUUAAGCCUAACACAUAAAAUUCUAGUCUCAGAAAAAUAAAUAAUUAGGAGUUUCCUAUUUAAAUUAAUAAAUGUUUCUUUCACCAAUAUUACACCUAGAAGCAUAAACAAUAAAAUAAGAUAAUAAAUAAAUAUUCCACUUUUGCAUUCAUGCUGGUGUUUUAUUUGUGCAUCUCAAGGUAAAAGUUUGGAAUUCAAACUUUAAAUUGAUUUGAAUUUAAAAUAGAAGAUUGGAAAAUAAGAAAUAAAAAGGAAAACAGAAAAUUAAUGGAAACCAGUGCUUUGGGCCCCCUCUGGUCUGUGCCUUUCGCCUGGUGGGACCCACGGGCCAGUGUGCCAACCGCUAUGGGUGCAGAUCCCAGUAUAAGACGAGUGGGCCCUUAAUGUCUGCUCUAUCCCCCAGCUCGGGUUGUUGCGACAGAUCCGCGGAGACCCGGCUGAAGCCUGCUGUCGACCGAGAUUCUUUCUCCUCCUUUCCCCUUUUUCCGCUUAGGCCUUGCCUUGCCCAUAUUCUCGGGCAUAAGUAUUGCCUGGAUGGCCCCUUUGUUCCUUUGUGCAUGCGUCGGGGGCGACUUGCGCUACGCCUUACACCGGAAGCAGUGGUGUUCCGUGGGCGGAUGAUUCCAACCACUACCGCGGGAUCCUCGGCGUUCGACUCGGGAGUCCAUGACUUCGUAGUUAAAAGUUGCGCCGUGCUCCUUCCUCCACUCGCGACCCCCUCAUCCUCGCUCGCGCCAUCCCUAUUCUCUGGAAUCCCUGCUGCCGCGCGCCCCUCUCUGGCCACUCGCCGCCGCCGUGGGCCAACUUCGAUCCUCCGCCGACUUGCCUCGGUGGGUGCCCGUGUGCCGUCACCAGGGAACCUUGGAAGCUUGCACGGGGAUCGCCAGCAAUCGGGGUCGUCUCUGGUGUGUUGAAUUCCUCAUCAUAGUUCAAUCAUCGCCACCGUGGCCGGGGUGGCGUUUGCGGCGAGCGCCAGUGAGAACCGUACCCUCAUACUCGCUAAGAACCAAGCAUCGUUUAGCACUUUUUCACUUAGAGUUCGGAGCUCGUUGACGUAGAAUCGGCCUGCACCGGCCAUGGCGCCGCUGGGGCGCGGUGGCCACCGCUGUGGCUGGGCGUCGUAAAAGGUGAUUACCGCACCACCGUUGAUCUAGCCGGGUGCGGUCGAGAUUAGAGGGCAUGCUGCUUUGUCACGACUGAUCCCAACCGUAGAUCUGCGACCGUGCGGCUAGGAUUAUAACCCAGGGCAUCGCUUAACUAUUUUGAAUCCGAAUCGUUGAUCUUGGGAUUGAGGGACUAGAUUCGGUCAAGUCGUGGAAGAUUUUGGGUCAUGGGAUCAUGAUCCGAUGGUCGUGGUCAUGAACCGAUUUUAGCUAUGGUCCGAUCUAAACUAGAGCGCUGGUUUCCAAUCGUGUGGUCUAGAUCGCAGGAUACCCCUUCGCCCCUGCUCUUCCCUGCAUUAAUGUGCACAGUCCAGAGAAUUAUAAAAUUCAGUAAAAGCGAUUAGAAAAUGAUUUUUAAUGUGAAAAUAAAUCCUAGAAUUUGUUUCAUUCCUAUAAAAUUCAUAUGAAGUCCAAAUCAACCCAUUCUAAUUUCUGUAAUUCUAUAAUAUUAUUGUUUAUCAAUUAGUGCCACUGUUUUGACAUGAAAGUCAUAUUAAAAUUAAUACCCUAAUUAAUCUUUUAUCCAACACUUAAAACUUUAUAAAUUCAUAACUUCUUUGUUUUAAUUUCGAUUUGACUCAUUCUAUUUGCGUUAGUUUCGUAUAAGUACUUACUACGCAGUAAGAACAUUCAUUAUACCAUGUCUCAUUAUUUUAUGAAUAGAUCUUUAAUUAACUUAUGUUGGUUGGUCUUGUUAAUGUGCUCAUCAUUAUUGACCAAAAUAUAAUUUAUGGUAUUUUAUAACUUAGAUUAAAGUUGAGAUAAGUAUUUAUAGAAUAACCUCUUAUAUGAUUUAUAUUAACCAAUUUAUAAUAUAGUUUAACAUUUUAAUCACAUAAAUCCUCUAUAAAAGCAUAACUCCUUAACCGUCACUCCAAUUUUAGUGGUUCUCGUUCCCAUGAUCUCGUAGCAACGCGUAGAUCAUUAUUAUGUAGUAUGUUAUUAUGUGUGGUGUGAUGUUAAUUUUGUCUAUACCAUGUUUGUUUGUAUUGCUAUGACUAGCAGUGAGGUCACGAGGAUCUGAAGAAUCACCCUGGUAACUGGAAUCUCAAGUACCAGGCAAGUUGUGCCCUUGACCACUUUUGUUACCCAAUAAUGUUCUUUAUUAUCAUUAUUCCAUGCAUAAGUUUAAUUUUGAUGGGACCCAAUAGGUCACCCUAGUCUGACUACCUUUUACCUUGUUUACCCCUGAAUCACUUGGGUAGUUUUGCUAUUGCUUUAUAUGGUUUUGGGUUAAUAUUUUAAUAUAUCAAUGUUCCAAUUAUUCUGUUAUGUUAUUUAUGUUCAUGUCAAGAUCAUUAAUUUUAAUUAGAACAUGGAGCUUAACUUGAGAAACACGUGCCACCACAAGGGUGGAAUGGGACGCCCUUGGCUGACUAAUUAGAAAAGCUAGUGAAAUACUACCUUACCUGAAAGGGGCAAGGGCAGUAGGGGAGUUGCAUGCAGGGAGGUUCUCGGGUUGAUUUUGCUGUGAUGGCGGUCAGACAAGGGAUUCUUGCAAGUGCUCUUCCCAUAAACUGUAGCGGGUUUUCGGAAGCUAGUGGAACUUUGUAAAGGUCUCGUAGUGGAUCCCUAGCCAUUCACCUUGGUAGUGUCUAAGGGUCUAGCUAACCUUGGCGACAUGUGAUACACGACUUGUGGGUACAGGGUACAACCUCUGCAGAGUGUAAAACUGGUAUACUAGCCGAGCUCAUGGUCAUGAGCAACUCAGGACUCUCGCAUGAUUAAAUUAUGGAACCUAAACUCAAUUUGUCAUUUGCAUUUGCAUGGGAUUAUGUAUUAAUUUUGUUCUAUUAUUUUAUUAUGGUUUGGUAUUUACUUACACUUAGUAACUGCUAAUAAAACUUUGACCAACUUAUAAAAGCAAUGCUCAGCUUCAACCUUUAUUUUGUAGAUCAGCCUUACACCUCACAUGAACUCCCACCUUUGGUGAGUUCAUGCCACAUUAUUCCCCACAACUUGUUGAGCGAUGAACAUGUGUGAGUUCACCAUUGCUGUCUCACAUCCCCCACUAGAGAAGAUCAGGUGGUUCAGGUGGAGCCAUAUACGAGGAGUUCGAUUCGAUCUAGGUAGCGUCUCCUAGUUGACUUUCUGGCGCCAAGGAUGGAUUUUAGAUCCUGUUAUAUUUAUCUUUUAUUUUGUAAGACCUUCGCUAUGUAACAAAAAUUCUGAUUAUAUUGUGACAUUUAUCUCUAUCACUACCGGACACAACUCCUUUGCCGAGUGUCUCAGACACUCGGCAAAGGCUAUUUUACACUCGGCAAAGGCUUUGCCGAGUGUAACACUCGGCAAAGAACGCUCAGCGAACUGUACAUCGGCAACGGCCUCUUUGCCGAGUACUUUUUGUCGGGCACUCGGCAAAGUUGGCACUCGGCAAAGAAAAGUCACCGUCACGGUGCCAAGUGACGGUGACGGAUCCUUUGCCGAGUGUCUGCUAUCAUGGCCCUCGGCAAAGAUGGCUCCAGUGGGCCCCACCGCCAGUCCCUGUGCCGAGAGCUCUCGUAGGCACUCGGCAAAGGAGGCUUCUUUGCCGAGUGUCUAGUGGACUGGCUCUCGGCAAAGAGUCCUCCAGUGGGCCCCUUUGCCAGCCCCUUUGCCGAGUGCCAUCGUCAUAGCACUCGGCAAAGAAGGCUUUACCGGUUCCCAGGUUUCCUCCUUUGCCGAGUGCCAUGGUCAUAGCACUCGGCAAAGAAGGCUUUACCGGUUCCCAGGUUUCCUCCUUUGCCGAGUGCCAUGGUCAUAGCACUCGGCAAAGAUACCCUUUGCUGAGUGUAACACUCGGCAAAGUGACCAGGAAGUCCCUUUUUUAUUUGUUUUUGUUGUUCCAUCCAAACAAACAGAAGAUAUAUAUCAUUCACAUCACAUUAUAUAUCAUUCGCAUCACAGAAUCAACACAUUUAUCAUCAACAUCAUUAUAUCACAAAUAUCACCACAUAAAUCAGGUUUCACAUCACAUAAGUCUCAAUAAGUAUCUCACAAGACCAAGUAUAACUAACAUCACCAACAUUCACGAAUAUAAGUCUGGAUCAUCACAAAACAGGUCAUCAACGAGGUGGGCAUCUAGACUGGUUCGACGAAGGGCUAGACGAAGCGUGAGGGUUGUUCGACGCCGCCGAUUGACCCUGCACAGAGAAGAGAUUGCAUGUAUGAGAACAUAUGAAUAUAUAUCAUGCAGUACUAAAAUUUUGAUACUCACAGGAGUAGUGAACUCAGCAGGGUCAGCUGCAGGGAACAACGGAGGUGGUGGAGCAUGACCCUGUGCGGCGCCAAGGCUCUGCAUGUACGCGAACAUCUCCGCCAUCCUCUUCUCCAGCUCCUCACGUUGCCUCCUCUCAUCAUCUAGCUGAGUCUGUAAUAUUUCGCCCUAAUGUUACGAUAAUGCAAAGAGAAGAUAUAUAAUAAUCAAUGAACGAUGAAUAGAUAAGGAAUAACCUGGAGUUGCUGGAUACGAUGCUGUGAGCUGUCCUGCCGAGGUCGUAUGGCUGGGCUCGCGCUCGUGCUCCUUGCUCGCACCUGAGAGAGAGUGGGAGUGGAGGACGAGUCGAUUGCCCCGUCGGCAAUCUAGUACCGCCCAUGCCUCUUGCCUCCUCCGACCCUCAUGAGGACAUCUCCGUUGAUGUCCUCGGUCCUCGGAUCGUAAUCUGGCCCAUGGACCUCCUUGGCCAUGGCGGUGUACUCACUGAGGCGGCUGUGGACGGCAGGGUUGGUGUAUGCCUCGGGCCCGUCAUCCGGGUUGUAGGUGACGUCGGACGUCGCCUUCCCCUUGUGGGCCAUAGCAUAUGCCGAGAACGUGGAGCAAGGCGCGCCACCAUGUGCCGCCGACUGCAAGAAAACCAACGAGAUGGUUAGAAAUCAUGUCUAAUCGAAAGUUAUAUACCUAAAUAAAAAAGAGCGCGUACCCAUGCUUCCGCGUAUUUGCCCAGGCUGCGGCUGCCUUGAUGGUGGGAGGGACCUUGCAUCAUCAAACGCCGUUCUCGGCUAGCGUUGCGCGCCUCGUCCCACUCAGCCGAGCACCACCUCUGCACCAUCUGCUCCCAGCACUCAGGAUGCGCGGCGCACCAGUGAGGAAUCGUCUAAAAAAAUACAAGUACACGGCAUAUCAGAAGAUAAAAUUAAGCAUAUUUAGUACCAAUAAUAAAGUUUUGUAUUUACCUGCAAGUACUGGUCCGGAGUCAACGACAUGGUUCGGGCGUCCUUCUUGCUCAACUUCUCCCCAAGGACGGAGCCGUGGUAAGUGAUGAUGGCCUAGAUGCGCGCCUCGUAGUGCAUGUCCACGACGAGCUUCUUACAGCUCGUGGUAGCCACCACAUCCGCCCUGGCCUCGUAUCCAGCCUCGCAUCUGAAGAAAUCUUACAUACAAAGACGAUGUAUCCAUACAUUAUUUCAAGAAUAUGCAAUAAAUGCGACUUAUUAAACAAUAUAGUGCGAGGAAGACUUACCCACAGCUCUUGCUUCACCCGCUCCGCCUUGUUGUUGAAUUGUCUCCCGUCCCGAUCUACUUCAUCGGGGGCGACGGCGUAGUGGUCGAAGGUGUAUGCUGGGCUCGUCACUCCGGCGUACUCGACAAGUCCAGGGAAGUGUUCCUUGCAUAGAAGGCCGAGGAUGCCAUUGGGGUUGCGGCCGUGACCCCCUGCAGUCUCCAAAACCAUCCAAGACCUGUCCAAAGGAUUAAGAUAAAGUAUUAGUUUCUAUUAUUAAUUUGAACAUAUAAUAUGAAAAGGCAGCAACAACAUCUAAAGUUACCUACCUCUCUCCAUCGGGUCGUAUCAGCGGAUGUCUGUCACGAAGUAUGGGUCGCUUAGGGAGACUCGCGGGACCUCGCAGGUAGAUACUCCUCGAACUUGAGGAGCCAGAACCUGAGACAUCCUGCUGAGUGGCGGCGGCGUCGUCGUCCUGCUGCGCCGCAUCGUCGUCUUCCUGCUGCGCCACAUCGACAACGGCUUGCUGCUCCACCUGCUGCUGUACGGCGUCGUCCUGCUGCGCCUCCUCCUCCGUCCUACGGGUGCUCCUCCUCCCCCUCCCCCUCCUCGUCCUCGUCCCACCGCCCACCAUCUUUGUCCAACAACCUGCAAUUAAGAGUAAGCAAUUAAGCACAGAUAAAAAAUAUGUAUUUAGAAACAUAUGCAAAAUAAAUGAAAUAUAGCAUUACAUCGAUUAAAAAUAGUCUUCAUAUGUGUCCGAGUUAGCCGGAUCAUAAGUGUCAUCAUCACUAUCAACCAUUUCAUAGUCAACACCAUCUAAAGGCGUAAUUUCGUCAUUGGCAUUGCCUUCAAGCAUUUCUAAGUCAUUCUCAUUUUGCACCUCAUCAUCCUCCUCAUCAACAACCAUUUCAAUAUCUACUUCCAUUCUGAUCGCUUCGGUUAAGUCUAUCUCAAAUCGCCCUUCUAGCCCAUCUUCUUGGAAGAACUCUCCGUCAUAUGUGUCCGGGUCUAAGUUAUAAUCUUCAUCGUUUGGAACAGGUAAUUUACCGUGCGGUGAUACCUUAUACACAACAUCCCAACCCUUAAGAUGUUGUUUCGUUUGGCACGCAUAUGGAAGAUAAUACACUUGUGUGGCCUGUUGGGCCACAAUAUAGACAUCGUCUCCUGGUAAGGUGGAAUCCUAUCGAAUUUCGACUAGCCCAAGAUUAGAAUGUGUCCGUCUCGUAACUUCAGGGUCAAACCAAUGACAUUUGAAUAUCACUGUUGUAAGAGGUUUGGAACCAUAAAAAUUGAGUUCAUAUAUUUCUUCAAUUCUUCCAUAAUACUCGACCUCGUCAAGCCCGGGCGUAAAGACUCCAGAACACAUGGUUUUUCGAUUGGGCCGACUUUGGUCGUAGCUUGUUGUGCGAAAACGGUAUCCAUUGAUGUCAUACCCAGAAAAUUUCCUGACCCUAUAGGCAAAGCCAUUGGCUACUUGUCUCAACUCGGCACUCAUAGACGGCUCUUUUUGGCCCUGCAAGUUCAAACACGCUAGAUUGUUAUAUUAUUCGCACGUAAGAGCAACUUCAAAUGACAAACUAAGCACGUACCUUACGUUUAAACCAGGAAAUGAAAUCGGGCAAUCCAUUUCCCGCACCCUUUGCAAGAAGGGUAUCAUAUUCCUGUGGAGUUGGGUCCCUUGAUCGACGCCAGAAUUCAUGAAGAAAUUGCUCCAUGUAUGGCGUCACCUCUUCAAGGUUGGUCAAUACAUAUAGCAUGAUAUGACGCCACUCUUCAUGUCUCAGGGUCUUGGUGGUCGAACCACUCGCGCUUCCGAGUUGCCCUCGAAAAAUGUUGAGGUUCGAUUCAUUGUCGCCAUCAUUGUAACGAGGGGGUGGAUUAUGCACGCUCGGCAGUUUGUCACCAUAGUAAGUUGUUGUGAAGUUUGACACCUCCUCCAGUAUGUAUGCCUCUGCAAUGGAAGCCUCGAUUUUGCAUUUAUUUCUACAUUUCUUUCGGAUAGUCUUUAGACAUCUCUCGUUUGGAUAGCACCAACGUCCUCUUUAGACAUCUUGUUAGGAUUGUAUCGUUUGCCUUUUUUGUGCCAUGUCAUCUGUUUCGCAGAUUCCUCUGUCAUGUAUAGACGCUGGAUCCUCGGUAUGAACGGAAGGUGGCGUAGGAUUGUCACGGGGAUGUCGAGCUGCCUCUUCUGUCCAUCACUAGAGUCUACCUCCAUGAACCAAGACGAUUUACACUUCGGACAGUACUUUGCCUCAGUGUGUUCUUUCCUAAAUAGGACGCAGCCCUUCGGACAAGCAUGUAUCUGCUCAUACGUCAUCUUGAGUGCACGAAGGAGUUUCUGUGCCUCGUACAUGCUCUUUGGCAGAACGUGAUCCUCCGGAAGCAGGCUGCCAAUAACUAUCAACAAACCAUCGAAGGCGUCUCGACUCAUGCUAUACUGCGACUUGAAUGCCAUUAUACGCCCAAUGGCAUCCAGUUGAGAAACCUUUGUCUUGCCGUGAAGGGGUUUCUGUGCCGCGUCAAACAUGUCAUAGAAUGCCUUUGCGGUCGCCUCUGGCUCGUCCUCCAUACGUCCUUCGGCGAACUGUGCCUCGUGAUAGUUGUUCAACAUGUCUGCUACCCCGGCAUCAGCAUCGUAAUCCUCGACGCGUUGUCUCACCACCUCCUCUCUCGUGCGAUGCGCUUCACCAUGGAAGAUCCACCGAGUAUAGUCCGGCGUAAAUCCAUUCUUCCAAAUAUGUUCUACCAUGGCCUUCUUUGUUUUCCUUUUCCUGUUGUCACAUUUGCUGCACGGACAAGGGACUAGACUAGCUCCUUUAGCAGCUUCGCCAAAUGCUCGUUCCACGAAAGCAUCGAUCUUCCUAAUCCAUUCAGGGGUGACAUCAUUACGUCUUACGUGGCCCGUGUACAUCCACUCACGGUCCUCCAUCCUCUAACAUAUAUAACCAAGUAUAGUUUAAUAUAGACAUGUAAUGCAUGUACACUACGUUCCUACCUUCUAAUAGGUGAGGAUAGGUCCUAAUCCCACCCACGGUUGCGUAGAUGGAGUUAGUUUCCAUGCUCUACUCCUAUCCGAGAUAGAAUUUCGGUAGCACCUCCCCGUUGUUCUCCAGAUACACGUCCUGGCAGGGAGAAUGUACUGUCCGGAGAACAACAGGGAGGUGACGCCGAAACUCUGUCUCGGACCAGAGUAGAGCAUGAAACUAACACCAUCUACGCAACCGCGGGCUGUCCAAAAAACGUGGACAAUUCGAAACUGAUACAUUUGUAGAUAUGCAAGGAUCUGCAUAUCUACACCAUAUCUCUUUCGAACAGGAGACGCCUAACUGGGUUACGUGAUCUACGACCAUGAUGCGGAAAUAGAGGUUAUACCUAGGGUGGCGGUGGAGUCAGGCUAGCGGGGCUGUGGCGAGUCGGUGCAGUGGCGACGCGACGUGGUGCAGGCAGACCCGCAACGGCUAAGAAGACCUCUGCAAAAAACACAUGCCUGUCAACAAAAAAUUUCGGCAGCACCUCCCCCACACGGGGAGGUUUCCAAAACCUGCAAAUAAAACAAAACAGCACGAUGGCUGACACGCACACAUAUUUCAUGCUAUAAGAGGAUACAAUCUACCGAAAGAUCAACCUUGUGAAGACAAAAUAACCCACAAGGGAACUAACUUGGACAUAAAAAUAGAUGGAAGAACCUUAACAAGAAAAGAGUUAUCCUCUUGGUAUGUAAAUGAGUUUUUUUUCUUUCGGUGACUUAUCCAUUUUUCAAGAAGGCGAAUUAAUCUAACAUUGUGAAAAUUCAAAUACAUGAAAAACAAAGAAUGAACAUGGAGAAGCAAAUACAUGGAAACAUGAAAUAUGGAAUACAUAUCAAAUACAUGGAAUAUCAAAUACAUGAAAUAAAAAUACAUGAAAUAAAAACACAUGAAAAAUAAAAUACAUGAAAAAUAAAAUACAUGAAAUAAAAAUACAUGAAAAAUCAAGAGAUACAAUGUGACUAUAUCAAUCUAAAAUCAUCUAAAAUUCUUAUAAAAUCAUCUAAAAUUCAUGAAAAAUCAAGAGAUACAAUGUGACUAUAUCAAUCUAAAAUCAAUCUAAAAUUCUUAUAGUAGCAGGGGGAUCGGAGGGGAUCGAGGGGGAGGGAGCAACCGAGAUCGAGAGGCGGAGGUGUGCUCGGGCCGGCGGCGGUGUGCUCGAGGCGGGCCAGCGGCGGUGAUGCGGCACGGCGGGGCGGCGGGGACGCGGCGGGCGUGGUGGCGGGGGCGCGGCGGCGUGGAGGCGGGCCGGCGGCGGUGAUGCGGCACGGCGGUGAUGCGGCACGGCUGGGCGACGGGGACGAGGCGGGCGUGGUGGCGGCGGCGGCGCGGCGUGCGUCGGGCCGGGCAGAGCAAGUGAGCGAGUGAGAGAGAGAGAGAGAGACAGAAACGGCCGUUGGUGGAGAUAUGUAAAACUUCUUUGCCGAGUGCCCGUGAUCUGGCACUCGGCAAAGAAGUUUUUAUCAACUUUGCCGAGUGUCCACCGGGUGACACUCGGCAAAGAUCUUUUUAUUUUUUUAAAAAAUUAUUUGCCGAGUGUCCUUGGGACACUCGGCAAAGUUACUUCUUUGCCGAGUGUCUUUCUCUGACACUCGGCAAAGUUACUUAUUUGCCGAGUGUCUUUCCCUAACACUCGGCAAAGUGUAUUUUUAUUUUUCUUUCUUUUUUCACCAAACUUUUUCUACUAUGUUCCUACACUAUAUAGACCUACAUGUUCCAUUUUGGCACAAUUAUCAAAGAUUUUGCUAUAACUAUUAGAUUUAGUUCGUUUAAUUGAAUUUCUUCGGAUAAUUCAAAUUUGAACUGCAAGUCACUCGAGAAAUGGAAAACAGUGAAUGCAAAAAUGAUAUUCAUGUUGUUUAGCACAAGUUACGGCCUAUUCCAGGAACAGACUGGAAUUUUCGAGCACCAUGCUCACGAAACAUGACCGUGAACUUGCGAUCCAGUUAUUUUAAAAUUGUAUAAAACACAAACAAAGUCAGAAAAUCAUGAAACUUGUCGACAUGUCUUGAUAUCAUAUGUAGAGCCUAUGAUAUAAAUUUGAGCCUAUUUCGUGAAAGUUGUCACACACUAUGUGUAGAAACCUAGCCGACCUCCAUAUAAGUUUAAUGAUUUCAUGUGAGGGUCGGCUAGGUUUCUACACAGUGCGUGAUAACUUUCAUGAAACAGUCUCAAAUUUUUAUCAUAGGCUCUACAUAUGAUAUCAUGACAUGUCGACAAGUUUCAUGAUUUUCUGAUUUUGUUUGUGUUUUAUACAAUUUUAAAACAACUGGAUCGCAAGUUCACGGUCAUGUUUCGUGAGCAUGGUGCUCGAAAAUUCUGGUCAGUUCCUGAAAUAGGCCGUAACUUGUGCUAAAUAACAUGAAUAUAAUUUUUGCAUUCACCGUUUUCCAUUUUUCGAGUGACUUGCAGUUCAAAUCUGAAUUAUCCGAAGAAAUUCAAUUAAACGAACUAAAUCUAACAGGUAUAGCAAACAUUUUGAUAAUUGUGCCAAAAUUGAAUAUGUUGGUCUACAUACUGUAGGAACACACCACAAAAAGUUUGGUGGGAAAAAGAAAAAAAAUAAAAAUAUACUUUGCCGAGUGUCAGAAAAGACACUCGACAAAAUAUAGGUUUGCCGAGUGCUCAACGGGGAACACUCGGCAAAGAGGUAAGUUUGCCGAGUGUCGUCUCUGGACACUCGGCAUAGAUAACGACCGUCACCUAUUGACGGCUGCUGACGGCUCUUUGCCGUGCGCCUCAUUUCGCCGAGAGUUUGACACUCGGCAAAGAUUUCUUUACCGAGGGUCAUUAUGUGCCGAGUGUUUCGCACUCGGUAAAAGAUAUCUGUGUCGAGUGUCGUUUUACGCCGAGAGUGGCACUCGACAAAGACUAUUUUGCCGAGUGCCCGAUAUAUUAUACUCGGCAAAUCUCGUGGCACUCGGCAAAGAGCCUGUUUCCGGUAUUGUAUACACACUGUUAUUAUAUAUAUUAUCUUCUUUGGCGCAUGUAUGAGAUGCACCCGGCUUUGUCCCUUAAAACCGGGUGUGACAGAAGUGGUAUCAGAGGCAUGUUGACUGUAGGACGAAACCUAGAUAGAAAUGGACAAACCCUUACCUCUACUACUAUGAUUCUUUCUAAACUUUUCUUAAUCAUUUCUCAUAUAUUUCCGCCUUACUCUGAUUAUUCUUACCUGUUCCUCCUAAAGACAAAAGUGGAUUUCACACUUUGAAAUCUUGUGCCUAAAGUGACUUUAGGAAUAGGAGACCUACUCUUAGGAACAAAAAUAAAACUAUUUUUCUAGGUAUCUAUACGCUUGAGUGUUUGUUCUUAUGAUACUUGUCUGAUUUGGAUUUUUGAUUGAGUGUGAUGAGUUGUGGAGUAAUGUCCACGAUUGCAUCUGCAUAUACAUAUAGGCAUAAAUAUAAAUAAAUAAAAUUCAUGAGAGAACUAAACAACUUAGAUUCUCCUCCAUUAAAGUGUAUUUAUUUUAAAUGGAUCCUUCUUACCUUAAAAGAUUAUUUCUUACUUUAAUGGAUCUCUCUUAACUCAAAGGAAUAUAUCUUAUUUCAUAUAGAUCACUCUUAUCUUAAAAGACUCUCUCUUAUCUUAAAUAGUUCCAUCUUAUCUUAAAAGAUUAUUUCUUACCUUAAUAGAUUCAUCUCAUCCCGAAAAAGAUUUCAUCUUAUCCUAAUAGAUCUAACUAAUCUCAAAAGAUUCUAUCUUAUUCUUAGAGACUCAUCUUGUCCUAAAAAAGCAUACUUAUCCCCACCACUUUGCUUAUCUCUCAUGAACAAAUAACAUAUAGAAUUUGCUAUGUAAAUUUAUAUUCUUGUUUUUAGCAUUGAGGCUAUUAAUCUUCACAAAAAAAUAAACAUUUAAUUCAUUCUAUAUAUUUUUAAAUAAUUGAUAUAAACUUCGGAUGUCUAUUCGAAUACGGAUUCGAAUGUUUUUUCACCUUUUUUGUUGUAGGGAGAAAAUAAUAUACAUAAAAAAUUAUAUAAAAAUUUAUUUAAAUACUUCAUAAUAUUCUUAAUAACAUUGCCAAAAAUUAGCUUUGAAUUCUAUGUAUAUCUAUGCUAAAAUAUUAGAUUUGUGAUACAAUUCGGAUGUUUUAGGAACAUCCCUACUCAUGACAUUGUAACAAACAUGAUCUAUUCCAAAAUAAAAUAAGUAGACCCUACCUAAUCUAAUAUGAUCUAAUCUAAAGGGAGUUACUAAAACAAGUUUGUUAAAGCUGGUAACAUAGAUUAGACUAUCUUCAUACGAAUGGGUUUUAAAACCUAAAUUGGUGUCUUAGACCAACUCGUCCGUGAAACCACGACCUCACCUAUGUUAUAGGUUGCCUAACCCAUUUAUCCCAAAGGCAAAGUAAAAUUAUAUUUAACCUACCUACCCCAUAUUACCCACAAUUGUUAUCUCAACUCAGAUAAUGGCAUCUAACACCAAAACCGAUGGUCCCUAAAUCAGACUCAAGAAGAAGGUUAACUUCGACAAGGAAGGAUAUUAGUAGAAACGGAUCUUCAGAUGAAUCAAGAUCCACCACAUGGAAUAAAAAAAUCUAUCGUACCAAACUUUCUUCUGCCCCCAAAUCUCCCCUACACUCACCUAAUGGCCAAAUUCUGAUGUAUCGUUGUUUUCUAUGCCCCACCUGUUAAUGGCAUAAAUUUUUUUAAAGAAAAUAUAUACUAAUUAGAAGUUCCAUUUAAAAAUAUAUAUAAAUAUAUAUACUAGAAUUUCAUAAAAAUAAAGUCAGCUUGAUAUGCUCAACUAAAUGGUAUUCAUAAAUAGAAUAAUAGAAUCUAAUGAGAGUCACCUGACAAGUUAACACUAGUGAAAUAAACUAGAUCCUACUUCUAUAAACCUUGUUCUCCCCUCAUGCACUUAAACCUAAAUUUAGUGCAUUAGACCAACUCGACCAAGGGCAAAAGAGUUAACCCAACCUUAGAGUCAUGAUGGAUUGUGUAAUCUGUCUAUCCCCACCUAACAUCAAACAAGAUUUUGACCUACAUCGUAUCCCCACCUAACAUCAAACAAGAUUUUGACCUACAUCGUAUAGUCUAUUUCCUCCAUAUCUAUCUUAACCAUACUUCCUCAACCCUGAUGAUAUAUACUAACCUCAAAUUAAUGAGACCAAGACCAGGGAAGAAAAGAUCGACAUCGACAAGGAAGGAUAUAACAGUCAAAGCGAAUCUCGAGAUGAAUCAGGACUUAAACAUUUUGGAUAAAGUCUUUUCCUUGCCAUAAUAUUUCUUACCUCAACCUGUUCGGUUUAUAUCCCACAUAAAUAGUAGCUGGAUACCUAUGCUCUCCCAAUCUUCCACUACCUCCACCACCACCACCAGCUCCACCAAGCUACAUAAACAUAUAUAUAUAUAUACUACUAUUUGUAAGUGUUGGGGGCCUUCGUCUUCCGAAGGUCCUCAAAAACACGAUUAACAAUGUUUCCCAAGUAUAACAUAUGUACAAGAACCUUUGAACUCGGAAUGAAGUUGUACACAAUAUGAAAAGCAUGGUCGGGGCGAAGGUUGAAUCAGUUCCGAAGCUACACGCAGGGAAGCUUCGGCUCAGCAGCAGAAAACGGAACCGACUUAAAAAGGAAAAGGCUUUCUAGUCCUCGAUAGAUUGUCCUUAAGUCCAUAGUAAACAUAAAGGGCAUGAAUGUAAUUUUACACAGACUGCGCCCUAUGCCUAUAAAUAGAUGAACAGUACCCCCGUACUGUUCACGGUGACUUGUAUUCUCUCGUGCGUCACACUUGGACUUUUGCCUUCUGUCAAUCCGAAGGUACAAAUGUAAUUCAAUAUUGUUCAUGUUUAUUCAUGAUGAUAUAAUAAAGAUAUAUAAAUGAUGUCCUAUGGUUAUUCAUGUUAUUUCUCAUGUUUCAUAUGCUUCUACUUCCAUUAAUAUACACUGUGAUGAUGAAGGUACGUCCUUCAUAACCUUCAUCCGAAGAUCAUUAUAUCCUAAGGAAAAUAAUGCUUUGAAGGACGAAGGACUUCAACCUCUAACGUUUUGUGUUGCCUUGUUCUUAACUCAUAGCAUUUGAGAACAAGUCCCCAACAUUGGCGCCCACCGCCGGUGAACUUAAUCGACCACCUUCGGCAAGCCGCGACCUUCGUCAUGCCGCCAAAGAAAACUUCUUCAGAGCUAGGGGCUGCACUGCAGCCACUGGACGUCAACCAGGACACACUAUGCGAAGCUCGAACUCAAAAGAGGAAGGCUACAAGUCCAACACCCCAGGAGGAGGAGCUGGAUCAGGAGAUAAGGGAUCUUAAAGCUAUCCAUCAAUAGGUCGAAAGGAAGAGAGAAAAUGAUUUGUCUUUCCGAUCUACAGAAGAAGAUCGAUGAAGCUGCUGAAGAAAUACAUCAUCUUACUCAAGAUGACCAGGACCGAAGACCUCCACAAAGAGAGCUUCGUCAGGACAAUUCCUACAAUGAUGAUGAUUGGUAUGAUGAUUUCCAUCAUGGAAAUUUUGCUUUUGAUGAUGCUUCUUCUCUAUCAGCAGAACUGCAGGCUACCCCAUGGCCCCCAUCAUACAAGCCACCUUAGCUCCCCAUGUAUGAUGGGCACUCAGAUCCGAAGCAGUUUCUGAUGAGCUAUGAAGAAACUAUAUCUUCGUAUGGGGGCAAUACCGCAGUCAUGGCGAACUCUUUCGUCAUGGUAGUCCGAAGUGUGGCCCAGACAUUGUACUUUUCUCUCUGGCCAGGGACAAUCAUGUCAUGGCAGAAGCUUAAGGACAUGCUAGUCACCAGUUUUCAAGGGUUUCAGACGAAGCCAGUCACUGCUCAGGCCUUGUUCCAAUGCACUCAAGACCAUGAGGAGUACCUUCAGGCAUAUGUCCGAAGGUUCUUGCACCUAAGAGCACAAGCGCCUACGGUGCCUAAUGAAAUCGUCAUUGAGGCCAUGAUCAAAGGUCUUCGGCCAGGGCCUAUGGCUCAAUACUUCGCCAGGAAACCCCCCCAGACUCUGGAGAAGCUGCUUCAAAAAAUGGAUAAGUACAUUCAGGCUGACAAUGACUUCUGCCAAAGAAGGGAGGAAGCUUACAGAUUUUCUGAGAUGACUAGGGGCUUCAGAGGAAGAAUUCACCCUAGGCAUGUCAGAUCAAUCCACAGCUCCAGUCAGAACGAUGACAAAGGAGGCUAGUUUCAGAGGCCACAGCACAGCUCAGAGUCUUCAGGAUAGCAGCAAAGCUCCUUCAGGCCACCAGCUCCAAAGGGCCGAGGCGGCAGGGGCUUCGAAGGAAGAUAUGGGGAUCCGCCCAGGGAAAUCUAUUGCUUAUUCUGUGGUGAAGACAAGGGCCACACUACAAGAACGUGUCAGAUCACCAUUCAGAAGCAAAAAGAGAUUGCCGAAGCAGAAGCCCGGUAGAAUCAGCCAAAGCAGGUCUUACAUACUGCUUCGUGCCUCUCUCCCUACAUACCAGAAUAUGUGGGCAAUCAACCUUCAGCUUCUGUUGCUUCAGCAAGCCAUUCACAAGCUUCUUGGCCUCAUCUCCCACCGCCACCACCAUUGUAACCUACUUAUACCCGAAGCCAGCAGCCAAAAGGGCUCCAACACCCACAACAGCAACGUAACUUCAGGGAGGAGUCCGAAGCUCGUACGGUCAACAACACUGUACCAGAAUCAAAGCACAUAUACUGAACAAUAUCCUACUUCUGAAAUACUUUUACUUUUUACGUCAUUUUGCUUUCUUUAUGAGGAACAAGCAAUGAAAACUUAGUUUUAAUUUCUUGUAAUGAUUCUGCCUGUACCAGAAUGAAAUAUAUCUUCUUCACAGAUUUAUGAAGCUCAAAAGUCGUUCCUAAGGGAGCGCAGCGUAAGUUUUUUGCUCAAAAGUGGUUCCUAAGGGAAUGCAGAGUCAAAAUUGAUGAAGCUACAAAAAGUCGUUCCUAAGGUAGCGUAGUGUAAGUUUUCUGCUCAAAAGUCGUUCCAAAGGGAAUGCAGAGCCAAAUACCGCCGAAAUAUAAGGCAGAGAAGUUUAAAAGUCGUUCCUAAGGGGAUGCAGAACUUAUACCAUCAAAAUAGAAGGCGAAGAAGUUCAAAAGUCGUUCCUAAGGGGAUGCAGAACUUAUACCACCGAAAUAGAAGGUGAAGAAGCUCAAAAGUCAUUCCUAAGGGGAUGCAGAGCUUAGACUCAAAAGACGUUCCUAAGGGGAUGCAGAGUUUUGUGUAUUCCAGUGUGGGCGCGUGGGUAUGUAUCUUUGGCAUCCUCAUCAUUUUGCAUCAUAUCAUCACAUCAUUUUGCAUAACAUUACAUCAUACAUCAUACUGCAUUAACGACACAAGAAUCGAAUACGAAGACAAUCUUCGGCAAAUACUUCGUCAAACUGAAAAUGUGCUAAGGCACGAAGUAAGCUUCAGGAAAUACAGUUUUAUCAGACUUGCCACAAGAAGGGAUCUCUUUCUUUACGAAGCAUGAAAAGAAGGGAAGGUGUUUUUUCGCCGAAGGCUCAAAAACGGUAUGUGUAAAUUUCAUGCAUCGCAAAGAAAUAAGUUACAAUAAUUUACAUAUUCGAUUCAAUGUUACAUACAUCAAAUGUUACAUAGUUUUGUUACAAUAGAAGAUUAAUGUUCAUUCCAUUGUCCCAUACAUCAAGCAUUUCAAAAUAUUAUUAUAAUAAAACCUAUUCUUCUCUAAGGACUUUUUCCGCAACUUCAUUCAAAAGUUUAUCGACGACUUCGUCAAUAAUGGAGUUUGCCAUGCUUAUAAUAUCCAGUGCCUCCUUCAUUUCUAGAUCAGCUAGGGGAUCGUACGGUUCCGAUGGCGGGGAUAGUUCAGCUGAAGGAGGUAAAUUGAUUAGUUCGAAGCCACAAAACAAGCACCAAAGUUAAAAAACCAAAAAAUAAUACCUAUACGCCUUUUGCGUUCUGCAGCCUCUUCAGCUCGCUUUGCUUCUGCUCGGGCAUCGUGGGUGUCUUUUUCAUUCUUUUUUUAUAAUCUCGUGGGCCAGCUCUCGGCCACCGUUCACCUAGACAUCAUUAUAAAACUUCCCGCCUAUUAAAGUUGCUUCGGCUGAAGGAUCCUUCGUAUUGUCUAUGGAGAAGGUCGCUUCAGCCUGGGCUUUAGCCUUUACGUGAUCACAUCCGGCCUUCUCCAGAAUAGCUAAGAUUCCCCAAGCGCUGAAAAACGCACAAAUAUACCCGUGAUCAUUCAAGAUUUCCUCGAAGGCUUCGGCUUCUCCACUUAUCCAUUCAAUAACGCCUCCAGGGUCGCCUCAGAUAAAAUUUUCUUCAGAAGAAUAAGCACCCAAUUUGGAGAAGCUAGUUUUAAUUUCUUCACACUAUCAAAGGAUUUUUCAAAACACUUCUCCUUGGAUUCGCGAAGUUUUGUAACAUUUUUCUCUAAUUUAUUCUUCCAAUAUUCGCUAAUCUCUUGGUUAGCCUGUGCGAGCGCGUAGUUCUCCUUAGCUUCGGCCAGUUGUCUCCGAAGGUCUUCAAUCUCGGUUUUCUAGGCUUCAGCCUGAGCAUGGUAAUUAGCUUCGACUUCCUUUACUUUGUUCACCAAUUGAUAUAGCUGAGGUGCCCGAUCUUUUGGCGAGUAGAGAUAAUUCCGAUUUGGCGGAAGAUGACCCUUGCGAUCCAACUACGACGAGCAAGCCCGAGGCGCCAAUGCAAUCGCUGAACCAACUCCCUGUGGUUACCGACCUUGCUGAUGCGAGAUCGGCCUGAUCACGAAGAUCGUUUCCUGUGCGCAAUCGAAGAACGAACAAGAAAAAGAUGCGAGCAAUCUAAUCUAUUACUCGAGGGUGGAGUUCUGAAUACACGAAGACAGCGCAGAUUUGUGCGUGUUCGAGAGUAGCUAAAGCUAACGUAAAACAAAACUCGCAGAACGAAGGAGGCGCAGCUCCUGGAUAAAUAGAGAGGGGGCGCAGCCCCUAGGGGUGGCCAACCCUAGGUCGUCCACUAUGGGCCGCAGUUGGGCUGGUCGUCUAUUCUUCUGGGCCCUUAUUCUUCAGUAGCAUGACGAAGUUAAGAUCUCUGGCACAGGCCCGAGUGAUUGGCCCAGCUAAUGAAGGAAGUGGCGCAUGAUGUGGAGGUGCUGCUGGUGUAGUCGUACUCAUAGUGAUGUCCUCAUCAUCCUCCCCUUCUUGAAGUGAAGUCGUCCUCGACGACAACUCCUCAUCCUCGGCCAUAUAUGGUUUCAAAUCUGCAACAUUAAAACUAGUGGAAACACCAAAUUCCAUAGGCAGGUCAAGGAUAUAAGCAUUAUCAUUAAUCUUUGUUAGCACCUUAAAAAGACCAGCAGCACGAGGCAUUAAUUUAGAACGGCGCAAAGUAGGAAACCAAUCAUUUCUCAAGUGCAACCAAACCAUAUCACCUGGCUCAAAAGUAACAUGUUUUCUUCCUUUACUACAAGCAACCUGAUUUUUUGCAUUAGUAGCAGCAAUGUUCUGUUUCGUUUGUUCAUGUAUGGUAAUCAUUUGUUCAACAUGUGCAGCAGCAUCUACAUGUGGGGCGUUCGCAGCAUUAAGUGAAAUCAAAUCAAUAGGUGGCCUAGGGAUGUAACUAUAAACAAUCUGGAAAGGGCACAUCUUUGUAGAAGAAUGCGUGGCAUGAUUGUAAGCAAAUUCAACAUGAGGCAAGCAAUCCUCCCAACGUCUCAAAUUCUUGUCUAAAACAGCCCUAAGCAUGGUAGAUAAAGUUCUAUUUACUACCUCAGUUUGUCCAUCAGUCUGAGGGUGACAAGUAGUGCUAAACAACAAUUUAGUUCCCAAUUUAUUCCAAAGAGAUCUCCAAAAAUGGCUUAGAAACUUAGCAUCGCGAUCAGAGACUAUUGUUUUUGGAAUACCAUGUAAACGAAUAAUUUCUCUAAAGAACAAUUCAGCAACAAUGCUAGCAUCAUCAGUUUUAUGACAAGGUAUAAAGUGAGCCAUUUUAGAGAAUCUAUCAACAACCACAAAAAUACUAUCCCUCCCCUUCUUAGUUCUAGGCAAGCCCAAAACAAAGUCCAUAGAAAUAUCAAGCCAAGGAGAAGAAGGGACGGGCAAAGGCAUAUACAAACCAUGGUUGUUCAACCGUGACUUAGCUUUCUGACAAGUAGUGCAGCGUGCAACAAGGUGCUCAACAUCAGCGCGCAUCCGAGGCCAAAAGAAGUGGGCAGCCAACACCUCAUGCGUUUUGUAGACGCCAAAAUGCCCCAUGAGACCGCCUCCAUGCGCUUCCUGUAACAACAAAAGACGAACCGAGCUAGCUGGAACACACAACUUGUUAGCGCGAAACAGGAACCCAUCCUGUAUGUGAAAUUUGCCCCAUGGUAUCCCAUUAAUACAAUGGCCGAAAGCAUCUUUAAAAUCAGCAUCGUCAACAUAUUGAUCCUUCACAGUGUGCAAACCAAAGAUUUUAAAAUCUAACUAUGACAGCAUGGUAUAGCGACGAGACAAAGCAUCAGCAAUAACAUUGUCCUUCCCGUUCUUGUGUUUAAUAAUGUAAGGAAAGGACUCAAUGAAUUCGACCCAUUUAGCAUGACGACGGUUCAGAUUUAUUUGGGUACGAAUAUGUUUUAAAGCCUCAUGAUCAGAAUGAAUUAUGAACUCACGAUGCCAAAGAUAGUGCUGCCAUGUAUACAAAGUGCGCACUAAAGUGUAAAGCUCCUUAUCAUAAGUAGAAUAUUUCAGACUAGCACCGCUUAAUUUUUCACUAAAAUAAGCAACUGGUUUUCCUUCUUAUAACAAAAUAGCACCUAGCCCAAUACCGCUAGCAUCGCAUUCAAGCUCAAAAACUUUAUUAAAAUCAGGCAAUUGCAAGAGGGGAGCUUGGGUUAACUUAUCUUUCAAAGUGUUGAACGCUACCUCCUGCGAAUCACUCCAAGCAAAUGGCACAUCUUUCUUUGUAAGCUCAUGUAGAGGCGCUGCAAUGGAGCUAAAAUCACGAACAAAUCUGCGGUAGAAACCGGCAAGUCCAAGAAAGCUCCGAAUUUGUGUGACGGUCGUCGGUGUAGGCCACUCCCGAAUGGCAGCAAUCUUGCUGCUAUCCACCUCAAUGCCCUGCGGAGUAACCACAUAACCAAGAAACGAGACACGUUGCGUGCAAAAUGUGCACUUUUCCAUGUUACCAAACAAGCGAGCAGCACGCAAAGCAUCAAAAACAGCACACAAAUGUUCUAAAUGCUCCUCUAUAGACUUGCUGUAAAUAAGGAUAUCAUCGAAAUAAACAACAACAAACAAACCUAUGAAGGCCCAUAGAACUUCGUUCAUUAAACGCAUAAAGGUGCUGGGAGCAUUAGUCAAUCCAAAUGGCAUAACCAACCAUUCAUAUAAACCAAUCAAAACUAUUUUUGUAAAUAUUUGGUAUGCCUGAAUGUUUGUUCUUGUGAUACAUGUCUGAUUUGGAUUUUUGAUUGAGUGUGAUGAGUUGUGGAGUAAUGUCCACAAAUACAUCUGCAUAUAAAUAUAAGCAUAAAAAUAAAUGAACAAAAUUCAUAAGACAACCAAACAACCUAGAUUAUCCUCCAUUAAAGUGUAUCUAUUUUAGAUAGAAUCCUUUAAGUUGAAAAAAAUAUUCUAUCUUAUCCUAAUAGGUUCAUCUUAUGUUAAAAAAAUAUCUUAUCCUCAUAAAUUGUUUAUAAGAUAAACUAGACCAACUAAGAAUACCCCACUAGAAAAUAACAAGCCUAAUAGAUCCAUCUUAUGUUAACAGAUUCUCUCUUAUCUUAAUAGAUUCAUCUUAUCUUGAAGGAUUCACAUUAUCCAAAUCACUUGACUUAUCCCACCAUGAUCAUGACCUAACCCAAAUUAAUUGGAUCUUGUCUAGUCGAGGCUAGUCAUACCUAGAUCUGAUCUAAUGUGGCAGAUUAAUCUAACCUAAUGAAGGCUAACCUCAAGUUGAGCUAAUCUAAUGUAAGUUGCUUAACAGGAAAGUUUACACUGAUAAAAUGGAUUAGAUUCUACUCCUAUAAAAUAUGUUUAACUUAAUUCACUCCGCACUAAAUUAAGAACGAGAGACCAACUCGGCCUUAUGCAACUGCCUUACCCAUCUGAUGGUUGCAUAACCCCUCUGUUUUAACCUAACAGAGAUUCCGACUUACCUACACCAUAUAAUCCAUCCUAUCUCAAAAGAUUCUAACAUAAUCUAAUGAUAUAUAUCCUACCCUGGUAGAUCUAUCUAACUUAAACUAGUCUAAUCUAGUUAUAUCCAAUCUAAAGGGAGUUACUUAAAUAAGUUAGUUAAUACCGGUAACAUAUAUUAGACCAUAUUCCUAUAAAUGGGGUUUAAACCUAAAUUGGUGUCUUAGACCAACUUGUCCGUGAAACCACGACCCAGCCUAUGUUAUAGGUUACCCAACCCAUUUAUCCCAAAAGCAAGUAAAACUCUGUUUAACCUACCUACCCCAUGUACCUGCAAUUGUUAUCCUAGCUCGGAUAAUGGCAUCUAACACUGCAACCGAUGGUCCCUAAAUUAGACCCAAGAAGAAGGUUAACUUCGACAAUGAAGAAUACGAGUACAAACAAAUCUUUCGAUGAAUCAAGAUCCACCACUCGAAAUAAAAGUCUCCCUUACUUAAUUUUCUCUUGCCCCAAAUCUUCUCUACACUCACCAAAUAGCUACAACAUGAUGUACCCUUGUUUUCCGUGCCACACCUGUUAAUGGCAUGAAAAUUUUAGGUAUAAAAAAUAUACUAAUUGGAAGUUCCACUUAGAAAAAAAAUAUACUGGAAUUUCUUAAAGAUAAAGUCAGCCUGAUAUGCUUAACUAAAUGGUAUUCUUAAAUAGGAUUAUAUAAUCUAAUGUGAUCUAAUCUAAUGUAGUCUACUUAAACAGAUCAGUGAUAUUGGUAGAAGAGAUUAGACCCUACUAGCCAAAUGGUAACUUAACCUAGUACAUUAGACCAACUCAACCAUGAGUAGAAGAGCUAUCCCAACCAAUAGAGUCAUGAUGGAUUGCAUAAUAUGUCUGUCCCCACCUAACAUCAAACAAACUUUUGAUUCAUCUUGUAGUCUAUCUCACCCAUUUCUAUCUUAACCAUACUCUGCUAACUCCAAUGAUAUACACUAACCUCGAAUCAAUGAGACCAAGACUGGAGAAGAAGAGAUCGACAAGGAAGGAUAAACACCAACUCAAGUCUUCAAAGACCAAGCUGGAUCAUCAGAUGAAUCGAGACCCUCUAUGCAUGAUGGAGUCUUCCCUUGCCAAAAUCUUCCUUUCUUGUACUUAUCUUGAUCUUUCUUACCCCAACUUUCUUACCAACAGCUAAAACAUGAUUAUAAGCUACCCAUGCUUUCCUAGUCACCUAAAAGCAAUUGAAAAACUAGAUACAAACCAAUCCUUUUGUAUCCCUUUCUUACAAAUCUCGAGGAUGAGAUUUCUGUUAAGGGGGUAGGAUUUUUAAAACCCAAAAUUGGUCCAAGAAAAAAUGAAUGAUGAUAAAGUAAAUGAAUAAAUAUAUUUGAGGAUUUUGGAACCUUGGGAAAUUUAUUUGGACCCUUCUAUCUUCAUAGCCAAUUAAUGGAGUAAUAUUAGUCGAUUAACCCAUAAAAAAUAGGAAUGUGCAUCCCAUGCUUAAGAUUAUGUUGGGAUACAUUUUGUUCGACCUCAAAUUAUAAAUGAAAAUAUAAAAUAGAUGUCGGGGACCAUAAUUAGGGUACCCUCAAGACGCCUAAUUCUCAGCUGGUAACCCCCAUCAGCAUAAAGCUGCAAAGGCCUGAUGGGUACGAUUAAGUCAGGGAUCAGUCCACACGAGUGACUCGAUCACGCUUCACCCGAGCCUAGCCUCGGCCGAGGGCAGCCAACCUCGAGAGACUUCCGUCUCGCCCGAGACCCCCCUUUUUACGGCGGACACAUCACCGGCUCGCCCGAGGCCUUGGCUUCGCUCAGAAGCAACCUUGACUAAAUCGCCACACCGACUGACCAAAUUGCAGGGGCAUUUAACGCAAAGGUGGCCUGACACCUUUAUCCUGACACGCGCCCCCCCGGCAGAGCCGAAGUGACCGCCGUCACUCCACCGCUCCUCUGACCAGUCUGACAGAAGGACAGCGCCGCCUGCGCCACUCCGACUGCGGUGCCACUCGACUGAGUGAGCCUGACAGGCAGUCAGGCCUUGCCAAAGGCGCCACGGCGAACUCCGCUCCGCCCGACCCCAGGGCUCGGACUCGGGCUAAGACCCGGAAGACGGCGAACUCCGCUCCGCCCGACCCCAGGGCUCGGACUCGGGCUAAGACCCGGAAGACGGCGAACUCCGCUCCGCCCGACCCCAGGGCUCGGACUCGGGCUAAGACCCGGAAGACGGCGAACUCCGCUCCGCCCGACCCCAGGGCUCGGACUCGGGCUAAGACCCGGAAGACGGCGAACUCCGCUCCGCCUGACCCCAGGGCUCGGACUCUGGCUAAGACCCGGAAGACGACGAAACUCCGCCUCGCCCGACCCCAGGGCUCGGACUCCGCCCUGGCCUCGGCCGAACGACUUCCGCCUCGCACGACCCCAUGGCUCGGGCUCGGCCUCGGCAACAGAGGACAGACUCAACCUCGGCUUCGGAGGAGCCCCCACGUCACCCUGCCUAGGGCACAGACCCGCCACGUCAACAUGGAGCGCCAUCAUCAUCCUACCCCGAAUCGACUCGGGUCACGGAGAACAAGACCGGCGUCCCAUCCGGCCAGCUCCGCCGGAUGGGCAAUGAUGGCGCUCCACCAGCUCUGUGACGACGGCGACCCCCAGCUCUCUUACGGAAGCAGGACGACGUCAGCAGGGACUCGACCGCUCCAACAGCUGUCCCUCCGCCAAGCUCCGUCGCACCUCCGACAGCCACGACAUCACGCCAGCAAGGUGCCAAGAUCUCUCCGGCUGCCACAUUGGCAUGUACCUAGGGCGCUAGCUCUCUCUCCGCUAGACACGUAGCACUCUGCUACACCCCCCAUUGUACACCUGGAUCCUCUCCUUACGACUAUAAAAGGGAGGACCAGGGCCUUCUUAGAGAAGGUUGGCCGCGCGGGACCGAGGACGGGACAGGCGCUCUCUUGGGGCCGCUCGCUUCCCUCACCCGCGUGGACGCUUGUAACCCCCCUACUGCAAGCGCACCUGACCUGGGCGCGGGACGAACACGAAGGCCGCGGGACUUCCACCUCCCUCACGCUCGACUCCGGCCACCUCGCCUCUCCCCCCUUCGCGCUCGCCCACGCGCUCGACCCAUCUGGGCUGGGGCACGCAGCGCACUCACUCGUCGGCUUAGGGACCCCCCUGUCUCGAAACGCCGACAGUUGGCGCGCCAGGUAGGGGCCUGCUGCGUGCUGACGAACAGCUCCCCGUCAAGCUCCAGAUGGGCAGUCUCCAGCAACCUCUCCGGCCCGGAACGAUGCUUCGUUUCGGGACUCUUGAGUUCAUGUCCUUCGACGGCAGCUACGACAUGAUACUUCUUCCACCGCCGCGCGACGACGACAAUGGCGACCGACAACCCGCCCGCCGGCGGCGGGAUCGACGACAUCUUCCCCGCGUGGUGGAAGAGCAACAUUCGGGCUCGCUCCGUCCUCUCCCCCGCCAACGGAGGAGGAGGCGGGGCCAUCAAGGCCAGGCGGGAGGCCUCGCUUCGUUGGCCGUCGAGCGAAUCGACGCCCCCGACGCCCCGACGGAAGGCACGCCGGACGUCGACCUCGCGUUCAAGACGGAGGCAAGCGCCGUCCCCCCGCGACACGCUGACCCCGAACAAGAAGACGACGCCAGCGCGCUCGCGGAAAGCCUGCAGGACGUCGCCCUCGUACCUGAGAUGACGGUGCAACCAGUCCCCGAUGUGACUACGUCGCUCCUCGUCGACCAAAAGGUACCGACUAACUCCCAUCUUGCGUCAUUUCGACUCGGCCUCAACCCGCCAAACGACCUCGUUUUGGCGGGCGCUCUCAUUGAGGCGAGUGCAACCCCACUGGGGUUUCAUAUGCGGUCGCCUUGGGACCGGCUGACGGACGUCUCGACCUACGGGCCCUCUGGGUCCGAGGAAGAUGACGAUCCCAGCAUCUGUUGGGAUUUCUCCGGACUUGGCAACCCCAGUGCCAUGCGGGACUUCAUGACCGCAUGUGACUACUGCCUAUCUGACUGUUCUGACGGAAGCCGCAGCCUUGGCGACGAGAGCUGCGGCCCAAGCCGCGAAUGUUUCCACAUCGAGCUAGGGGAUCCCUCCGAAGGCAACCAUCUCGGCAUGCCAGAGGACGGUGAUCUUCCUAGGCCGGUGCCUCGCGCCGACAUCCCACGGGAGCUAGCUAUGGUCCCCGCUCCGGCGGGGGGUUACGACCCACAACUCGAGCAAGUCCGCGAGGCGCAGGCCAGGCUCAACGAGGGAACAGGAGCGCUUGAGCCGAUCCGUCGGGACGUCGGGCAGGCAUGGGCGGGCCAACCCUUGGCCGGAGAAAUACGUCACCUGCCCCAAGGUCUCCAGCACCGCGUCGCCAACGAUGCCAGGGUCAGGCCGCCGCCCGCAUCCAGCGGGGUUGGUCAGAACCUGGCAGCCGCAGCGAUGCUCCUCCGCGCGAUGCCAGAGCCAUCAACCACCGAGGGUCGGCGAAUCCAGGGAGAGCUCAAGAAUCUCCUGGAAGGCGCUGCGGCCCGACGGGCCGAGAGCACUGCCUCCCGAAGGCAAGGAUAUCCCUCGGAACCUCAUGCCGCGACUUCCCGAUUCAUGCGGGAAGCCUCGGAAUACACUGGGCGCACGCGCAGCACCGCGCCUGCGGCCCCGGGCCACCUCGGCAACGAGCACCAUCGGCGCGACCGACGGGCCCACCUCGACGAAAGGGUGCGCCGAGGCUACCACCCCAGGCGUGGGGGGCGCUACGACAGCGGGGAGGAUCGGAGUCCCUCGCCCGAACCACCCGGUCCGCAGGCCUUCAGUCGGGCCAUCCGACGGGCGCCAUUCCCGACCCGGUUCCGACCCCCGACUACUAUCACGAAGUACUCGGGGGAAACGAGACCGGAACUGUGGCUCGCGGACUACCGCCUUGCCUGCCAACUGGGUGGGACGGACGACGACAACCUCAUCAUCCGUAACCUCCCCCUGUUCCUCUCCGACACUGCUCGCGCCUGGUUGGAGCACCUGCCUCCGGGGCAGAUCUCCAACUGGGACGACUUGGUCCAAGCCUUCGCUGGCAAUUUCCAGGGCACAUACGUGCGCCCCGGGAAUUCCUGGGACCUUCGAUGUUGCCGGCAACUGCCGGGGGAGUCGCUCCGGGACUACAUCCGGCGAUUCUCGAAGCAGCGCACCGAGCUGCCCAACAUCACCGACUCGGAUGUCAUCGGCGCGUUCCUCGCCGGCACCACAUGCCGCGACCUGGUGAGCAAGUUGGGUCGCAAGACCCCCACCAGGGCGAGCGAGCUGAUGGACAUUGCCACCAAGUUCGCCUCUGGCCAGGAGGCGGUUGAGGCUAUCUUCCGAAAGGACGAGCAGCCCCAGGGCCGCCCAUCGGAAGAGGCUCCCGAGGCGUCUGCUCCGCGCGGCGCCAAGAAGAAAGGCAAGAAGAAGUCGCAAUCGAAACGCGACGCCGCUGACGCGGACCUUGUCGCCGCCGCCGAGUACAAGAACCCUCGGAAGACCCCCGGAGGUGCAAACCUUUUCGACAAGAUGCUCAAGGAGCCGUGCCCCUAUCAUCAGGGGCCCGUCAAGCACACCCUCGAGGAGUGCGUUAUGCUUCGGCGUCACUUCCACAGGGCCGGGCCACCCGCUGAGGGUGGCAGGGCCCGCGACGACGACAAGAAUGAAGAUCACCCAGCAGGAGAGUUCCCCGAGGUCCGCGACUGCUUCAUGAUCUAUGGAGGGCAAGCGGCGAAUGCCUCGGCUCGGCACCGCAAGCAAGAGCGCCGGGAGGUCUGCUCGGUGAAGGUGGCGGCGCCAGUCUACCUAGACUGGUCCGACAAGCCCAUCACCUUCGACCAGGCCGACCACCCCGACCAUGUGCCGAGCCCGGGGAAAUACCCGCUCGUCGUCGACCCCGUUGUCGGCAAUGUCAGACUCACCAAGGUCCUGAUGGAUGGGGGCAGCUGCCUCAACAUUAUCUACGCCGAGACCCUCAAGCUCCUGCGCGUCGAUCUGUCCUCCGUCCGAGCAGGUGCUGCGCCCUUCCAUGGGAUCAUCCCUGGGAAGCGCGUCCAGCCCCUCGGGCGACUCGACCUCCCCGUCUGCUUCGGGACGCCCUCCAACUUCCGAAGGGAGACCCUGACGUUCGAGGUGGUCGGGUUCCGAGGAACCUACAACGCCGUACUAGGGAGGCCAUGCUACGCGAAGUUCAUGGUCGUCCCCAACUACACCUACCUGAAGCUCAAGAUGCCGGGCCCCAACGGGGUCAUCACCGUCGGCCCCACGUACAAACACGCGUUCGAAUGCGACGUGGAGUGCGUGGAGUACGCCGAGGCCCUCGCCGAGUCCGAGGCCCUCAUCGCCGACUUGGAGAACCUCUCCAAGGAGGUGCCAGACGUGAAGCGCCAUGCCGGCAACUUCGAGCCAGCGGAGACGGUUAAGGCCGUCCCUCUCGACCCCAGUGGCGACACCACCAAGCAGGUCCGGAUCGGUUCCGGGCUCGACCCCAAAUAGGAAGCAGUGCUCGUCGACUUUCUCCUCGCAAACGCCGACGUCUUUGCGUGGAGUCCCUCGGACAUGCCCGGCAUACCGAGGGAUGUCGCCGAGCACUCGCUGGACAUUCGGGCCGGAGCCCGACCCGUCAAGCAGCCUCUGCGCCGAUUCGACGAGGAAAAGCGCAGAGUGAUUGGCGAAGAGAUCCACAAGCUAAUGGCAGCAGGGUUCAUCAAAGAGGUAUUCCAUCCCGAAUGGCUUGCCAACCCUGUGCUUGUGAGGAAGAAAGGGGGGAAAUGGCGGAUGUGUGUAGACUACACUGGUCUCAACAAAGCAUGUCCGAAGGUUCCCUACCCUCUGCCUCGCAUCGACCAAAUCGUGGAUUCCACCGCUGGGUGCGAAACCCUGUCCUUCCUUGAUGCCUACUCAGGGUAUCACCAGAUCCGGAUGAAAGAGUCCGACCAGCUCGCGACUUCUUUCAUCACGCCGUUCGGCAUGUACUGCUAUGUCACCAUGCCGUUCGGUUUGAGGAAUGCGGGCGCGACGUACCAGCGGUGCAUGAACCAUGUGUUCGGCGAACACAUCGGUCGCACAGUCGAGGCCUACGUCGAUGACAUCGUAGUCAAGACAAGGAAGGCUUCUGACCUCCUCUCCGACCUUGAAGUGACAUUCCGAUGUCUCAAGGCGAAAGGAGUCAAGCUCAAUCCUGAGAAGUGUGUCUUCGGGGUGCCCCGAGGCAUGCUCCUAGGGUUCAUCGUCUCCGAGCGAGGCAUUGAAGCCAACCCGGAGAAGAUCGCGGCCAUCACCAGCAUGGGACCCAUCAAGGACUUAAAAGGUGUACAGAGGGUCAUGGGAUGCCUCGCGGCCCUGAGCCGCUUCAUCUCAUGCCUCGGCGAAAGAGGUCUGCCCCUGUACCGCCUCUUAAGAAAGGCCGAGUGUUUCGCUUGGACCCCUGAAGCCGAGGAAGCCCUCGGCAACCUGAAGGCGCUCCUUACAAAGGCGCCUGUCUUGGUGCCCCCGGCGGAUGGAGAAGCCCUCUUGGUCUACGUCGCCGCGACCACUCAGGUGGUUAGCGCCGCGAUUGUAGUCGAGAGGCAAGAGGAAGGGCAUGCAUUGCCCGUUCAGAGGCCGGUCUACUUCGUCAGCGAAGUGCUGUCCGAGACCAAGAUCCGCUACCCACAUGUUCAAAAGCUGCUGUAUGCUGUGAUCCUGACAAGGCGGGAGCCGCGACACUACUUCGAGUCUCAUCCGGUAACUGUGGUGUCAUCCUUCCCCCUGGGGGAGAUCAUCCAGUGCCGAGAGGCCUCGGGCGGGAUCGCAAAGUGAGUGGUGGAAAUCAUGGGCGAAACGAUCUCGUUCACCCCUCGGAAGGCCAUCAAGUCCCAGGUGUUGGCGGACUUCGUGGCCGAAUGGGUCGACACCCAGUUGCCAACGGCUCCGAUCCAACCGGAGCUCUGGACCAUGUUUUUCGACGGGUCACUGAUGAAGACAGGAGCCGGCGCGGGCCUGCUCUUCAUCUCGCCCCUCGGAAAGCACUUGCGCUACGUGCUGCACCUCCAUUUCCCGGCGUCCAACAAUGUGGCCGAGUACGAAGCUCUGGUCAAUGGGUUGCGGAUCACCAUCGAGCUAGGGGUCAGACGCCUCGACGCCCGCGGUGAUUCGCAGCUCAUCAUCGACUAAGUCAUGAAGAACUCCCACUGCCGCGACCCGAAGAUGGAGGCCUACUGCGACGAGGUUCGGCGCCUGGAAGACAAGUUCUUCGGGCUCGAGCUCAACCACAUCGAUCGGCGCUACAACGAAACCGCAGACGAGCUGGCUAAAAUAGCCUCUGGGCGAACGACGGUCCCCCCGGACGUCUUCUCCCGGGAUCUACACCAACCCUCCGUCAAGAUCGGCGACGCGCCCGAGCCCGAGGUACCCUCGGCUCAGCCCGAGGCACCCUCGGCACAGCCCGAGGUACCCUCGGCCCCCGAGGGUGAGGCACUGGACGUCGAGGAAGAGCAGAGCGGGGCCACGCCAGAUCGGGAUUGGCAGGCCCCGUACCUGCAAUAUCUCCGUCGAGGAGAGCUACCCCUCGACCAAGUCGAGGCUCGGCGGGUAGCACGACGCGCCAAGUCAUUCGUCUUGCUGGGCGAUGAAGAGGAGCUCUACCAUCGCAACCCCUCGGGCAUCCUCCAGCGAUGCAUCUCCAUCGCCGAAGGUCGGGAAUUGCUGCAAGAAAUACACUCGGGGGCUUGCGGCCACCACGCAGCGCCCCGAGCCCUUGUCGGGAAUGCUUUCCGGCAAGGCUUCUACUGGCCAACGGCGGUGGCUGACGCCACUAGAAUUGUCCGCACCUGCGAAGGGUGCCAAUUCUAUGCGAAGCGGACCCACCUGCCCGCUCAGGCUCUGCAGACAAUACCCAUCACCUGGCCCUUCGCUGUAUGGGGUCUGGACCUCGUCGGUCCCUUGCAGAAGGCGCCCGGGGGCUACACGCACCUGCUGGUCGCCAUCGACAAAUUCUCCAAGUGGAUCGAGGUCCGACCUCUGAACAGCAUCAGGUCCAAGCAGGCGGUGGCGUUCUUCACCAACAUCAUCCAUCGCUUCGGGGUCCCAAACUCCAUCAUCACCGACAACGGCACCCAGUUCACCGGCAAAAAAUUCUUGGAUUUUUGCGAGGAUCACCAUAUCCGGGUGGACUGGGCCGCCGUGGCUCAUCCCAUGUCGAAUGGGCAAGUAGAGCGUGCCAACGGCAUGAUUCUACAAGGGCUCAAGCCUCGGAUCUACAACGACCUCAACAAGUUCGGCAAGCGAUGGAUGAAGGAACUCCCAUCGGUGGUCUGGAGCCUAAGGACGACGCCGAGUCGUGCCACGGGUUUCACGCCGUUUUUCCUGGUCUACGGGGCUGAAGCCAUCUUGCCCACUGACCUGGAAUACGGCUCCCCGAGGACGAGGGCCUACACCGAUCAAAGCAACCAAGCUAGCCGAGAGGAAUCGCUGGACCAGCUGGAGGAGGCUCGGGACAGGGCCUUACUACACUCGGCGUGGUACCAGCAGUCCCUGCGACGCUACCACGCCCGAGGGGUCCGGUCCCGAGAACUCCAGGUGGGCGAUCUGGUGCUUCGGCUGCGGCAAGACGCCCGAGGGAGGCACAAGCUCACGCCCCCCUGGGAAGGGCCAUUCGUCAUCGCCAAAGUUCUGAAGCCCGGAACAUACAAGCUGGCCAACAAUCAAGGCGAGAUCUACGGCAACGCUUGGAACAUCAAACAGCUACGUCGCUUCUACCCUUAAGAUGUUUUCAAGUUGUUCAUAUACCUCGCACCUACGCAAAGUUUAGUCGUCAAGGAAGGGUCGGCCUAGCCUCGGCAAAGCCCGACCCUCCCUCGGGGGCUAAAAGGGGGGAGACCCCCUCUGCGUCGAAUUUUUCCUCGAAAAAGGAUCUCUUUCUAGCAGGAUUUCUUUCGUGCUUCUUGACUACUUCGGAAAGCGGAUCCUGGAAACGACGGAGUACACGUAAGCAGCCAAGGCUGACCGAGCCGAGGGACUCCUACGCCUCCGGAAUACGGAUACCUCACUCAUCACCUUCUGCGAUAAGUAACUCGCGCUCGGAUAAAGCGACUCCGUGGACCGAACAAGUCUUCACGUUCGGAAGCUCUCCUGCCGAAGCAGUCCUUCAAGCUUUCUCGACUAAGUCGGGGACAGGGCCUCAUGAACGGGUGAAAGUACGCGUAAACGGCAAGGCCGACCGAGCCGAGGGAUUCCCACGCCUCUGGGAUACGGAUACCUCACUCGUCCCUUCCGCGAGAAGCAACUCUCGCUCACACAAACAUCCCUGUUACCGACAGAGUCCAGAUGCUCGAAACAAGAGGAAAAAAGACGCAGCUUCGCAAGCGCGGCGAGGGUGUGUUUUUUCCGGCCUCGGCGGCCGCAGAAGGCACACGCUACAAGACGAUCUGAUCCUGCAGGCUCGGGUCUUCACGCCGAGGGGAGCCAUAGCACCCUCGGCAUCGACGACGUCUUCAGCAAAGUCCGACCCAGCCUUGGACGGCGACGCGGUCCAGGGACUCCUCCGGGAAUCCGGCCCGAGCAGGCGGCUCGGCCGGUUACCCCUGGGGCCUCGGUCAACCGGCUUCCAAGGGCGCCAGCCCGACCCGAGGCCUCGGCUGAUCGACUUUGGCGUCGGCUCCACUGACGGACAACACGACUAGGCUCCGGCCAACUAGGUUCCCAUUCUCGAGCCAACUCCGCCUCUGUUCAUACUGAUAUCGCUACCCCUGGCCUCGGCCCAUCGAAGGGCGGCCGAGGGGUCUCUUUAACUAAGCUAGAGGAGCCCCAGACAACAAGGCCGAUCGGGCCGAGGGAUUCCUACGCCUCCGGGAUACGGAUACCUCACUCGUCACCUUGACACGGGGCGACUCAUGCUUGGUAAAGCGGUUCAGAUAAUCAACAGGCGAGACUUAGUGCUCGAAAAUGAGGAAAAAACACGGCUCCGUGCCGAAAUUACAUACAUGUUCAGGCCCGACAGCCACAAUGAACAUAAAACACUGGCAUUUAAGGUGCCAUCACAAACGGAACUCCGGUUCCGUCCCCGAGGGUACAAGCGACCUUGGGCCUGCGGGGUGACGAACGCCGGGAGGCUCGCCAGCGACCUCUGCGGCGGCAGCCAUGGCCCCAGGUGAACGCGGCCACCGGAAGGCUCUUGUUCGCGGUCCCGCUCAAGGGACGCGAACAAGCCAUCAAAGCCAAAGAGCGGGCCGCCCCCAAGCGCUCUGGUAGAUCCUCGCUGCCGUCCUCGCCUCGAAUACAAGGGGGAAGGCGGAAUGUUGCAUCCUAGCUGGACAGCAACAGUUCGCCUUCCCCGGCGUGACUGGAGGACGACUCCGUCGUAGCGCGGGAGGACGAUUGCCACCACCAGAAGCUGGAAGAGGAGGUGGUUCGCCGACCCGCACACGAGGUAGAGCCCCGGCUCGCCUCGACCCCCGCCCCAGCAAGGAUGACGAACACACCCGAUGCUGAGGGCGGGAUCGCAGCCUGGUUUGCCUCUCCCCAUCCAGGAGCUGGAGGUCACCGUCUUGGGUGGCCACCGGCGGAAGGGAGCAACCAGGCUGCCUGAUGAAAAUCCUUGAAGCCGAACGAUGGCUGAGAGGUACCAACUCCCAUGGAGUUGCGUCCCUCCAACGAGGAGGCGGAAAGGCGGCGAAUACCCCCCAUCCGGGGGCUUGGAAGAUGGAAAGACACGACGCAUAAGCGAGGAAGAAGACAUGGUUGCCUUCCGAAAGGAGUCUCCCUCCUUUUAAAGGCAACUCUCCCUACGUGCGCCCCCAGACGCCGCGGGCUGAGUCUUCUCCAACACGCUCCAAGGCCCUCCCCUGCGACUCGGGGGCUGGGUCCCGCAUGUCAUGCAAACCGGCUCAGGGCAGAAGAAGCCAAACCGCCGCGCGUGGUGCGCACGACCGUCCAGCGGUUACAAGCGACCCCCCACUUUUGCCCAGACCAACGGGCGGAAGGGGCAGGCAGCCAUGCAUGCGGCAUGCAACCGCGCCAGGUGGACGCGGUUCUCCGACUUCUGACACGCCAGCUUGGAAGCCCAGGCCCACGCGUCAAGCAACCGGCGCGCCAGUUGCUGCAUGCAAGCAACCGCACCGCCACUUGUGCCACCGUCGCGCCUCUUCGGUUGUGGAGCCUAUGCCACGACUUGAGGCGACCCAGCGCACGACCCAACAGCGCCAGCCUGGCGCGUCGGUCAAAGCGACCGAAAGUGGGCCGGCAGUAAUGGCGGUGGCAGGCGGGCGGGCGCAGCAGUCACGUCGUCAGCCAGGCUCACAUCCCAUCCUGGGACAGCAAGAGAGCCUCCUCUCACGGCGUGAAGACGAUGCACCCGUGACCCGUUCCUCGAACGGAUCGCGCACGCGCAACGGCCGCCCCACCAACCACUCGCCCGUCGCAUUAACUCCGCGGCGGGACAGGCGACGCCUCUGACGGGAGGAGCGCGCGACGCUUCGCCUUCGCCGUAAUAGCCGCGUCAGAAAAGGUACGCCACGUCGUUCGAUUUCGUAUCCUUUUCCUUUUUCCUCUUUCUCUAUCUCUUGCAACAGGGACCGGGAAAGGGGGAUACCCCGAAAAGGAUCCUUCUCUACGAAGGAACCGGGCUCCGAGCCCCCCCUACUGAUCAGGGGUUCGAAGGCUGGCCCUCCGAAGGGUUCAACAGUCGCCUCAGAUCGCGUGGGCCCGACACCCACUACUGGUCAGGGGUUCGAAGGCCAGCCCCCCCGAAGGGUUCCAUGGCCGCCUCAGGCUACUCGGGCUCCGCGCCCAUUACUGAUCAGGGGUUCGAAGGCUGGCCCCCGAAGGGUUCACAGUCGCCUCAGACACCGAGUGAGGGAUGACCAGGGGUACGUUCGAUACAUAACCGAGGCUCGGGCUGCGCUCCCGAGGUACCCUAGGACAUUUCCGAGACCAGCGGGAACGAUCUUGUAACGGAAUCCCAUCGGAGGGAGGCAUCGAGCCCUCGGACCCCGUCGCCAGGGGACCAGGUCCGGCAAAUCACCCGCAGGUACUUUUGGGCGUGCCUCUGGGCCCCUAGCCGACCCCAACGAACGGGGCACGGACGUCCACUCGGAUUACCCGCUUGCAGCUCACCGGAGACACCGUGUUCGGCGCCCAUCGAGGGUAACAUGGCGCACUCCCCCCCUCCUCCUUGCGGAAAGGCGACGUAGGGGCGUAUGUAAAAAGUCGAGUCUGUCCCUGAUCGUCCUCUCGCCCUGUGCAGAGGCUCGGGGGCUGCUCUCGCAAAAACCGGCUCCGGCCAAACCGUUGACAGCGUCAACAUACCAGCCCGAGAGCUUGGGCCCCGACCGUGCACCUGGGCUACGGACAGUUCGCAUGAGGGAACGACCAGACCAGCCGAAGCAUUACGCAAGGUAUUAAGACCUCGAAGGAGUGUAACCACUCCUCCGAGGCCUCGGGGGCUACACCCGGCGGGUGCGCUCGCGCGCACCCACCGGAACAAAAUGCAACCGAGAAAGGCUGGUCCCCUUGCAAAAAAGUGCGACGAAAGCCUCCAAGCGAGUGCUAACACUCCCUUCGAGGCUCGGGGGCUACUGUCGGGGACCAUAAUUAGGGGUACCCUCAAGACGCCUAAUUCUCAGCUGGUAACCCCCAUCAGCAUAAAGCUGCAAAGGCCUGAUGGGUACGAUUAAGUCAGGGAUCAGUCCACACGAGUGACUCGAUCACGCUUCACCCGAGCCUAGCCUCGGCCGAGGGCAGCCUACCUCGAGAGACUUCCGUCUCGCCCGAGGCCCCCCUUUUUACGGCGGACACAUCACCGGCUCGCCCGAGGCCUUGGCUUCGCUCAGAAGCAACCUUGACUAAAUCGCCACACCGACUGACCAAAUUGCAGGGGCAUUUAACGCAAAGGUGGCAUGACACCUUUAUCCUGACACGCGCCCCCCCUGCAGAGCCGAAGUGACCGCCGUCACUCCACCGCUCCUCUGACCAGUCUGACAGAAGGACAGCGCCGCCUGCGCCACUCCGACUACGGUGCCACUCGACAGAGUGAGCCUGACAGGCAGUCAGGCCUUGCCAAAGGCGCCACGGCGAACUCCGCUCCGCCCGACCCCAGGGCUCGGACUCGGGCUAAGACCCGGAAGACGGCGAACUCCGCUCCGCCCGACCCCAGGGCUCGGACUCGGGCUAAGACCCGGAAGACGGCGAACUCCGCUCCGCCCGACCCCAGGGCUCGGACUCGGGCUAAGACCCGGAAGACGGCGAACUCCGCUCCGCCCGACCCCAGGGCUCGGACUCGGGCUAAGACCCGGAAGACGGCGAACUCCGCUCCGCCCGACCCCAGGGCUCGGACUCUGGCUAAGACCCGGAAGACGACGAAACUCCGCCUCGCCCGACCCCAGGGCUCGGACUCCGCCCUGGCCUCGGCCGAACGACUUCCGCCUCGCCCGACCCCAUGGCUCGGGCUCGGCCUCGGCAACAGAGGACAGACUCAACCUCGGCUUCGGAGGAGCCCCCACGUCACCCUGCCUAGGGCACAGACCCGCCACGUCAACAGGAAGCGCCAUCAUCAUCCUACCCCGAAUCGACUCGGGUCACGGAGAACAAAACCGGUGUCCCAUCCGGCCAGCUCCGCCGGAUGGGCAAUGAUGGCGCUCCACCAGCUCUGUGACGACGGCGGCCCCCAGCUCUCUUACGGAAGCAGGACGACGUCAGCAGGGACUCGACCGCUCCAACAGCUGUCCCUCCGCCAAGCUCCGUCGCACCUCCGACAGCCACGACAUCACGCCAGCAAGGUGCCAAGAUCUCUCCGGCUGCCACAUUGGCAUGUACCUAGGGCGCUAGCUCUCUCUCCGCUAGACACGUAGCACUCUGCUACACCCCCCAUUGUACACCUGGAUCCUCUCCUUACGACUAUAAAAGGGAGGACCAGGGCCUUCUUAGAGAAGGUUGGCCGCGCGGGACCGAGGACGGGACAGGCGCUCUCUUGGGGCCGCUCGCUUCCCUCACCCGCGUGGACGCUUGUAACCCCCCUACUGCAAGCGCACCUGACCUGGGCGCGGGACGAACACGAAGGCCGCGGGACUUCCACCUCCCUCACGCUCGACUCCGGCCACCUCGCCUCUCCCCCCUUCGCGCUCGCCCACGCGCUCGACCCAUCUGGGCUGGGGCACGCAGCACACUCACUCGUCGGCUUAGGGACCCCCCUGUCUCGAAACGCCGACAAUAGAAAAGAAAAAGGGUUUCUAAUAAUGAUCUAAUUCAAGGAUGCAUAUAAGAUUUUAGUUGAUCCUGGUUCAAAUAUACAUAUUUGUAAGGAUUACCUACAAAGUAUUUUUAUACAUUAGAAAUUAUCUUUAAAAAUAUCUAUCUUUGUGUGUAUGUAUCGCAUAUUUGAAACAAAUGCCUAAAUAAAUGACUAAAAAUUUAGAUUCUUCGAUCAUGCUGAAGGAUUUUUGUUGGUUAUUUAAACAUGUGUGAAGUUUGAACUCAUUCAAAAUUUGAAUCUUGGUUUGAAAAUAAAUAAAAGAAAUAGGAAAUAAAACAGGAAAAUAAAAGAAAAAAAGAACAAGACCCUGCGCCUAGGCUGAAACCGCCGCUCGACCCAACUUGAUUCCUCUCUCGCGCGACCCAUGGUACACUGCCACCCGCAUGUGUGGCUUACCUGUGGGGCCGCCCUGUCAUCACCCUCUCCUUGCUCCAUACUCAUCUCAACGGAGUCCGCUGUUCUCACGCGGCCGAUUAUGCUGGAUCAAGGUUUUAAAUAGCCGGCUAUAGCGGUCGAUAUAUCCCGAUAUAUCCUUUUUAGCAGCAAAAAGUUACGCCGUUUAGCCCGAUAUAUCCCGAUAUAUCCAGCUAUAUCGCGAUAUAUCCCGAUAUUUGCACUUUUUCAAAAUUUGGGGAUAAAUUCAUUUUCCCGCUAUUUAAAACACUACGCUGGAUCCGCAGCAACGAACUCCGCUUCUUGCUCCGUUCCGUGCGGACCGAUAGUGGGCAUGUGCGUACCGUGGUCAACACAGCCUCCAUCAAAGCAAACCACAGGCAUCGCAACAAUAUCGCGUUCGGAUUUUCUCCCACCAUAGGAACAUAAACACACACACCUCAGACCUCACCCGGGUUCUCGCCGAGCUCGCCCGCGCCUCGCCCAGCCCCCUGCUGGCGGCAGUGCAUUUCUAUCCACUGACUCCCUCCCGGCCUCCAUCACCUCCCUGACCGCCGCCUCAUCCGCUGGUGGUGAUUAGUGCCUGCGUCAACUGCCUUGUCCGCCCCCUCUAAUCCCUCCUCCGCAAGCCAGACUGUGGACGACAUUCACCCAAGCAUCCGAGGGACGGACAUGGAGUAGAGCCUCUAUGACGAGUGCGACCGAUGUGGACGUCGGUGGUGUCAUCGUGGCUCGUGCAGGAGCUCAGGCUGUAUGUCGCUAGCGCCGCGCUCAGCUGCCUCGUCCUCUUCGCAGGCCUCUGCCACCUCGACCCCACAAGAAAUGGCAAUGGGUACCCAUUACACGAAAUCCGGUGGGUUUUUUCUUUAUUAGGGUAUGGGUUUGGAUCAAUUUCUCUACCCAUGGGUUUGUUAAUGGGUUCAAAUGGAAACCCAACGGGUACGUGGGCAGGGUUUGUUCUUCCACUACCCAUACCCGCAAACCCAUGGGUUUUUAAAACCCGCCUUAAAAUCAACAUUCCUUAUAAAUAUGUCUCAUAAUAUUAUUAAUUGAAUAUGUUCUAAUUGAAAUAAACUUCAUGUAACAAAUUUUAGGCUAAAAUUAGUUAUGACUUGUUCCUUUUAUGCUAGCUUAUUAAUAUAUUGAUUGUCAUUUACAUGAUGAAUUAUUUUUUAUGUUGAUGUUAGUGGGUAUGGGAAACCUGUUGGUACCCAAAACCCGCAUGGGUAUGGGUUUGGGCAAAAUUUUAUACCCAUCAUGGGUAUGAGUUUUUUAGCGGGCAUAUUUUUUCUUCGCGGGUAUGGGUUUGGGCAAGUAAUACCCAGUGGGUUUUUACCCAUUGCCAUCUCUAGACCCCACCGCGCCGCUUCCUAGAGGGCGCAACAGCAGAAGAAGGAAACCGCCGCAGUUCCCAUGGCUGCCGUGUGACUACAUCUCUGCGCCGGCGCCGGGCCUAGAGGCCGCCUACACGCCGCCUUCUCUCGAUGCCACCACCGCGGCAGCCGAUGUUGCCACCGCGAAAUCCUCCUCCGACGCGGUCACUUGGGCUGGCGUCUGGGCGUUGCCCUCGCGACAGAGGGCCUGCAUAGCGGUCUGCAUCGCCACUUUCAUCGCCUGCACCACCUUCACGCUUACCAUGCCGCCGCCGUGCUCAAUCGGAUGGGGAAGGAAGAUGGAGUGUGUGCCAUCGAUUCUUAUGCGAACAACCCUGAUUUGAUGUGGUUACCCCUUCGGUUUAGGUGCGCUCGAACUGUUGCGAUCAAAUCUAAGGGCUCGGGCGUAAUCAGUGUGUGAGCGUAUUGCGAGCCGUGGAUCUCAGAUCGGUGGCCCAUGGUGAGUACCGGUUUGUUAAGUAAUUUGAUUUAAUUGUGACCGUCGAAUAGUGAUCCUGCGGCUCAGAUGGCCCCGUACCCCUUUGUUCGCUCAUUUUGCGAAUGAGACCCUAUUCUUUUACCAAAUAAACCUGUAGUCCGUCCUGAUGGUAACUUGUGUCUUAGUUAUUUUUGCGCCAGGGCCCCUGCACUUCUUGAGAAUUGACGCACAAUCCAGGAAAUAGAGAAAAUAGAGAAAUAGUUAUAGAAAUUGGUUUUUAAUACAAAAAUAAUUUUAGAAACUUGUACAAUUCAUAUUUAAUUCAUUUUAACUUCAAAUUGAUCCAUUCCAGUUGCAAUAAUUUUGUUUUAAUAUUGUUCAUCACCUAGUACCUUUGUUUAGCCAUGAAACUUGAAUUAAAACUAUUCAGUUGAAUUACUCUAUUCUUGGUACCAAAUAACUUCGGAAAAUCUUAAUUAAUUCAUUUUAAACCUGUUUCGAUUCGUUCAAGUUGCGUUAGCUUCGCAUAAAUAUUUACUAUGCAAUAGCAACAUUGAUUAUAUGAUAUCCCAUACUUUUAUAAUUAGGUAACUAAUUUGAUUAAUCUAUAUUUUCGGGAUUAGCUUUUUCUAAUAUUAAUAUAGUAUCAUGAUCUUAGGGUUAUCUUUGGCCUAAUAGAUGAUUUAUAAUCAAGUAAUGACUUAGAUUAAAGUUGAGUUAACUAAUUAUAAGAUAUUCUCUCAUAUGAUGUAUACUAAUUAAUUUAUAUUAUAGAUUAAUAUUUAAAUCACAUAGAUCUUCUAUAAAUCAUAAACAUAAUUGAGCAAAAAUUUGAUUAACACUUUUCAUCUUAAGGAUCAUACCUUAACCAUAUCAUGCACCACAAAGUGAGAAAAUGCCCAAGCCCUAGAAUAACCCUUCUUAAGCCAUUAAGUACAAAAGGGGAAUUGGUAAAAAGGCAAUGAAAAACAUGGAAUCAUGGCCAGGGCCAACUAUAAAACCUGAAAUACACUAAUGAAGCUACAAUAGUUAGUAAGGGAGUUCGGCCAAAAGAAUUUUUCAAAAUCCCCAAAAAGACCAAUCAAGUGGAGGCUUUCUAGAGAAAUCUGAAAUUCAAAUUUCUCUAUUUCAGCCUCUAACCCAAACUCGAGCGCGUUCACCUUAAUCCCUAACACAAAUCCCUAGGCUCCCAUUAGCAAACACUACUAAAAAAUCACCUUCUUGCAAUGGGCAAAAAUCGUUGCGAUAGGCUAUAAAUCGUUGCAAUAGGCACCAAUUGCGAUAGAACAACUGUCGUUGCCUGCUGUUGCAAAAAAUUGAGUGGCAAUAGGUUAUAGCAACAUUUUUACGUUCUGUUGCAAUUACUACAUCCUUUGCAACGUGUUCAAGUGUUGUAACUGUUUGUUGUUACAAUGGAUUAUUAUGUUGCAAAUAAGUUAUAUUGCAACAUUUAUAAUAGUUGCCAAAAACUAUAUUGCCACAACAUAUUUCAUGGUAAUAAGUGUUAAUGCCACAUUUGAAUCUGUUGCAAAUGGCUUUGUUACCACAAGAUGUUUCAUGGCAACAAAACACUAGUGCCACACAAGUGACUCGUGGCAACAAGAUGUAUUGCCAUGCAAAUAAUUUCGUUGCAUUUGAUCAUUUUGUAACAUAAUGUGUCUCAUGGUUAUAUGACCUUUUUACUAUAAAAAUUAAUCCAUGGUACAAGUCUUUAUGGCAACCAUGGUACAAGUCUUUAUGGCAACAAAAACAUCGUUGUAACUAAUGAUAUUGCAACAAGGAGAAAAUGUUGCGACAACUGAAGUCCCAACGAAGUAGAUCCAUUGUAAUUACAUCUUAUUGCAACAAAAAAAUCAUUGCAAUUGAUGAUGUCGCAACUAUAAAGAUAGUGCAACUGAACCAUACAACAACUAAUAAAACCGUUGCAUUUACACAUAUUCAAACCCACAAUUUAUACGACAAUGCAUUUUGCAUUUCUAUUGGGUAUAAAAUGUUAUGCAAAAGAAUUAUAUUUUACAUCAGUAACGUCAGAACCAAAAUUGGCAACCAUAAUAUUUGUCUCUUGUCUCAUAUAUUAACUAUAUCCAUACCAUAAGUUGUAACAAAUAGGUUGCACCAAAUAAAUAGUGGCCAAAUACAAAUUAAUUUGAUAACAUAGCUCACAAUCACAGCAUCCUCGUACUAGCUUGGAUUGUGAUAACAUAGAUAAUAAACUACUCAAGACUAGCAAAUUAUUGGAUGUUUUUUUGCCAUCGUGUACCCCUCCAUCCCCUCCAUUGAUGCAAGCGAUGGUUAGCUAGGCUGACGACGGUAUCACGACGACAAGGAACCUGUUGGAAGUGUUCAAAACAAUAAUUAGUAAAGCUACAAUAACUUGGUUAAUCAUUAGUGGAAGACUACAACUGUAGUGCCUACAACUACAGCUACAACUACAGCUACAACUACAGCACAACUCCUAGCAAGCAGCAUCAGCAGCAACCAUCAGCAAGCAGCAAGCAGCAACACGCAACAAGCAGCAAGCAGCAUGCAGCAAGCAGCAGCAACAACACGCAGCAGCACACAACUAGCAGCGGCAAGAAACAAACAGUAGCACGCAGCAACAGGAAGCACACAAUAGCAAGCGUUCUACUCUAUCUCUACCAGAGAAGGCAGCUGCAGCACCAGCCUAACAAGAGCGAAAACAAGCUACCAAAUAAGCAUGCUGCACAGAGCCACAAACAUGUGUACUGCUCCUAUGGUUAACUAAAAUCUGUUUAGGCUACUAAAAUCCAUUGCAUGCACAACUACAAAAGAAAUAAAAAUAGAUUGUUGACAUACCUUAAACACACUUUGAUAGAGCUUCUUAAGUUGAUCUACCUUGCUUCUCGCUUGCACUUGCGGAUUGUACCUAUUAUCAUAUUCAGGAUUACAAAAACAAAACUAUCAAAAAAAUGUUGUAAAACAGUUUAUAUGAUCAUAAUGCAAGAACAUUUGCAUUCCAUACACAUUCGCUUCUUUUGUUGCCCCUUGCCUGCACACGUCUUGUCACAGCAUUCCUUAGAGUGUAAGAGCUAAUAUAGUUUGUUGGCAUAUUGUCUUUCUUAUUGUUUGUGUCUGGUGUACGAACGUUGUUUGCACUACUUGGUGCAGGUGCAGGAGGAUCAGCUGGGAUGAGUUCAGGAGGUUUAGUAGGGACAACGGAAGAAGGAUCGAUUGGAGUGGUGCUUUCACGGUUGCUCUGCAUUAAACAAUUGAUCAAACAAUUUAUGUUGCAAAAGUUUCUAAUAGCAAUGAUGGUAAAAAUACAAAUAUCAAAUUUUAUACCUGUUGUGCUACAGCAGCAAGGGCAGCAACCAUUUCUUGCCUCAUUUCUUCUCUAAGCACUUGUCUUUUUCUUUCUUCUUCUUCUUGCAGUGCUUGCAUUUUUCCUGUAGUAUUCUUUCUCGUUCUGCAACCUCACACGCAAGUUUUUCAUUUAACAACUGGACCUGACUUUCGAGUUCAAUGUUCUUUUGGUUUGUUGCAACCGUGGCACGAGCUUGUUCGAGGAACUUUGAUUCCAUCACUUGACUUCUUGUUGGAUAUCUUGAUAGGUACCCAUGACCAUGAAGUCUGUUUGCCUUACAUCCUGUUGUUUCCUUGAAUGUUGUUUGGAAAAUAGCAUUUUCCUCUUCUCUUGUUAGCUUAAAUCUUUCUGUUUGAUAUAUUUUCUCAACAAUUUUCUGAGCUGCCUUCUCCUGAAAAGAACAAUAUAGUUCAAGUUAGCUCAACAUGCCCAGUAUUUUAAAGUAUGUUUUAGUAGUAAGCUUUGUGAUUUACUCACAUAAAUGCCACGUGAAGCCUCUUCCGACCAUUCAUCAUUUUUACAAUGAGUAAUCAUCCAAAGGGAUAGAUUGGUUGGUUCUAUACCAGUUUCUGGAUCUCUCUGUAAUGUGAAGAAUGUAUCAUACAAGUUUGUCAUUAAUCAUGGAAAAUAAAGUAGUGGUCAUAUCAUUACCUGUUGAAAGCUUAUUUGGGAAAAAGUUCUAGAACCCAUUAUAUGCUUCGUUCUUUGUUUCUGACGGUUUUCCGAGUUCCGGCUGCUUAUUUUCUAGAAAAUAAUAAUAGUUGGAAAUGAAUUAAUAAAUAAAUCGCUAGAAUCAUCCAUAUUAUGCAAGUGCCAAUCGUUAAAGUAAAGGAAAUGAAACAGCAAACCUGGAAUUUCUCAGAUCCAAAAUACAACAUCAUGUAAUGCCACUCGACGAUGUCUACAUCUUCAGGCUUGUUUUUCAUCCUUUCAGCAUAACUAUUGUAUGCCUUGUAUGUUGAGCUUAACGUUGAUCGCCAUCCUUUGUAUCUCUCCUUAGCAAUAGACCAGAUCUUUUCAUGCGCGUCCUCAUUGGUUAGAAACUCCCACCUUCGCUGUUUCAGUUUUGAUAUAAAGAGAAGGUUAAUUGUCUAGUAAUUUGGGAAUAGUAGACCACUAAUAGUUCUAGCUAACUGUUAGGGCUCAAGUAAAGAAAUUUCACAUACCAGUACGUCAGAGGCUAUAGAAGAUCUAACAUUGAGCUCUAUAUCUUUCCACUUUUUCACUCCAAUGAGUGGUGCCUUUUUCUUUGUAAACAAUACGAUUUCAUCCACAAAAGUGCGAGCGUUUGGUCCUACAGGACCUCCAAGCUUAGAUGAAAAUUCAAUCUUAAGUUUGUGAUCACCGUUCUUGAUUCGCUUGGUGGCUGCUGCUAUACCCUUAAGGGUACCACGCCCCUCCUUUUUAAAGACUCCAUCGUUAUCUACAUAUAUACCAAUAACAUCUGAAUGGGUAGAAAUAUUCAAAGUAGAAGAUUGCAACAUUUGAAUAAAAAACACUCUUAGUAAAAAAUACCAGGAUCUCUUUUCCUAUGACGUCUAGCAUGAGAUGGCCAAUUAGCAGUAGGUUUGCUGCUACCAUGAAUUUCUUCAUCUGAUAAUAUUAGGUCAUCAUUGCUUUGUCGUUCAUACAAUACUGCGGAUAACAUAGGCAUCAGUUACAUCUCUAACAAUUUGCGAAAAUAUACACUAUAUGUUAGUAGGAUGUAAAUAAAAGAAAUUACAAAUAUCUGGAAGAUCGCCUUGAUGCCUUAACCAUUCUUUAUAUGUUUUGAUCGUAUCCUCCCUGAAGUCAUCCAUUAAAUCUGCACUUAAACAAUAUGUAAGUUUAACUGUGGAAACUAUAACAUAUCAUGUAUUUAAUGUAAUGAGUUUGACAUCUUAACUUACCCAUUUCUGGAUUAUCAUGUUGUAGUAUUGCAAGCCACUCCUUAUAUGCAUCAAUCGACACUUCUAUAGUUUCUUCAUCAACAUUUGUUCGCUGCCUUGGACGCUUGAUGGGAGUUAUGCUUACCUCUAGAUCACUGGGUGGAUCUUUUGUGAGCACAAAACUUAUUUUUCUCUCAUCCAUGUUAUCAGACAGCAUGGCCUCUUCUUGGUGGAUGUAAUCAAGUGCCAAUAGCCUGGAUCGAUCAAUGCCACAUCGUUUCUUGUAAAACAAGAAGUCCCUCCCAGAAUAUCCAAGUUUCGAUUUUAUGUACACCACGUUGUAAAAGGCAACAUAAGCUUUAUCAAUAUUUACUGUGACAAUUUAUUUUCCAGGUUGUGCUCCAAUGCAAUGGAAUUUCAAGGUCCAUAUCUCACCAGUCAACCUGCCACACAAAUAUAUUCUAAGCAAACAAUGACUAAAAUAGUGUUGUAAAAAUAUUUCAUUCAACAAUUAAGAGGUAUGAAAACAAUAUACUAUAAUUAUGAUCUGCGCCAAGGCCAAAGCAGUAGAGAACAAUAUGGGUAGAUAGAUUUUUACUUGUCAGGAAGAUCAAAGAAGACGUUCUUCCCGGCCAUAAUCUCGUCCACAAUCCGUGUACCAAGUUGGCUACCAUUGUCGUUGGUGCACAUAUUAGCUUCAUUGCUUGUCGGCUGCAAACCUCCUUGAGUCGUCAUCAUAGGUCAGGAAAAUAGAUGCUGACAGGGCAGGGAACGAAAAAAUCAUGUAAGUAUAACAAUAGAUUGGUUUAUGGAAUUAUGUGCAGUAAUAGAUGCUGACGGUGCUUUGCCUUCUACUUUACUUUUCAUCUGUAGAUAAGAGAGACACCAAACAAGAAACACCAUAAGUUUAUUGAGUUCUAUGAUGUAAGAGCAGCAGAGGCUGCUCUUCGGUCACUGAAUAAAAGUGAGAUAGCUGGAAAACGAAUCAAGUUGGAACCAAGUCGUCCUGGUGGAACACGCAGAAAGUAUGACACUGAUUUAGUUUUCAAGGCUAUUUGCUUGUUACAGCUUCUCACCAAUAUUUUGAAUUAUAUAUAUAUAAUUAUAUAUAUAUAUAUAUAUAUAUUUGCUGGAGCUGUCAUUUUGCUGUGGUUCUGGGUGCCACAUUCUUAUGAUGAUACUCUAGAGACUUAUGAAGUUACUGCUUCUGAUAAGCUUGGAAGUUAGAUGUAUAGUGCAGUGACGGCUGACUUUAUUUUGAAUAAUUCACUUGCAAUUUAAAUUGUCCGUUUCUUUACUCCUUCCGGAGUCAUUUAAUGUGUGUGAAUCUACAUGUCUGAAAUUGAGUUUUUGGCACCAUGCUGUUUCACUUACUUUUCCUACAUGUGAAUUUUUCCCAUGUAGUUUACUGAUCAUUACUUAUCUGAUAUUUUUAAAUUUUUUCUAAUGUAGUUUACUGAUCUGAUAUUUUUUUGUUUUCUUAUGACUUAGCUUGAUGCAGCAGCUUGGUCACGAUUUGGACCAAGAAGAGCCAAGAACCUACAGACAUUCUCAUGUUGGUUCACCUAUUGCUAACUCUCCUCCAGGUACUUCUGUUGGAACUAGUUUUUGUAUAACGCUGCCCCCAUGUAUUUUGGAGUCAAUCCCCCUGUAUAUAAAAAUUAAUUAAGUUUUUUUCCCUAAUCCUUGUGGCAGGGGCAUGGGCUCAAUACAGUAGUCCAACAGAUAGCAAUAUGCUGCAAGCUUUCACCAGAUCUCCAACUGGAAAUGGAAUGAGUCCUAUCAGAAUUCCUUCCCUGAUUUCAAAUGCUCCAAAGAUUGCUCCUAUUGGCAAGGAUAGCAACCGGUCUAAGUAUGAUCAAGUGUUUUCAAAUGGUAACCAGUCCCUGGGAGCUGCAUUUCAGCACUCCCACUCAUACCAAGAUCACAACAGUGAACACAUGAGUUCUAGUCCUGGGACUUUAUCAGGGCCCCAGUUUCUCUAGGGCAGUCCAAAGCCAUAUUCAGAACAUUCAAAAUCCCCUAUUUGGCAUCCACCAGGAAUCGUGGGAGGUCUCCUGCUGGGCAUGGCUAAUCGUGCUUCUGUGAAUCCUGGUUCUUCUCUAAUUGGAAGUCUGACAGAUAACACACAACAGCAAGAUCCAAAACGCACAACAGCAAGAUCCAAAACGCACAAGCCAAAACAGUAACCAGACUUGGCACCGACGCGUGCAAGCUGCCGACAAUAGAGAAAAAAAAGAUACAGCCGAUGCUUCAGAGAUGAACGACGGACCAGGGAGAGUGUGUGCCGGUGCGUGCCUGCUCGGUCCCAGGUCGGCCUGGAGAGUGGAGCCGAACGACGGACGGUGAACAGAGAUUGGGGGACGGAGCUCGGAGAUUAGGAAUGGAGAUUGGGGGCGGCGCGUACCUCAACCUGAAACCCGGACGAGCGACGACUAAUGAAACCCUUGCAGUAGAGCAGAUUAGGAAGGAGGAACGAGGAAUGCCUGCCCUUGCGCCCUUCCCAUUUGGGAACGUUGCCUGGAUGAAGAAAGGUGUAAUUGUUGUGAAUAAUGCUCGAGGAGCAAUCAUGGAUGCUCAAGCAGUCGCAGAUGCAUGUUCUAGCGGUCACAUUGAUGGUACUUACUACGUUAAUAUGUUUUCUUUGUCUCUUUACACAACAGUAUUGCUACAUAAGUUAGUCUGAUUCUACUGAAGGGGUCCAUGAAUUAAUAUUAUUUUCCUUAAGCUUGGCAUGCUUUGUAUUCCGUGGCUUCAGUAUGAAAACUUCAAAUGAGCCGUUUUCCUUUUUGCUUUCCUGAAAAGACACCCUGCCUACAUUUUAUCUGAAGAAUAGGGAAAUAAUGCGACUAUAUUCCUACAUUGACCGGUACUUUUUGUAGUAACAUGGAGCAUCUCAUUCCCAUUUCUCAGGAUAUGGUGGUGAUGUGUGGUUCCCACAGCCAGCACCAAAGGAUCGGAUCACCCCUGGCGCUACAUGCCUAACAAUGCCAUGACCCCUCACAUCUCUGGGACUACAAUUGAUGUGCAGGUCAGGUUCUGAGUUUUGUUACCUGAGUUUGAAAAUCUAUCUAAUUCUAAUACCUCAUAGGACACUAGGUCUCUGCUUCAUGCAUUAGCAGAACUCAAUAGAAUGGCAAUCACCUUAAGGCUUUACUGGAUUAAAAUCGUACUGAGAACUGGAACAAUUAGCUAAUAGUGUGUCUGUGUACCUUGAGACCUUGACGACAUGUACACUGAUAGCGCAUUUUUCAUGAUGAGUAUUUGCUAUUCGUUCUCGUGCAUGCUACUGACUAUUGCGGGCAAACAAACAAUUCAUACAGCUGCGGUAUGCGGAUGGUGUGAGGGACAUGCUGGAUAGGUAUUUCAAGGGCGAGGACUUCCCGGUGCAGAACUACAUCGUCAAGGAAGGCCAGCUCGCCAGUCAGUACCAGUGACCGCGCGAGAUGUUGCUGUGCUGUGUAGGCUUUUCUGGUGAGAAGCUGCGAGGAAGAAACUCCUGUUGCGUACUUGCGUUACUGUAUGAGUAGCUCUGAGAAAUCUGUCAGCGGCCACCUGUAAUAAAAGAAUGCCUUGCUGGUAUCUCACAGUGGAGAUCAGUAAUAAGUCCCUUUUUUCCUUCUCUAUCACUGAACUGCAUGCACUGUCUUUUUUCGGCUGUGACAACGCAAAUGGUAACGAACUGCAUGCGCUAUGCCAUUUGUCACAUGUUUGGUUCAACACGCACAUGGUAAUGAAAUCAGGUUGCUCUGUAACCAGAGAUGGGAUCAGAGUGCCUCCGGCGGGGUAACCUGUUUUCAAAGAGAAAAAAAACUAAUGCGACACAGAAAUGGCCUAGCAAGGAUUCUAAUGCUUAGCUUCUAUUUCCAUAUCAAGUUUAUGUCAUAAUUACUUUUUUAAACUGUUGGAUUUAUUUUGGAAAUUAGGGUGUGUUCAUUUCUGUGUCGCAUUCAUGGUUCCAAAUUGAUUUGGGUUUGGUGUUCAUUUAUCUUUGCAUGUAUUGCAGUGAAGGAGGAAUGGGUGGAGGGACGAGCAAGAUGGCAACGUUCUAUUGAAACAAACUGCCUCGAUUAUUAGGCUAUCACUACUGAAACAAACUACCUCUAUCGUCAACCUACUAACUUCCAUAUUCUUCACAUUCAGUUUGCAAAAUUUACUUGACUGGAUUUUUUAGCUUAACAUAUAACUCAGGGAGACAUGCGAUUUUGGGACGAUCAAACUGUUGGUAAGUAAAUACUUGUUGGCCUGUUGCUCUUCUUUUAGCUAUAGCUGAC
rnacentral:lncRNA from 1 species